rnacentral:lncRNA from 1 species
UCAGCUGGAAGACCCCUUGCUUUACUUACACAACGCCAUAUAUGUGCAGCCAAGAUGUUGAAGCUGCUAUAUUUUAUACCACCGUUUGCAUUUGCAACUUUUGCUUUGGCUUUCAGGGUGUUCAAUUGAUCAGCUGUGAGCGCUAAGGUGGAGACAAUGGAUGGCUUAUGAUCAUCUGAUUGAGAUUUUGAUGCAGACUUCAAUGCCGGUGAAGGGUCAUAUUCAACAUGGUGGAGCUUAGGCGUUGGUGGGUCCCGAGCACGAAGAAGAGUUCGAUCAAUGAAUGGUGCAAUGGCAGGCGUCAAGCCCCGUGAAGUGUCAGCCCAACUAUUGAUGAAAUGAAGAGCCGCGGCGCCAUCUCCUAAAGUAUGUUGAAUCCCUACUCCAAGACAAACUCCACCGCAUUUGAACUUAGUUACCUGGUAAAAUACACACACAAUAAAUAAACUAUUAUUAUAUAAUCCUUUAUAUUUUAUAUCCUUUUUUCGGUGAAAUGUUUGCGGAUUACCUGCAAUACAAUAAGUGGAUAGGAAGACAUUCCUUCAGAAUAGUCGACUUUAGGGACUAAACUUAAAACUUGAUGGUUCUCGGUAAAAUCACCGAUCAAAUGUUCCAUGACUGAACUAAUUUCAGCUUCAACGAAUAGAACUCCUUCACCGUUGCAUAUUAUCUCAAGUCUUCCAUUUUCAACAUACCCCAACCUUCCAGCAAUAGGGUAAAAUGGGACAAGAAUCUUGCUCAAAGCUUCUUUAAGCCUUCCAGAAUCAAAGAAAUCAGAAGAACCAUUUGGCUUGUAAUAGUAUACAGUAGGGAUGUGGUAUCUUGUCAUCACUAUAUCUAAAUUGGAGUUCCAUAGACUUCGUUUGGGAGUGUCUUCAGCUGGACGAACAAUAGCAGACUCCUUUAUGGUAAUCUCCAUCUAUAAAUUAGAUAACAAACUCCUUUGUCAGUCGCAUCUUGAAAUGAAUGAGAUGAAAAGGCAGGUUUUGACAUCAUUAAAAUGAGAUAAGAACAUGUAUGAACUUCUACUUCUACUGAAUGUUUGAAAGAUGAAGGAGAGAAAAUAGUGAUUUUUCUAAUUAAAAAAAUGGAAUGAUGAAAGGGAAAGAUUGGAAUAUUCAUACCUUGAAAUCGUGUUAGAAGAACAAGGGUUGUAAAGGGAGACUUGAGCAGUCCCUGGUGAAGCCUUUGCGCUUAAUUUAUAGAUCCAAAUUUGUGCUUCAUAUUGAAUGAAUUAGACCAAAAUCACAGUUUCUUGGUACGAGUGCCUGCUGGUCUCCAUCCCUUAAUUAUUCUAUAAAUUAAACUAUACUCAUUCUUGUUUCUUUUUCUGUCUUAAUUUUUUUUUCGCCAUGUAUUUUCGAGAGAUAGACACUUAGCCACGAAGGCCAUCUAAAUUAUUCUAGAGCUUAAAUACUGGUUCUUGAAUUUGUUAUUUUUUUUUAUCAUAAGUUGAUAUCGAGAUAUUACUUCGAUAUUUUAUAAAAUAUUGACAUGUUAAUAUUCGAUUUUAUAUAUCUUGAUAUUCUUACAAUCAGCUUUUUAGCAAUAUACUAUUCACCAAAAAAGUGCAUUUUUCAUAUAAAAACAUUCUUUUUCCACAUGAAUCCAAUGGUGAACAUAAUUUUGAUAAGACUCUUUCAUUUAAUCAGCCUUUCAAUCACAAAAGCCAAAAAUAUCCUUACAGUACAGGAAAAUUAAGUUACAUAAGAAAAUCGUAUUUAUUGUUUAUAUUAAUAGUAUAAAAAGUUGAUAUUUUAUAAUAAUAGUAAAAUUUAGACAUAAAUUCGACUGAUCAUUAUUUACGGAAAGUUAAAAAAAAUUAUAAAUUCCUAAAAAAUUAUUGUGCCUCCUAAUCCGGGUAAAAUACUAAAAAAAGCCAUUUUUUUUUAAAUUUAUCGAAAUGGACCCAGUAUUUUAUUAUUUACCGGAAUGGGUCAUUUUCCCCUAAAUUGCGUCCACGUCAGCGCGAUGUCAAGGGACGUGCCAUGAAAUCGCGUCCACGUCAGCGCGAUUUGUGUCCACAUCAGCAAAGCGCACUGACGUGGACGCGAUUUCCUGGCAUGUAGCGCGCCCCUAGGGACGCGAUUUUGCCGUGUUUCCCACCUUAGGGUUUUUAGGGUUUUUGGAGAAAAAAGUAAACAAAUAAGGGAUAAGGGUUUAGGGUUUCAUAAUUAAAUUAAUUAAAAUUUAUUCAAAAUUGGAUUACGUUUCGUGUUUAUGGGUUUUUAAGAUAAAAUCAAAGCAGGAUGAUUUAUCAGAAGGAUUUUUGAAGUCGCUGCCACGUGUACGCGCUUUUGCUACAAUAGGUCCUAGAAAAAUAAUUUCAACUUGACGUUUUUGAGCAAAUAGUUUAAAAACGCUUCAAGCAGGAUGCUUUAUGAGAAGAAUUUGUGAAUUCGCGCCCUCGUGGAAGCGCUUUUGCUACAGUUGGUCCUGGAAGAAAUAAUUUUGAGUUGACGUUUUUGAGCAAAUAGUUUAAAAACGCUUCAAGCAGGAUGAUUUAUAAGAAGAAUUUGAGAAGUCGCGCCCACGUGGACGCGCUUUUGCUACAGUGGGUCCUGAAAAAAUAAUUUUGAGUUGACGUUCUUGAGCAAAUAGUAUAAAAUAACGCUGCAAGCAGCAUGCUAUUUGAGAAGAGUUUGUGAAAUCGCGCCCUCGUGGACGCGCUUUUGCUACAGUAGGUCUUGGAAAAAUAAUUUUGACUUGACGUUUCUGAGCAAAUAGUAUAAAAUCACUUCUAGCAGGAUGCUUUAUGAGAAGAAUUUGUGAAAUCGUGCCCACGUGGACACGUUUUUGCUACAGUAGCAUGUUUAGGCUAAGGCUAUAAAUGUGGCAAAAAAUGUUCUGAGAUUGCAUAAGUCACAGCAGAAACAAUUUAGAGAGGCUAAGAAGGUUAGAGUUUCAAAUAUAAGUGAACGUAUUAGUGCUGUUAUUUACUACGAUGGUGAGGUUUGCCACACCGAGAAUUGUGUUUUUUUUGUCGGAGAAUACGGUACGACUAGUUUUUAACUAGAACAUAAAUUUGACAGAACUUCGUAAAAGAAUUAGGCGUAAAAUUUUUGGAACGAUGCCAAUGAAAGUUUUGUCUAUUAUGUAUCGAUUCUAUUCCUCUGUUGAUCUGGUGACAUAUGACUCGUUCGACAUAAAAGGUGCUCGUAGCUUGAAGGAAAUGGUGCAGACUCAUCUUGCUAGUGGAGCACAUUAUAUUGAGUUAUAUGUACAAUUUACAUCUCCAAAUGAUGUACUUGCAACCGGUGUUUGAGAUGUAUACACGACCCUUGGCCGACAUUAGGUUAGCGGGUUAGAAAACAUGGAACAACCCAUGUUUGGUAGCGGUGUUGAAUGCACAUCCCCCACAAGACACUCUGUCGGUGGAUGGGACAUGUACGUCGGAGGCUCGAUGUUUGAUGCUGGAAAUACAUACUGGGGAACGGCAUCAAGUUCUAGUGGUUGGCAAUCUACAUCCAAUUAGGGACGUUAUGAAAUGCCCAGAAGAAGGGAUGAUGUACUCCCUACGACGUUAACCGGUGAGGGGACCUCGUACGCUACAGAUGGUUGUGGGUUAGAAGAUAACACUGAUGUGGAUCCACCUCGAGAGCCCGGGCCCAAUGGUGUAGAAGUUGGCUUAUUUUCUGAACCGGAGCCUAUUCCAACAGAACCUGAAGAUGUUGAAAGGAGUUCAGAUGAAGAAGAAAAUCCACGAUUCAGAGCAUACUCACCUCCAGUCCACAUGCAUAAUGUCGAUCUGUCUACAGAUGGUGCGUUAGAGUUUCCAGAUCUACCACACCGGUUGCGUGAUCGUACAAGUUCUGGGUUAGAUUCGGGUAAAUUUGAAGUUGGUAAUCAGUUUACCAAUAAGGAUAGUUUUAUUGGUGCUUUGAAACUACAUAGCAUCAAAAAGGGCGUUAACUACCACGUUGUUAAAUCUAAAUCUGAUAAGUUUGAGGCGAAGUGUGCGGUGCAAGAUGGCACAUGUUCAUGGAAAAUCUAAUUUUUGUUAAGGAAAAGGAUAGGGUUGUGGAGAUUAAAAGUACAGAGGUCCACAUACAUGUGCUGCAGGUACAGUAUUGACGGUAUCUGAAUAAUACUUUUAUUAUGUAAUGUUGCAUUAUUUAAUGUACUCCGUUUAUAGGUGUUUCACAAGAUCAUCUAAAGAUGGAUUCAGCUAUGUUAGCUAGCUUGAUACUGCCCACGAUAAAAGCAGAUCCCAAGACUUUAGUGCCGGUGUUAAUUACCAAUCUGUAGCCAAAUAGGGUACACGCCCUCUUACCGCAAGGCUUGGAUAGCUAAGCAAGAAACAUUAGAGAAGAUGCAUUGUAGGUGGGACGCCUCAUAUAAUGAAAUAUGGCAGUGGUGUCAAAUGCUAGAUAGAUACGUCCCAAGUGCCAUAACAUACCUUGAAACGAAACGCGCGUACUACAACGGCCGAUUGCUACGUGGAUGCCAAGUGUUCAAACGCCUGUUUUGGACCUUUAAGCAAUGUCGAGAUGUAUUUCCAUACUGCAAGCCAUUGGUACAAAUUGACGGUACCUUUAUGUUUGGUAGGUAUACUCAUUGCUAUUGUUUGCAGUGGCACAGAAUGGCGGUGAGAGAAUCCUUCCAAUUACAUUUGCAAUAACACCGGGGGAGUCGUUUGAUGACUGAGAUUUCUUUCUCUCUAGGUUAAGGUGGCAUGUGUGCGCCCAACCUGAUAUCUGUGUUAUUUCAGAUCGGGGCACCGGUAUACUAGCUACAUUUGAUUGACAGGGAAGCUUAUAGCAGUGCACGCACCAUCGAUAUUACCUAAGACACGUUGCUUCCAACUACUACAGGUAAUAUCCAUCGAAGAGCGAACGACGACAAGUGACCAACAUGGGUAUUUAGCCUAUAUCUGUGUUAUUUUGUUUCUCAAUUUGAAUUAGUUUUAUUGGUAGAAGUGAUAUGUAAUAUUCACUAUGAACUUAUAUUGGCAGGGUAUGAAAUAAAUAAAGACUGUUUUCACGAGAUGUUGACAGCUUUACGUUCAAUUAACGGAGAAGGGGCGAACUACCUUUGUAACAUACCUUUCGAACAGUGGGCACAAGCAUACGACGGUGGCCUACGAUAUGACCAUAUGACGUCAAACCUGGCUUAAUGCAUAAAUUCUGUUCUUAAAGGAAUGCGUCAUCUACCGAUAACAUCGGUUGUGCGAGAAACAUAUUUUCGUUUGGCGGCACUAUUUCCAAAGCGAGCAGCAAGUUAUGCAGGCCAGAUACAGGGAUGACAUGUAUGGUGCAGUAAGGUAGUUCAAGAAAUUAACAAGGCCAAGGCGCGGGCAAACACCAUGCACAUAGUGUGUCACGAUCGAGACAACUUAUGGUUUCGCGUAACAGAGUUUGACAGACCGCACCAAGGUAUUGUUGGCGAGCAAUAUCAUGUACACUUGCGAAAUAGGACUUGCGAUUGUCGGACGUUUGAUGCACUUCGUUAUCCAUGUGCUCAUGUUAUUGCAGCUUGUCAGAUUCUCCGUCUGGAUCCGAUGAGUUAUGUGGACGAAGUGUACAAAUUAGAAAACAUGUACAACGUUUGGAGACAUGUUUUCCCACCGGUCCCAGAUGAACGUAAGUGGCCGCCCGUAUCUCUUGCUCCUUUUAAGCUGUUACCGGAUAGAGAAUUACGUCGCAAACUAAAGGGUCGACCUUACUCCACUAGAAUACGUAACAAUAUGGAUAUCCGAGAAACAACUAGUCAACAAAAGUUGUGCGGAUGGUGUAGGAAUACAAGCCAUACAAGUCGAUCAUGCCCUAAUCACAAUAGUUGAAUGUAAUUUAAAAAAAUUAUAUUUUUUCAAUUAUUAAUUGAUAAUUGUAUUAAUUGUUAGUAAAAUUAUCAAAUUAUAUCAAAUUAUUAAUUGUUAGUGCCAAUCAAAACAUUUUUCCAAAUCUAACAUUAUGUGAAUGUAAAAUUAUUAACUGAUAAUUGUAUUAAUGUUAGUAAAAUUAUCAAAUUAUAUUUAAGUUAAGGGUUAGGGUUUUUAAUUUAAUGGUUUAGGGUUUUAAAGUUAAGGGUUAGGGUUUUUAAGUUAAGGGUUAAGGUUUUUAGGUUAAGGGUUUAUGGGUUUUAAUUUAAGGGGUUAGGGUUUUUAAUUUAAGGGUUUAGGGUUUUUAAUUUAAGGGUUUAGGGUUUUAAAGUUAAAGGUUAGUGUUUUUAAGUUAAGGGUUUAGGGUUUUUAAGUUAAGGGGUUAGGUUUUUUAAGUUAAGGGUUAGGAUUUUUAAGUUAAGGGGUUAGGGUUUUUAAGUUAAGGGUUAGGGUUUUUAGGUUAAUAGUUUGUGGGUUUUAAGUUAAGGGUUUAUGGUUUUUAGGUUAAUGUGUUAAGGUUUUUAAAUUAAGGGUUUAGGGUUUUUAGGUUAAGGGUUUAGGAUUUUUAAUUUAAGGGUUAGGGUUAGGGUUUUUAGGUUCAGUGUUUAAGGUUUGUCAAUUAAAUUAUGCAUUUAAUUAUAAUUUAUAAAUUUAUAAAUUUUUAAUAAGUUAAGGGUUUAGGGUUUUUAAGUAAUAACUUAAAAAAAUUUCUAUUUUAUUACAUAAGAAAAUAUCAAAAUAUUCAAAAUAUUUGUACAAAUAAAUUUAAAUACAAAAAUCAAUGUCUGUGCCUGCGGGAUUCAGUGCCACAUGGCGGCCGUCGACGGUUACGCGUUGGAUUCCUCCUUUGUCUAGCUUUUGGCGGCGGUUGAGGUUCUUCCAGCGGGGAUUUUGGUUCUCCAGUAGGGCAUCUGAUUGUCAGAGUUGGAACGAUGAGCCACAUUGAUAGAAUUGUGAAUGUGGAGGUCUUUGCAUCACCAACAGCGACGGUGUUUGAAACCCAUACGGUGGUGGGGAUUGGUAAAAAGAAGAGCUCCCCGACGGCCCCUCUUGUGAUCCCUCGUGUGUCGCUGGCCUAUACAUCAGCGGUUCACUCGGUGUAACAGGAAAUGGAGCUGAACCGGGCUAUUGGCUCCAACCUGCCAUAGGACUCGAAAAAGGAAACAUAUAAGGGUUAGAAUACAUAAAAAGGCUAGGAAAUACACCUGGCAUCAUCUGAAAAGGCGGUUGCGUGGGUAUCAUCGGUUGAAUUGCUGGGUUGGGUGACUGUGUCGGUGCUCUCGUUGGGCCGGGUGAAUGUUUGGGCGUCGUUGAGGGGCCAGCGUCGUCGUCCUUUCGUCUUGGAUUUAAAGGCUUGCGUCUUUCUCUUUGGACACGUAAUUGCCGUUGCCUCUCCUCUGGUGAUAGUAAAUACGGCUUGCCAUGGAUCCUAAACCAUGGCAUGUAUUCCGGCAAGCACGCUAACUCCGGAACGAUGAUCGGUUCUAUACUAAGUAUAUAGUCAUACCGAUCUUCCCACAUUUGGACGUACUCGGACCAGAAUCUCGGCCAAUCCGUAUUCCAUUGCCGAAGGUCGAUUUUGUGGUGAUCGUCAAACACCUCAGGUUCCACGAGAAUCAGUUGUCUACAUCGAAAUUACCGUAACACCCUGUCUGACUAGUGCAUCUCCACGGUCGCGUAGUUGAUCAACGCAACUUUUGCUUGCCAAGCAUUUGGAUUUUGUAAGAACUCAUCCGGAAUUACUGCCCGAAUUGCCGGAUCCUCGUAUGGUGUCCAUUGAAACUAUAUGAACAUGAUAGAAAUAUUAGUUAUAUACAUAAUACUAAAUACUAAAUACCAAUCGAUUAGCGAAUGAUGGAAAUAUCAAUUUAUUUAAUACUUACAUGUGCUUCCGACUGUUAGUCUAAUAGAAACCGUGUAUCUUCAAGAGAGGUAGGUAAACGAGCAUUACUUGCCGGAUGGUUCCACCUAAUUAAAUAAAUUUUUAGCAUACUUUUAUUUUUAAAAAUCUACAUAAUAAUUGUAAAAUCUAAUAUAAAAUUUACCUCGUUAUGAGUAGGAAUGUAUAUGGGUGGUCCACUCAAGGACGUAGAAAUGGAAAGCGAAACCGUGCCCAUGACUGCAGUAGUGACAGGCAACCUCCGAUUUUUUCUUUCCUCGGUCGCGUCGCCCCGCACAUCUCCCUAUAUAUUGUUGACAAAACGACAGACCCCUAACUCAAUUCACCAGCUGCUCUAAAAUCAACAAGUUUCAGCAGCCAUCUUAGAUGUACGCAGUUCCGUGACAAGUCAGGCAUCAAAUAACCUCCAAUUGACUAAAGAAUGUAUGCCCGAGCAUAUUGGAUUCUUUCUAUUUCGGUUGAAUCUUCAUCCGGAUCCGGGAAUGUGUCUCGUAACCAGCCCAUCUCGAUCUUACCUCCGUCCAUUUUCUCAAGAAUAGCACCCAAAAUCUCGUAGCACACUGCAAGCCAAUCGCUAGAUUGGGCACACCCGGUGACUGGGUACCCUUCCACCGGUAAUCCCAAUUGUAGACUGACAUCUUCCAAAGUGAUAGUGUACUCUCUACAUAGAAGAUGAAAUGUGUGCGUUUCGAGUCUCCACCUCUCGAUCAACGCACUGAUUAGUUUCGAGUCCACCUUGCAUCCCCGACCUAUUUUCGCCACGUGCCAAAAACCCGCUUCCCGCAGGUAGUUCUCUACCUACGUUGAUGGAGGACCAUGCAUAUUCCGGAUAUUGCAUUCCAAUAUCCGAUCUAUAGACUUUUAUAAUAAAUAAUAAAUUAAUAAUUAUCUAAAAAUGCAUAAAUAAAAAAUUCUUAAAUAAUAUUUAAAAAUUAAAUUUAACGCUUACCAUUUUCAUUUGUUCCACGGAUAUGUGAUGCUUAUCAAGACGAGUCAAUUCUCCGGCCAUUGUUGAAAUCGUACAAAUUUUUACGGUUUAAAAAAUUUUUAAAAAAAAUAUUUUUUUAAAAAUAUAUUUAAGAGAAAUUUAAGAGGAACUUGAGAGCAAAUUGAAAAUAAAUAUGGAUUUGAGAGAAAUUUUGAAGGAAUUUGAGAGGAAAUUUAGAAGAAAUUGAGAGAAAAUUUGAGAGAGGAUUAGUUUAUGAAAAAAAAGUGUGGGUAUUUAUAAUUUUUUUGGACCGUUGGGGGGGCAACGGUCAAAAAAUUGACCGUUGCACUGUUCACGCGCGGGGCAAAUCGCGUCCACGUCAGCAUGCUUUGUUAACGUGGACACAAAUCGCGCUUUAGAGGACGCGAUUUGUUAUCAUGUCAGUAAAGCGCGCUUACGUGGCUGCGAUUUCCUGGCACGUCCCCUGACAUCGCGCUAACGAGGACGCGAUUUAGGGAAAAAUGACCCAUUCUGAUAAAUAAUAAAAUACCAGGUCCAUUUCGAUAAAUUUAAAAAAAUUUAGGCUUUUAAUGGUAAAUUGCCCACCUAAUCCUACCAUAUGUCCACUAAACCAUUACUUCUCAUGAACGGUGCCUCAGUAUUGCAAUUUCCUAAGGCCUAAAAAUAGGCGCUUAAAAUCUGUAGAAGAAACAAAUAGUAAUUUUCCUAAGGAAGCUAAAAUAAAAUGAAACCUUAAAUUCUUAGCUUCUUCUUACCUUUCUUCUUUGUUAUUGCAACGCCAAAUGUCCCUUUGCAAGGGAACUGGUAUUCAUCAAACAGUGUGCGUGGGUCAUUUUCUUCCCCCAGUUCCUCUAAUCUCUGAGUUCAUCGGAGAUCCUGUAACAAAUCCUCUUUCUUCUCCAGAUUCAUCCUAUCAAAACACCGUCUUCACCUCUUCUAACUUCUUCCCCUUUGGCCCUUCAGAACGAUGGGUUCAACCUCCGGCGGAGUUUCUUCCAUCCAGAAGGUCAGGGAGUCGCAUCAUCUCCCCCAUGCAGCCACCGCAUGCGCCGCUUCGUUUACUUCACGCGGUAUGUAACUAAACUCAAUGCUCUUAAAUCUUUUGGUUUUUUUCUUUUAUUUCAUUUAUGAUGAUUCUGAUAAGUGAUCUGUCAUUUUUUGGACUUUGUAGUUUUUUAAUGACAGUCAUUAAAUCCCUUUCGACUAUUAUUUCGCUAAAUCUCAUUUCUUCUGCAAAGACAACCCCUUAGAGAAAUACAUAUGCUUCUGCAGUUGUCGGAUCUCGAACAUUUUUGACCGGGUAAACACAUGAACCCAUUAUGAGUCCUAUGUUGUUUCUGAUAAUUAUUCCAUUGAUUACUUUGUUGUUUUGUUGUUGAAACACAGUAUCAAAAUUUACUUUAACUUGGUCCUUUGUUGGGGGUUCCCAGUGGGCUUCCUUUCUAUUGUGCUUGUUUUCUAGUGCUUCGUUUAGUAUCCUUAGUUCUGUAAAAUAUGAUUUGAUAAAGCCCACUAUGUCAUAUAUCCUCUGUCGAAUACCUUCAUGGAAAAAAUUGUUCCUAUUAUGCCAUAUUCCCUAGAAUGAAACUGUUAGACAUGUACAUUGAUACAUGAUAUUGAUGUUAAAAGUCUCAGCUAACCAAUGUUUCCAUUCUUGAUUUUCAUGUAUGGGCGCGGAUAUCACUUCCAUCUGUUGGAGAACUUGUUUCACAAGAUUACAGUAUAAAAAGAUAUGGUUGACCAAUUCAUCUUCUUCACCACAUAAUGGACAUAGAGCAUCAAGCCUUAGCCUACGGGCAUUUAGGUUACUUAGUGUAGGCAAAUAAUUGUUUGUAAUUCUCCAUAAGUUGAUUCGUACCUUACUGGGAACUUUUAGGCUCCAUAAUUUUGAAUAAUUUUUUUGUUAGAUUUGGAGGUAUUUUGUUUUUCAUAUCCUAGCAUGUUUUGUUCCUCUGUAAUACACCACUUGUAACCACUUUUAGCUGUAUAUUCCCUCGACUUGUCUCCUCUUAAGAUUUCUAGUUGCAAAGAAUUCCCUAGGGGGAUGGAAUUGAUCAUCUUGGCUUGUUCUUCGGUGAAUAGCCUCUUUAAGAUGUCUUCCUUCUAGGUAACUGAGUCAUGAUCAAUUAGUUCCGCAACCAAAGAGUGCUUCCAAUUUAUAUUCUGAAACUAUAAUUUCUCAUCUCUAGGAUAUGGAAGCCAUGCAUUAUUCCAAAUAUUACUGAUUUUCCAUCUUCAAUCCUCUAACCAUUGCUUGUCUCUAAAAUGCUCCGAGCGCCCCAUAUACUUCUCUAGGUAAACGAAGGGUAAGAUCCUAACUCAACAUUCAUAAAAUCGCUCUAUGGGUAGUACUUAGCUUUCAUAACCUAUGCGAGUAAACUAAUAAGAUUGGUAAUUAACUUCCAUCAUUGAUUUGCCAACAAGGCUUUAUUAAACUUCGAUAAUUCUCUAAAACCAAUCCCCCCUUAUGUCUUGGGGGUACACAAUAACGUCCAACUACACCAAUGAAUACCUUUAUUUAUUUUUAAAUUUUUCCACCAGAACUUACACAUAAUAUUCUCUAGAUCCGACAUAAUGAAAUCGGUAACUGGAAGCAUUGCAUAGCAUAAAUUGGAAUGGCUUGUAAUACUGAUUUAACAAAAACUUAUUUCCCUCCUAUAGAAAGAUUACGUAUACUCCAAUUUUUCACAUUUGUCAAAAAUUUCUCCUUAAUAUCUAUAAAAGCGUUUUUCUUUCUCCUUCCUACCAUCAUCAGUAAUCUAAGGUAUUUUUUAGGAUUAUUGGCAAUACAAACUCCCAGAUUGCUCCCUAUUUGAUGCUUGACUUCAUCACUUAUAUUGUUACUAAAAUAAAUCAAAGAUUUAUCAAAAUUCACCAAUUGUCCUAAAAAAAUUCAUAUUCGUUAACUACUGUAUAGCUAAAGCCCCUUCUUUUCUUUCUUUUCCAAAUAAGAUACUAUCAUCAAUAAAGAAUAAAUGGGUUAUUGACAACCCAUCUCUCCCUGCUUUCGUCCUUCAAUUUUUCCAUCCCUUUUUGCAAUAUUGAGAAGUCUUGAGAAACCUUCUGCACAAAUGAUAAAUAGAUAUGGAAUUAAAGGAUCUCAUUGCCUUAUUCCUCUAGUGGGAUUGAACUCAACUCAUUUGCCUCCAUUGAAAACAACUGAGUAUGAAAAGCUCUUGAUACAUCGCAUAAUCAGUGAUACCCACUUGUCGUAGAACCCAAGAUUUCUCAUCAUUUUUUCAAUAAAAUUUUAUUCUACCCUAUCAUAUGCUUUACUCAUAUCUAAUUUUAAGGAAAAAGAACCUGGUACAUAUCUUCUUUUCUUGAAAGAAUGCAAUAAUUCAUAUGCCACUAGAAUGUUAUCAGUAAUUUGUCUACCUGGCACAAAUGCUCCUUGUGUUUCCUCAAUAUAAUAGCUAAGGGCCUUCCUAAAUCUGUUAACUAUAGCUUUCAGAAUUAUUUUGUAUACUACAUUGCAAAGGCUAAUCAGUCUAAAUUGACCCAUAUUUUUUUUCAUCAAUACUUUAGGGAUUAGGGCGAUAUUGGUUCUAUUUAUAACACCUAAUUCUUUCUGGUUAUUCAAAAUUUCUAAACAAAAGCUAGUCACAUCCUUUCCUAAAAUAUACCAAUAUUUUUGAAAAAAAGAGAGUAAGGAAGCCAUCCUUACUUGAAGCCUUUAGAUGAGCCAUUGACUUUAACGCAUCACAUAAUUUUUCUUCUUUAAAACUAGCUGAAAUUUCCUCAUUAAGGUAUCAGAUAUGCAAGGUAGAAUUUUCGUCCAUAAAUCCUAACAAUCUUGCAAGGAUUUUGAGGAGAAAAUAUCUUUAAAAUAUUUUCUCGCUAACUCAAGUAAUUCCUUAUCCUCUUCCUUCCAUCGUUAUUUGAAUUCCAUGCGAUCUUCACUUAUUCUUCAAAGUCCUCUUCUAGUACACAUUAUGCGUUAAAUCGAAAGGGAAAAUCUCUUCUUUCUGCUUUGUCACGUUGGUGCCCCAAUGUGUUCAGUAGUACUGGGCAGUGGUCCGAGAAGCUAUGUGUUAAAUGGCACAAAAAGUAACCAGGAAAACGACCCCACCAUUCCGAGUUUGCCACUUCUCUAUCCGAUCUUUCCCGUAUCUUGUUUUCUACUAGUCGUCCUCUUUCCAAGUAAACCAUUUGCUCGAGAAGCCAAGAUCGCUUAAUUCAAAUUCCUCCAAAACGUCCCUCAAUGCUACCAUUAUAAUAAAAAAUUUUAAAACAUAUAAAACUUCUAAAAAAAUCAAGUUAGGAUGAAGGUCCAAAAUUCAUUGAAAUCAAGAUAUCCAUUUAUUAAAAAAAACUGUAACAAUUAUUACACAUCCAAAAUGAACACGGACAAAUGGAAGUUCAAUUCUAAUGAUCUUAGACAUUAUUUUAUUCAAGUUCAUUUUAGAAGUGUUUUAUUAGUAUUUUUAUAAUUUUUUUGUUGUUGUUUUUAUAUUAAUAUGUUAUGAUUUUUUUAAUUUCUUAAGAUUUUAUAAAGCAUUAAUUUUUUAGUGUUUGAUUUUAUAUAUUAUAAAAAAAAACUAAAUACAAAUUUUAAUUUGAUAGUAUUUGAUUUUCUAUAUUUCAAUAGUCAUAUGAUAAAUUUUGUACUAAAAAUAUCUUCAUACUUUUGAAGAAAAUCCCUUGACAAACUCUUUUUAUUCCCGCAUGAAAAAUGCUAACACCAAAUUCAAACAGUGGACAUAAUUUUAGUUACUCUCUUUCAUUUAGUGAAUCGUAGUCUUCCUUCCAAUCACAAAUAUAAGAAAGAUCUAAAUGCUACACCAAAACACCUAUUCUUUUAAAUAUUUAAAAUUCGAGAAUGCUUAUAAUAAUCAUAUAAAAAUAUGAUAUUUUAUAUAAAAUUAUUAAAAAUUAAAUUUAAAAUGAAUCCGGACAAAGUAGGAUAUUUUAAAUAAGAUAUCACUUUCAAUAAUUUUAAAAUUUUUACUUCUUACUUUUUAUAAAUCAUCAUUAAUUUUCAUAUUUUAGCAUUUGAUUUUAAAUAUUUCAAUAAUAAUAACAAUGUUUUAUACAUUAGUAUUUGAUUUUAAAUGCUAAUAUUAACAAUUUUUUGUAAUGUGUAAUUUUCCCUUUUCUUCAAUUAACUUUCAGUUUAUUCAAAUUUUGAUCUAUACAGUAAUUCAUUUCAAUUUAUCAGUUUCAAGCACCUUAUACUAUCUUAUUUCAUGCAUAUGACAAUUUACUUUCACCUUUCUAAAUGUUCCUUAAAAUUUUAAAUUUUAUUCAAUUUAGUCCCUAAAAUAAAAAAAAAUGUCAUAAUUUUCAAAAUUGAGCCUUGAUUCCUGAACCGAUCCCAAUCUCAUUCUUCUACAACCCUCAAGUAUAUAAAUUUACAGAAUUACAAUAUCAAUUUUGAAAUAUUUACACUUUAAUCCCUAUGCCCAAAACUAUAAAUCUUUACUUUACAAAUUAGUCAUUUUUCAUAUAUAAACUUAAAAUCUAACUAUUUAACACUAAAACUUUAAGCAUUCAUCAAUGAUAUUAUUUAUAGAUUUUAAAAUUUUUUUAAAAAUAGUGUGCGGAUUAACUAAAUUGAGCUAUUAUUAUCUCAAAAAUAUAAAAUUUACAAAAAACGGAUUAUUUUGAACUUACAUGCAAUAUCCGAAUGUGAAUAAUUCAACAAUGGUUAUUCUUCUUUCUUUUCUUCUUUUCAAACGGUGGAGAAUGAAUAAGGAGGAUGAUGAUUUUAUUUUUUAUGUUUUGCUAUAUUAUAAAGAUUAUUACUUAAAAUUUAACAUGAUUUAAUCCAUUAUCAUGCCCAAAACCGUCCACUAACAUGCAAAAGCGGUUAAUUAUCACUUUAAACCUUGGUUUAAUAUUAUAUAACCCCUUUUAACUAGUAAAAUCUAUAGUAAUUAAUUCUUAUACCUUAAUUAAUUAUUUAAACAAUAGAAUUAAUGGACUAAACAUUACUCGUAAAUAUCCAAAGUCACUGUUUUCGAUACCACUGGAAAAAGGGUUGUUACAUAACGCUUGACCAUUCUCAUCAAGUCAAUAAAUGCAUUUGACAGUUAACUUAUAAUAAAGUGAAUUAUCUUUUUGAACUUCUAAUUCAAAUUACUUUCUACGAUGAUUUAGAUAAUGAUAAUUUAUUUAUCGAACUAAUAUUUCUCUCCCUGCAACAUUGGAAAAACUAUCAAAUCAAAUAGUAAUCACAAAUCAUAUCAUACUUAAAUAUCUAAUUUAUUCAACACAUUUAAUAAUAUUUUAUGAAUUAUGUGGAGUAACUUAAACAUUUAAAAAUAAAGAAUAAAUGCUAAUGCUUCUGUUUCUGUGUCUUCAUUAAAAUUUUCCUUAUCCUUACCACUUGCUGUGUAGAGAUAGAUCACAUGUAGCCACCAAUGCCGUCUCAUUAAUUUUCUCCAUUUAACUUAUCCUCUCUAAGAUAGAGACAUUUAAUUCUUGAGUUUGUUAUAUAAGUUGAUAUCUAAAUUUUCAUUCUUGGUGUCUUCCCUUUUUCUUAAACAGAUCAUUCUCCACCACUUGCUUUCGAGAGCCAUGAAGGUCAUCUCAUUAAAAUUAUUCUUUAUUUACCUUAAAAGUAUCUAAAUUUUUAUUCCGGUAAAAGUUUUUAUAUUUUAUUAUAAUAAUGUUAAAUUCGGGACACAUGACAAUGAUGAUAUCAUAAUAUAUCUUCAAAAUUUUAAACUAAAAAGAUUAAAUUAAUCAGUUUUCUUGGAAGCAAGAUUUUAAAUAUUAUGUUUAAUUGCUUCAUUUUCCUUAAAUAUAAAAUUUGUGAUUAAUUCAUGUUUUACCUUAAAAGAUUUGCAAUUAAUUGCGUAUUACCUCUGGAACAUCUGACCAACGUAGAAAUCAAACUUACAACUAAGGAAAACCCAGACAAGCAACAAGCCCAACUUUUUUCAUCAUCUCCAUCAUCAUCAUCAUCAGUUAUGUUUGUUUUUUGUUUUUUUUUUUUUAAAUAAUAUUAAAAAAUAGUUAAAUACAAAAAUGGUAUGAUAAACAAAUUAAUUACGAAAAUGAUAUGUUUUCUAAAGUGAAUAUUAGUGCCGUUUGACUAAGCACCGCCCUAUUUUUUUCCAAUCAUCAUGUAAUCAUAUGAUUUAAAAUAUAUAUAUUGAUACCACCUGGCAUAAUGACGGCAUUAAACUGAAGUGUGACAAACUAAAACGCUCAGGGUUCAAAGACUUGAUAUGAAACUUUCACUUUUUAGAUUGACUACUAUAAAAAAACUCUUUUAAGGUGACGAUGAUAGUGUGGUAGCACCAAAUAUAUUUUAAGGGAUAAUUGCUUUAUAAUCCCUUCUUGCUUAUUAUUAUUUUUAAUGUACUUCUUUUUUUUAAAAAAAAAAAAAGAAAACCACUUUAGUCCCUAUCAUUACAUGAAACCUUUCUUAUUCAUUCUUUCUUUACAUGAAAAGAUGGUGCUAAAUUUUAGUUUUAAUCCCUCUAUUAUUUUGAGAUUAUAUAAAUGGUUAAUUUUUAGUUUUGAUCCUUAUAUUUGGCUCAAAUUUGAAAUUCAAUCUCUAUUUUUUAUUUUUGAAAUAAAACUUUAAUUUUGACAUAAUUUGAUAUAUCAACUCUUAUAAUGCCAUUAGUUAAAUUAAAUACUUUAUUCUUUUUAAAAUACUAAAGUGAAUUUUUAAGAAAUAUUUGCAUCGUUAAAAUUCUCUAUUAAAUUUAAAUUCAUUACAAUGUCACUUUUUGUUAUAUGGAUAACAAAAGAGGUUUUUUUUUUAAAAAAAAUUUGAAAUGUUACCCCAGCAAAUUCAACAGAAAAAUUAUAAUGGUGUAAACAAAUAGACCUAAGUUUUUUAAUUAUAAAAAUAAAGUAAAUAUACUCUUGAAAAUAAAAGUAUAGAAACUAAAUUUCAAAUAUACAAAGAAUAUAAUAACAUUGAGUGCAUUUUAACCUUUAAAAUUUUACCCUAUAUUUAACCCAGAAAUAAUUAAUGAGUGCAAAGGGUGAGCAUAUAUACAUUAGAAACUCACACAUAUAGUUUAAAUGCCAUAUAUUCUUUGUAAUGACUCGAUAGUUAGGGGUGACGGAAAGUAGAGUUUCCGGACUCUGUUUCUGAAAACCGAACUCGUAAAUAUUUUUAUUAAAUAUUUACGAAAUUAUAUUAGAAGUGAAUUAAAUUUUGGUUAAGUAAUUUUCGUGAAUUAGGAGUUAUUACAACUCAGGGAGUAAAUCGCGUUAGAUUCAAAAGUUGAAUUAUAAUUAAAUUAUAAGGUGGAACUUAAUUAAGGGACUUGCUAAAAAAUAGACCCUUAUAUAAAUGGUUGAGUGAUGGCCGGUCAUGGUUUAAUGGUAUGUGAAUGUUUAUAUUAUAAAACUGUAGAUAUAAUAAUAAGAAUAAAUAAAAUGAACUUGAUGUAUAAUAAUAAUAAUAAUAAUAAUAAUAAUAAUAAUAAUAAUAAUAGUUAGUGGAAUAAAACAACCCAAAAACUCAUUUCCGUCUUUUAUUUCACAUGCAAAUUGAAUUGAGGAAGAAGAAAAGAAAGAAACACACCGCCUGGGAACUUAAAAAGUCCAAGCUCAAAAUUGGUUAGUGCAAUUUAGUUCUUUUCUUAUAAUUUUUACGUUUUUAGAAUUUCAGAAUUAUAGAUUAGCCGACCCAUGUUAUACCUUUUAGUAUUGUUUAAGAUUGAAGAUGUCACCAUUGUUGAUUAGAUAGAGUAUUAGGAAUUAAAUUGGUAGAUUUUUAAGUUAGAAGUGGAAAAGGACUAAAUUGUGGAGUUAAUUAUUGAUUUUGAGUAAUAGGGACCAACUUGUGAAAAAUUCAAAAUUAAGGGGUAGAAUUGAAAAUAGGGAGCUAAAUUUAGCUUAGAGUGAAAUUAAUAUAAAAAUUUGAGGUUAAAUGUGGAGAUUAAAUUAUUCUCAGUUUAGGGACUAAAUUGAAGUUUAAGCAAAUAUGAUAUAAAAUUUGAAAUUUGAUGAGAAUUGAUUUGUGUAUUAUUACUAUUUUAAUUAUUUUAUUCCAUAGAAAACGUCGUUCCAGAAUCCUCGAGUAAGAAGGGGAAAGACAAGGUUGACGUCGAAUAGCUCAAAAUAUACAGUUUGUGUGUCUAUGAUCCGAACUCAAUUAUGAAUUAUUGCAUAUUGAAUUGUUUGUAUAUGGUAAGUAUUUGAGGUGAGAACUUUUGUACUUUUGGGCUGAAUUAAAUAAAAUGAUGAUUAAAAUGACCCAAUUAUGAAUGUCGAGAAAUGUGGUAUUUUUAUGAUUGUUGAAUUGAAUAUAUGUAUUGAGAGAACGUGGUUGCUAUCAAAUUGAAUAUAUGCUUAUAUGUGAUAAUGUACAUAUAUAAAAUUGAAACAUUGGUUGUAUUGAAAAGUAAAAUGAAACUCUAUUAAUUGUUUCGGGCUAAGUCGAAUAUAGAUAGCAUGCCAUAGGAUAGGAGGUGUACAGGGAUUACUUCGAUUUCGAGUCGAUGAUGCACUAGGUGCCAAUUUGCUUCACUUUAACCGAUGAGACACUGGGUGUCAACUUAUUAUAGCGCUGAGCUCAAUUAUUUGCUUCAGAUUUAUCCGAUGAGACAUUGGGUGCCAAACGUGUAUUCAUCCAAGUCCGAGUCGUGUUAAUAGGGAAAAUAAAUUAUAAAAAUCGAUGUGUUUGAUAUUAUAAUGGCAAAAGAUGAUAAAUGGAAAUGAGAUGUGAAAUAAAAUAGGAAAUGAUAGAUUUUGUUGUGAAUAUUGAUGAAUUAUGAGCAAUGAAUUCAUGAAUUGGAAAUGGAGAUGAAUUAUGCUAUUGUAUGAAUUGAUUUAUCAAAUGCCUUAUGAAUUGCUAUUGUCAUGUAUUAGAACUUGCAAGAUUUGUUGGAUGUGAACAAAGGAUGAGUAAAUUAGUAUUAUUGAUAUGAUAUAUUAUAUAACAUUACUUAUUUGCAUUUUUACAUAUUAAUUAUUUAUAUCAGGUUUUAAUUGUUCGGAUUAUAGAAAUACCAUUGAGUUAUACUCAACGUACGAUGUUGUUUUUCGUGCGCAGGUUGGGUACUUCUCUGCUUGUUAACGACUCAACAUCCAACAACAAUCCUGGACUCAAGUGUGGUGAUAUUCUAUUUUGUUAUGGCAUGUACCUAGGUGGUCUUUUGGUUGAUGGUUGUUUUGUUAAUGUGAUGAUAUUUUGAGUUCCAAGUGUAAUGGUAUUUAUAUGUUCAUAUGGUUGAGGUUAAAGCUAAUGUCUUGGUAUGUUAGUCAAACUUGAUGUUUUGAGUAUAACUUAGUAGUAUUUCUAUAAUUUGAACGAUUAAAACCUGAUAUAAAUAAUUAAUAUGUAAAAAUGCAAAUAAGUAAUGUUAUAUAAUAUAUCAUGUCAUUAAUACUAAUUUACUCGUUCUUUGUUCACAUCCAACAAAUCUUGCAAGUUCUGAUACAUGACAAUAGCAUUUCAUAAGGCAUUUGAUAAAUCAAUUCAUACAAUGACAUAAUUCAUCUUCCAAUUCAUGAAUUCAUUGCUCAUAUGUCGCAGGCCAUGUGUCAGACUGUGUGAAACCAGCACUUAAAUUAACAAGACAUUACCUGCGACACGGCCGUGUGACUCAAGUCAAUGAGUUGCACGAGUAGAGACAUGGGCUGGGACACGACCAUGUGUCCCAACAUCGAAUACCACACGGCCUGGGGCAUGUCACAUGACUUGGCCACACAGCCGUGUGACCCUUGUUUUUAAGUUUUUAAAAUUUUUCCCUAAAUUUUUCGAAUUGUUUUAAUUUAUCCCCUGUUUGUUUUCAAACUAUUUUUAAGGUCUCAUGUAUUCGUUUUAAGGGCUGUAAGAGUAUUUUUACUCUGAUUUUAAAUGAAGUAGUGAACCUAAAUUAGGUGAAGUAGGUCAUUCUACUAAUAUCAUUGAUGAUAGUAGGCAGAGUAUAACUGAAUGCACUAUUGUGAAUAAUUGGAAUAGUAUUGCUACGAACCCAACCUCUAACUUUCAAGAGGGGAUAAAUAGUGAUAAAAGGAUAGUUUGUGUAAAACCAUGUUUAGUGUUGCAUAGCAAUUCUCAUUCUCAGUUGUUCAAGUUAAUGUAAUGGGAACAUUGAAUAAGCAUGACCUGAUUUCUAUAUAAUAAUGAAUGAUAAUAGUUAGCUAGCAUAAUUGCUUAGAUUGAAAUUAAUUGUUCUGUUUUUUUAUAGUAAUGCUCUGUGGUCCUGAUCCAACGACGGAGGUGGGUUAGGGGUGUUACAUUCUAUAUUUGAAGUCCCCACAAAAUGGAAGUAGCUUAAAAAGAACAUAACAAGUAAAGAAGAGUUUAUGAAGCAAUUAUCCCCUAAAACAUAUUUGAUGUCGUCCCACACUAUCAGACGACACCUUAAGUUUUUUUUUUUUUUACAAUAGCCAAUCUAAAAAAAAGUUUCAUAACAAAUCCCUGAAUGUUUUGGUUUAUCACACCUUAGUUUGGUGUCGCCAAUGUAUCAGGCGAACCAAUAAUUUUUUUUUUAAAAAAAAACUUGAUGAUUGCAUGAUGAUUGAGAAAAAGUAAGGCGGUGUCACUAACCAAUCAGGCGACUUCGGUAUUCAUUGUAGAAAACAUUCUAUUUUCAUAAUUAAUCCAUUUUUCAUACCAUUUUUAUAUUAAAUUAUUCUUUUAAUACUAUUUUUAUAAUAAAAACCUUUAUGUUUACAUCAAAAUCAAAAAAUAUUUUUUUAAUUCUAAAAUUCAAUCUCAUAUCAUCCAUAUAAUAAUAAACUAGUAAAAUAAAUACAACAUAUUCAAAUUCAAAGAAAUGUUUUUCUUUCUUUCUUUCUCUUUAUCAUUAAUCAAGUUCAACAUUUAAAACUUUAAACAAACUCACAUAAAAAGCUUCUCAUCUUCAUCACCAAAGUCACUACAAUCUUUUACAUAUACUCUCUGAUUUUAUUUCAUUGGAGAAACCCAAAAUAUUCCCUUUCUUAAAAAGAAGAAAAAUUAAAUAAAAAAUAAGAUACCUUUUUUUAUAAAGUUAUAAAGUUAAAUAAGUCAUUAAGACAAAGUUAAAAUAUAUAAAAUAAAUAUUUAAUAAAUCUAUCCAAAAACAGCUUGUAUAAACGGGCGCCAACUCCAUCUACUUAUUCCAAGCAAAAUGUAUACAAUUAUUGAUAACAUAAUACAUACGCAAUUAUUGAUAAAAAAAAAUACAUGAGAAAAGGUAGCAGCGGUUAGUUUUAUUAUUAUCGGCCAAAUAGGACAUAUAUGUCAAAAAAAAAAGUCUAAUUUUUUUGAAAAUUUAGGGAAAUAAGUUGUUUUUGGAGAGAGUAUGUGUCGAAUAAGCUUUUUGUACAGUUAGCAAGAAAGCACACCCAGUUAGACACGUUUUCCCUUUAAGUCGCAAAUUUUUAUUUUUUUUAAUACAAUUAGUUUCUUUAGUUAGAUGGUUAAAUGCUAGUGGUUUCAUCCUUGAAUCUCAGGUUUGAUUUCUCUCACACUUAUAUUUAUAUUUUUUUAUUUCAUAUUGUUUUAAUCUUUUUUUAUUUUUAAUUAAUUUUUUUUAAUAUACUAGCUUCCUUAAUUAAAUGGUUAAAUAAUAAUUUUAUCCUUGAGACUGAGGUUCAAUUCUCCUUUUCUAAACAUAUUUGUAAUUUUUACUUCAUGUUAUUUCAAAAAAAAUUAAUUAAUAAAUAUAUUUUUUUAAUUUUUAAUUCAUUUUUUAAUUAAUAACUUUUUUAUUCAUAAAAUCAAAUAGUUAGUAUCCUCUCAGCAUUUUCGAAGGGACAGGAUAAAGUUCCCCAAUGUAAACGAGGAAGAGGUGCCUUCCGGUCAAAGCAUGGCCCUUUUAUAUAAAUAACCCUAAAAUUUUGAUUAAUUACGAAAAUGAUUCACUUUUUUGAUUUUACACGUAAAUGAUCUGAAAUCUACAGUAAAAAUGGGUGGAGCCAAAGAGCUUGGCGCCACCAAUAUGCUACGUUAGAAAACUCAUUAAAAAAUUCAAUUUUUUGGUAGAGCCAUGUAGAAUGGCGUCACCUGUAUAAAUACCAAGAAAAUACUGCUAUUUCUGAAGAAUUGGGGGUAAAAAAUAAAGAGGUGGUGGAGCCAAAUAAUUGGGGAUAAAAAAUACCAGGGAAAUACUGCUAUUUAUCUGUCGGUAUUUUUUUUAGUUUUUUUAUAUUUAAAAUUAUAAAAAAAUGUUUUUAUUGGGUACUUUAUGUAAGGAUUUUUUAAUAUUUUUAUGCCUUAUCUCGUUUAAAUAUAUUAUUAUAAAAUAUUAUUUUAUAGCUCAAAAUUUUAAUCAAUUUAUGAAUUUAUAUAUAUAAAAAGAACGUUCUGAGCCAUAUAGAAUGACAUCACCAGUAUAUUGUACAUGCUUUUUUUAAUGUUUUUUUAAUUUAAUUUUUUUUUAAAAAAUAAUAUUUAUUUGGUGGAGUCAUUCUUUGUGGCGUGAUCAAAUAGUUAUAUAUAUCCCUAAUCCAAUGGCAAAUCACUCUAAGUUGGAGAUUUUUUUUAAUUAUAUCAUGUUAGAUGAUGAAGGGGAGAAAGAUGAUAGUGUUUUUUUUUAUGUUUUUAUGUUUAAUGGUUAUUUUUGGUUGCUAAUCAUUUAUUCGAUAACAGGUUCAAAUUGGUUAUGUAAGUCUUUUCAUUGGUUGUGGUAGGACGAUAACAAGUUCAAACUAGUUAUCUAGCCAACGGAUGAAUUAUUUGGGAUUCUCUAGGCCAACAGGAUGUUUGAAGGUUUUAAGGAAUCUCAAUCGAACUGCACGGGUAAGAUAAUCAAUAUCAGCAACAUCAAAACUGCAAGAUAAUAGCACUUAGAAAGUCGCCCCUAAUGCGGUUAAACAAUUUAUUUUUCAAUUUGUAAGACACAAUGUUGUUGGUCUUAAACAAAAUCGUUUAACUUUUUUUAGUAUUGAGAAAGUUGCUCAUGUUGUAAAAUUAUAUAUUGUAAGUUAAGUGAAACUAUUUUAGAAUGUUUGAGAUGUAAAAAUUAUAUUUUGAAUUAUGUAAGUUGAUAGUUAUUUGACAUGUUAGCUGUAAAAUGAUUUUCAUGUAAAUCAUUUAUGUAAUGUGAAAUCAAGAAAAUCAAAUGGACAUUUUUAAAGAAAGUUUGACAAGAAAAUCAAAAAAAAUAAUUCUAUAUAGCUCCACCAAAUAAAAUAUUAUUUUUUAAAAUUUUAAAUUAAAAAAUAUUAUUUUUAAAAAUAAAAAACACAUUUAAAAAAAAAACCUCACAUAAAGGGUAGCGUGAAACUCUUUGGCUCCACCAUAUUUAUUUUUUGACCCCCAAUUUUUUAGAAAUAGCAGUAUUUCCCUAGUAUUUAUACAAGUGGUGCCAUUCUCCAUGGUUCCACCAAAAAAAUGAAUUUUUUAUUGGGUUUGCUGACGUGGCAUGUUGGUGGCAAAUUCUUUAGCUCUAUCAAUUUUACUGUAGAUUUCAGGCCAUUUACGUGUAUAAUCAGAAAAAUGAGUCAUUUUUGUAAUUAAUUAAAAUUUUAAGGCCAUUUGUAUAAAAGAACCAUCAAAGCAUAGUUCUUAUCCCUUCUAGUAGCCAAUCAAAAUGAAAGCAGAGCUAUCAGUGACAUCAACCUUGGAAACUGGUAACGAUAAAUGAGAGGCUAGCUAUAAUUGCUUGUAUGGGGCAAUUCCAAUUAACAAAGCUAAUACAAAGUAGAAAGAGGGUUGUUUUACACCAUAUUAUAAAAUAAAAAAUUAAAUUCGAAAAUGGUAUGUAUGCCUGAUGCGGUCGUUGAAAGCACCAAAAAUAUCUUAUCCCUAAUAAAUAAUGAAAAAGAAUAGUAAAAGGGAAGUAGGGUCAAAUCCUCAGGGACUGGAUUUGCACAAUAUCUUGUUCCGUGAAAUCCCGGCAAAAUCUUGCUCAAGAAAACCUGCGUUCCUGGAAAGAAAAAUAAAAAUAACAGAAUUAAAUGUUUGGAUCUGGAAAUGAAAAAUAAAAUAAAAACAGAAUUAAGAAUAUUGAAUCGAAAAUUUGAGAAAUUAAAAAUAGAGUUGAGGGAAAGGAAAUUCUUAUGGGAGAUUCCAGCCUCCAGUUGUCUCGUUCCGCCUUGGGUUCAAUCCUCGAUUUUUAGAUGAUCCUUCCCAAAUCGAAUAAGCCAGUUACCUACAACCACCAGCUCCAAGGAUUUAGACUUACGAUUUGGUGGAACCUGACUCUAGCCAACAAUCGCUUCUGUGAGAUCGUCUUAUGCUAGAUCAACACUUCUCAAUGGCGAAUCCCACGCCAUUUUGUCUCUUUGGCUCGCCAACCUCUGACGCAGUAAGCUAACGAACCGAUUGUGCAACCUUCCCAAAACAUACAAAGUGGCCGCCUUUGCAUAGGUUGAAAAGCUUACUUCUUAAGGGACAUGGAUGGAAGCGUCAGCCCCGUAGUGCGAAGAAACGAUGAAUACUCGUUGAGAAGGCUAAGUACGAAUUCUAAGCCUCAUGAACCCUUUUGGGGAUUUUAGACAACCUUUGGCUAGAUGGGUUUAGUGGCUCAUGGUUGUGGUGGAAAAGAAAAUAAAUAAACUAAAAAUGGAGAUUUUAUUGAAAUAAAAUAUGAGAAGAACAAAAGCCUAGACUUUUGGGGAGAGAGUGUUUACAGAAAAAGAUGAGAUCUCUUUUGAGUCACUUCACCUCCUAUUUAUAGUGCCAGGGGAGAUAGUCUAAUCCUACUUAAAUUCCCAAAAGAUAAAUACAUUUAAUUGAAGAUAAAUAACGAUAAAUAAAUAAAAUUCUAAAAUUAGAUAAUCCUUAAUAAUUAUCUUAAUAUUAAUUAUCCUAAUAUAAUUAAAAUAGAGUUUGAUAGAAUAAAAUCUCUUCUUUUUGCAUUUCAACCCUUGUGUCCUCCAUGCUUGCACUUUUGGCACCAACUUUUCUUUGCGUCGCACAUUGGCCCAUUUUAUCUCUAAAUUCACACUUUUGGCCCUUAAUUUUGCUUUUGCCUCAAAUUUAGUCCCUAUGAGAUAAAAGAUCAUGAAUAGCUCAAAUUAGCAGGAUCAUACUCAGAAUAAAUACAUAAUUAAUACAUAAAAAUACUUUAUUCUAGAGUGUUAUCAAUGUCCAAUUAUAUACGAAAAUAGGGCGUUUGAGGGGUGGAGGGUGGUGCAUAGGCGGCACUACCCUAUUUUUUUCUUGCAGAAAAUAGUUUUAUGUAAAAAAAUUGAUAUAUUAACGGGUCAUGCAAUUAUGAUUGGCGGCACCCAAUGUACAUGUUUAGUAUAAACGCGAUUAUAAAAUAUGGGUAUAGGGUAAGGGGUGGUGCCAUAUCAAUAGGCAGCACCAGUAACCCAUAUCUGAUAGGCGGCAUAAGAGAAGAAGCAGAUUUAGGAAACCUUAUAACCAUGGUCCCCCUUUGUAGUUUUAAAACAAGAGAAGUAGUUUUUUUUUAAAGGAAAGUAGAAGAGAAGAAGAGAGGGAGAAGAAAGAAAGGUAAAAAAAAUUAGUAGAGAAGAUUAAAGGAAAAGAAAACUAAAAGAAAGAAAGGAUAGUAGAGAAGAGGAAGGUGGAGGUUUUUUUUUUUUUAAAAAAUAGAAGCGAUUAGAAGUUACUAUAAAUGAUUUUGUUACUAAUUUGUUUAGUUUGAUGUUUACUGUGAUUUGUUAUAAAUGUAUUUUUUUGUGUUGUUUUAAAAUUAUUUUAAAGUUAUUUUGUUAGUAAUUUUUAGUUAGUGAUGACACUAGAGGAAAAUAGAUAAUUAUUGAAAUUUGAAAAAAAACUUAGUUUCUGUCAUAGAUAUUGGAAGAAAUGACAAUAAAUCUAAUAUUGCCUAAUGAAAUAACAAUUUCAACACAAAGGGAGAAACUUGAUAGGAUGAUCAGAGAAGUGCAAGAUUAUAGAAUGAAACCAGAAGAAGACAUCAUUCAACACAUUAUUACCCUAAAUUGAAAGAUGCAAGAAGUGUUAUGGAAGGGUUAUGAAUUGAUUAGAAAGAAUAAAGUGCAAUACUUGACCCUUAGAGGGACAUUAAUAGAACGGGAACAUCAAAUUUAGACCAACUUUGGAAGACAUUGGUACUACGAACCUAUUGGAAUAUAGUUAUAUACUACGUGAAGUUUAUAAUCUCUUAUGGAGCAAGUAAAAUUGCGAGACAUUCGUGAAAGUUGAUUGGGAAGCAAAAUGUCUUUGACAUGCCAUGGAUGGGUAAAUUAGUUGUUAGGAAAUUACCAAGAGAAUUUAUAAAUUCAAUACCCAUUAUAAAGAUGGAAAAUGAAGAAGAUCUUUAGGAAUUUCCAAAUUGGAUUGUAGAAGAUGAAUUUGAAGAGUAUUCAGAAUUUAAUAUAGAGUAUUUCCCGGAGGAAGAUACAGAAUCAAAGAUGGAAGAAAAUGUAGAAAUGAGUUUAAGUGGUUAAGUAUGAAGAUAAAAUAAAAGUUAGAAACUAGAAAAUGUGAAAAAAGAAAAGAGAGUAAAUAUGGUUGUACAUGUACAAAAUGAAAACUUAAUGUUGAUAUAAUGCUGAGCUUAUGAAUGAAAAGUUUUACAUAUUGAUAUAAUGUUGGUCUUUUUUUUUUUACAGUUUAUUUUUUAUUAAAGUAAUUUUUUUGCUGAUUGAAAUUAUAUUGAUAAUUUUUAUUUCCUUUUUAAUAGAUUUAGUAUUGAACAUGGAUAAUCAAUUUUUCGUAUGCAUUUAUUUUGAUGGAGUAAUUUUGACAACAACAAUUGAAUGUAUAUUUUAAUGUCGCCAACAAAUAGCAAUGAUAUUUAAUAGAAAUGUCUCAUUUGAUGAUAUGAAGGAAAUGAUUACUGCAAAAAUUGUUAAACGUUGUGAGAGAAGGAUCUCGAAACUUUUCUACAAGCUUCCAGUUUCAAAAAAUCCCAUCAAAUUCAUCGAGAUGAAACUUGUAGACGAUAAUAACGUUGAGACAAUGGUCGCUCUUUAUUGUAGGAAUUAGAGCAACCAAAAUGCACCGAUUCAAUUAUUUGCUGAGUUCCCACUUCACUAGGUGUAGAACAUGGAGCUCAAGAGUCGUGUAUGGUGGUUUCAAUAUCGUACGUUAAUAGUCAAUCGACUGUACGCAGGAUCGAUAUCAAUCUUAAUGCUGCACCUGAGACUGAUGCGGUCAGUGACGAUGGAUACAAUAGUAGCGAUCCUUCUGAUUACAAGGUCGAUAGUGAUAGUGAUCCCGAUGUAGAUGAUGUUUCGGAUGAUAUUAACUAUGAAUGUGCGAAUGAAGAUGGAAAUGUUAACACGUCUUCGACCGGGAAACAGAUUCGAUGUAUUGUGAUACACAAUAAUCCUGGGGCACACAUGUCGCUUAUAGACCCCGAUGUGAUGCAUUUAGUCGAGUUCCCAAUGUACCCUGAUAUACUACUUGCUCACCAGUUAGCCGUAGAUUCCGAUCCUGAAGAGUUGUUUGUGAGCCAAAAUUUGAAAGCAAUGAAGGGUGUGUAUUUUCCAUUAAGCGGUAUAGCAUGAAUGUGUCAGUAGACUAAAAAGUCGCCAUGUCUAAACAGACAUUAUACAUUGGGGAGUGUUGGAGGUCAACAGAGGGCUGAAAUUGGCUAGUAUGAGCCAUAUUUAUCCAGAAGUUGUAGAUGUGGGAGAUACGAAAAUUUAUUAGGCCUCACAUAUACAUUUCAACACGUAUAAUAGUAGAUCACCGAAAACUUGAUUCUGAAACUAUCUGUACAUGCAUCAUGUCAAUGGUGAAGGACAUACCAAGUAUUAAAGUUUCAGCACUGAUUGCUGAAAAGCAAGCACGAUUCCAGUAUGAAGUAUUAUACCGAAAAACAUGGAUAGCUAAUAAGAUGACAAUGGAGCUAUUGUAUGGAGAGUUCAAUACGUCAUACAAUGAGCUACAUUGUGGAUAGUUGCUAUGCAGGAGUACUUACUGGGGACUGUCAUUGAGUUGCAAACAGUUGUUGGGUACCAUGAAGUCGUGGCAAUGGACUCAAAGUUUCGACGAGGAGUUUAGCCAUAGUUAAUAUGACCACCAACUUGGCAGAGAGGGUUAACUCCGUGUUGAGAAAAAUAUGACAUCUUUUGAUUUCAUUUGUUUUCUCGGCUAUGUUCUACAGGCUGGCUACCUUGAUGCCAAUAAUAGGGUAGCAACAAGUCAACCGGAUGGAGGUGGAACACGUAUUUGUCGAAGAUGUUAGGGAUGUAAUGGUUGCAAACUGUCAGGAGGUGAGGUUGAUGAAUGUAGAAAUAUAUUCACGACAUCUUGAAACGUUUUAAGUUACGGAGACCAUCGGUCUUCGACCUGGUAUACUGCUUAGGUCCUACGGAGUUGAUCUCUGAAAUAGACGAUGCGAUUGCAGGAGGUUCCAAACACUUCAUUAUUCUUGUAUGCACAUCGUGCUAGCCUGUGUGCAUGCGUCGCUCAAUGAUGAAUAAUUUAUCGAUGAUGUGUAUACUCUUGAGCGCACGUUGCGUGUUUGAGAGAACGAGUUCCUGUCCUGCCUGACCUGUCUAUAUGGGAGGUGCCUCCGACUACUUUCAAGCUUGUCCCAGACAAAGGGUUGCGUAGGAAUUCGAACGAUCAUCCGCAAUCAACCAAAAUACAUAAUGAAAUGGACAUUAUGGAGAAAACCGACGGAAAGCUUUAUGACGUAUGCAGAUUAGCUGGGCAUAACCGGAGUAAAUGCUCGCAAUGAACCUUCCAUAUUGGACAAUCGUUGCAAUCAGGUAGAAAUUGAGCUAAUGUACUCUAAUGUAUCUAAUUUAUAACAAAGUUUGUUCCAAGUUUGUUGCAAUGAAUCUAAUUUAAGUUACAAAAUUUGUUCCAAUGAAUCUCAAUUAAAUAAAUACAAAGUUUGUUCCAAUUUUGUUCCAACACAUGUUAUUUAAAACUACAAAGUUUGUAUUUUUGCAUUUAAAUUUUAUCUAAAAUUAAAUAAAUACAAAACUUGACUAUUUAAAUUGCAGAAACCCCUAAAAUUGAUGGUUUGAUGGUGUAGUCCUAGAGGUAUAUUUUUUUAGUGGUCGGCAUUCACAUUGUUGGUGAUCGCAGUAAUCAACGUUCUCUUCACCCGAACCUGGGGUGUGCUAAACAUAGAAGAAAAAUCAUAUGCCCUAAACGUCAUCGAUGAACUUGGGCCGGGAGGAGUGGAGUAUUGCAAUGGUAAUGGGCUAGGAGAAGUGGAGUACUGUUGUAGUAGUGGGCUGAAGAUAUCAAACUCUAAAUGACAUCUAUGUCUUGACGAGUCCAGGAAAUAGUCAUUGACCCCCAAGUUCGGAUGAUAAGAACUAUCUCCAGAAUGUGGCUCUGGGCGAUGGCUCAGGCUCGGGUGUAGGAGACUGAUGUGGAAGGGGAUGAGACAGUUGCCCAAGUCGUGUUAUGUGCGGGGGGACUAUCAUCGACUGCCCACCAAAUAAAUACAGUUUUCCAUUUUAAAGUACCACUGUAUGUACUAUAAAGAGGACUGCAGAUUGAAACAAUGAUCCAUCUGAGGUAUCCACCCCAUGAUGUUGUUCCACACUGCAAUAUAUUGGUAAUGUACUAUUGCCCAGUUAUUUUCAUGUUCCCCCCUCUUGUUAAUCCCAUGGAUGUCCCCGAACUGUACUGGCGAGGCUGGGAUAUACUGUAUGCAACCGAACUGCCAGAGUACUCAAUCCCUGUGAUACCACUCUACUGUUUGGAAAUUUACAAUGGGUGCAUUAAUGCACCAUAAGUCUGAGUGGAUGUGAGCAGACGAGGGGAUAAUAGCUAUAAUUUUCGAGAGAGAAUAAGGCAUCUAGAUGAACUGUACAAUUAAUAACAUGGUUAUAUUAAUGCGGGUCAAGUAAGAUAAAGUAAUAAAAUAUCAUGAAUAUUAGAACAACUUACCCCUUCUCCGACAUGAUUCUCAAUCAUCAAACGGUAUAUCGAAACUGUGUAUGACCUCCCGAUACCCGAAUUAGUACUCCAUUUAUGAAAAAAAACUUGUUAGAAUAAUAUCAUUAUGUAAAAAUGUCAAAUAAUUACUAUAAUGGGUAAAAUUUUAUCACCUAUUGACUAGGAGAAAUACAUAUGCUUAAUGGCUAAUCGAUGCCAAGAAUGACAUUCGGUAAAAAACCCAAGACUGCAGCAAUAUGAGGCAUCAACCUAUGUCCACAAUAGAAGAAUUUGUUGUCCGAAAAAGUUAGCGAUACAACAUAGCUAGCACUGCGGACCCCCAACUAUACCAACAGAUGUUAUGCAAAUCAGAUAAUAAGGGCAAGUACAUCAAGUGAAUCUUGUUGUUAUUUGCAUUCAGCAUGAGUACACCCUCUAUGAUGUGCAUAAUGUAUUCUCGAAUGGCGUACAUCAUCUCCCGUUCAGUGGUAGUACUCGGUAAAUGCUCAAAAUUGACCUUCAGCCAUGAAAACCUCAAACCCAUAAAUUUCCCCUCAGUAGGCAAGCGUCGAAGUAAGUUAUAGCAAAGGGCGGUUGGCUUAAAGAUCGAACUUACGCUCGUGACCGCACUCUCGUCGAUGGGGAACCCUAGUUGCAAUGCAAUAUCCUGCAAAGUGAUGGUGCACUCCCCACAUAACAAAUGAAAUGUGUGAGUCUCUGGGAGCCAUCGCUCGACCCAAGCGGAUAUUAAGUCAUACCGCAAAUCACACGUCUGGAUUAAUGCCGCUGAUCUGAAUUCGACUAACUCCAAGUAUUGCAUGAGGCGUUCAUCCGACAGAUAGUCUACACUAUUCACACGACCCCUCAAUGCACGGACGGGCCCUGCACUAUUAAAUUACCGAAAUAGUUAAUAUAACAUAAUUUAAUUCCAUAAAUUACGUGAGUAAUAAAUAAUAAUUUUAUUACCAUAUCAUUAACAAUUUUUGUUAUGUGAUCAUCAUUAUUAAUCAAAGAACCCAUGUAGGAAUCUGUAAUUUAAAAAAAAUGAAUCUUUGUUGGCAAAAAAAACGACACACGGUAGGGUAAAUAAUUGGAGGGAGCCUUGGAGCGCAAGAAGAGAAGAAGAACAAAUGUGAGAAGGAAGGCUAAAGGGCCCAGGGGCAAUAAUUAUCAAAACACAUUACAAGUUAUACAGUAAAAAGUACGAGAUAGUAGGGACAAUAAUAAUAUAAUUACAAAAAAAAAUCUCAUAAAUUCUCAUAUUUUACCUACAUAAAAAAUUAUGUUAGUUUACAGUAAUAAUAUAAUAAAAAUAAACUGAAAUUAUCUAAACAAAUAAAAAUAUGAAUCCAAAAAUAAAACAGAAACAUACGUUUCUUUCUAAUAACCUAUAAAAAUAUAUAAAAACAAAAUUAGUCAACAUCUCAAAAAAUCAAAAAAAAUUGUCAAAUAAAUGAAAAACAAAAAAUAAUAAUUACAGUAAUAACAAAUCACAAUAAACAUUAAACUAAACAAAUAAUUUAUAAUAGUUACUAACAAAAUAACUUUAAAAUAAAUUAAAAACAACAUAAAAUCACAAUAAAAAAACUAAACAAUACUAACAAAAUAAUUUAUAACAAUUCAUCAUCAUAAUCCCUUCUUCUUUUUCUUUUUUACUAUUUCUCCUCUUCUCUAUAAGGUCCCCAAAUCCCUCUCCCUCUUUCUUCUCUUUCUUCACGUGGCUUGAAGAGGGGACUACACAACGUUGACAGACUGCGCUGACAGACGAGACUGAAGCCUGGCACCAGUCAUGCCUCCUAAUAGGUGGCUCCACCCCUACCCUAUACCUGUAUUUUAUAAUUGAGUUUAUACUAAACCCGUAUAUUUUGGGUGCCGCCAAUCAUAAUGGCGUGACCCAUUAAAAUGUUAAUUUUUUUACAUAAAACUUUUUUGUGCCAGAAAAAAAUAGGGUGGUGUCGUCUAUACACCACCCUUCACCCCUCAAACGUCCUAUUUUCAUAUAUAAUUUGGCAUACAUACCAUUUUUGAAUUUAAUUUUUUAUUUUAUAGUAUUGGUGUAAAAAAGCCUAAAAAGAGAGAGGUUGUAGAGAAAUUACGAGAGAGAGCACAGCGCAAAGGAAGAAUGCGACAGCAAGGCAAUACCUCACCAAAAAACAAGCUACCCAUACCAAAGAAGCUAGCAGGACUAAAUGCUUUAGAAAUGGCCUCAAACAGCUUGCUGCAAUUUUUAGUAAAUAUUAUUUUUAUAUGUAUGAUAUGUAUUUUUUAAUUCAUUUUAUUGAGUGCAGUAAGUUUUAGCAUUAUAUAUUUUUAUAUAUGUAUUUAAAAUAUUUCACAUAUAAACAUAAUGAUAUUUGAAAUAAUUAUUGAAAUAUUUCACAUAUAAAAAAUAUCAUACCCCUUGUAAUACCCAAUUUUAGCCUGGGCUCACAUAUGGAAACAUAAUUUUUGAGGAUAUGCAAUCUUAGAUAUGAUAUACAAUCCAAGAUAUGAUAUAUGCAAUCCUAGAUAUGAUAUGCAAUCUUAGAUAUGAUAUAUAAUCUUAGAUAUGAUAUGCAAUCUUAGAAUAUAUGAUUUUGUAAUCUUAGAGAUUUAAUUUGUAGAUACCCUUUAAUCUUAGCCGUUGAUGUAAUUGAUUUGUACCGUUGGAUUUGGGGAGGCUCAGCUAUAAAUAGAGGCAUCUCCUUUCAUUGUGAAAAAAAAAGGAGGAAAGGGAGGAAUAAAAAAAGAGAACGAUUGGCAGUUUUUUAAAGGUGGCUUAUUAUUUUUUUCGUUCGAUUAUUUUUUACUUAUUUACGAUUUUUAAAAAAAGGAGAAGGUGAUACCACUGCGAAUUUUAUUUAUUUAUUUUUUAUUUAGCCCCUUCGCCUUUUAAUGUUUUUGUAAUUAAGUUUUUUUAUUUUUUUAAUUUACCCUUUUAUUUAUUUUAAAUUCCAAUUUGAUCCAUUUGAACGGCGCCGUUUUAGAGGAGAAGGGAAAAUUUCCCUUCCAGCCCCUCUAUGUAAUUCGCGCGUUCAAAUUAGUCCUUUUACUUUUAUUUAUUUGCGGAUUUACCCAAGAUUUUUUAUUUGCAAUUCAAUUUAGUUUUUUUAUAUUCUUUUUAUUUAUUUUAUUAAUUAAUAGUGUAAUUAUUAUUAUUAUUUUCAUUUUUUUAAAAAUCUAUAUAUGUAUAUUUUUAUGAACAUACUUAUUUUUUUCAGCUAAUAUUUUUCUCAUAUUUAUAUAUAUAUAUGUAUAUAUACGUAUAUUUAUUUUUUUUUAAAAUUAAUUUUGAUAAUGUACUCAUUAUUUAAUUUUUUAUCUAUGUAUAUUCCUUUUAUAUGUACAUGUAUAUUUUUUUUAACGAAUAUUUUCCUAUAUUUUUUUAAAGAAUAUUUUCAUAUUUAUUUUCAUAUUUAUAUGUAUAUAUUUACGUUUUUUUAAAUGAUUAAAUACUCACUUUUUCUUUUUUAAAAUAUACCUAUUUUUUAUUAUUUUAUAUAUGUACAUAUAAUUAUAUUUUUUUCUUUAUUUGCAUAAGUAUAUUAUGUAUUGUAUUUAUAUAUAAAUUCUAUAACCCAAAAUUUUAUUUGUAAAUUAUAUAUAUAUUUUUAAUCUUCAUAAUUUUCAUGUGUAUAUUAUAUGUCUUCUGAUCUUUAUUUAUUUUGUUUGCUUUCCCAUUCGUUGUAUAAUUGUAUUUACAUUUAAUAUUUUGCAUGUCAUGGAUUACUGUUUUUUUAUUUCGUUUAUUCAUUUGUUUACAUUAUUUUUAUGUCAUUAAUGUAUUUAUUAUUGUUGUUGUUAUUAUUAUAGCAUUUGUAUGUAUAAAAUCACAUUACAUCAUUUUUUACUCAAAUUUAAAGAUAGAAAAUUUUUUAAAAUUGAGAUAAUGUUCGUAUUUAGGAUUUUCAAGGGAAUUGAGCCCUAACGUAUUGGGUUCCGAUUUUCUUCGUUAAAUCCGACAAUCGAGCAUUUCUCUUCAAUCAAAAAAUAAAAACUCAUUAUUGGGAAUUCAACACGUUGUGUCCUAACGUAUUGGAUGUGACGCAUUGAUUUCUCGAAAUGAAGAUUUUUUAAAAAAUAAUAAAGGAAAUAUUCCGAGUUUGGGAUUUUAAAGGAAUUGAGCCCUAACGUAUUGGGUGUGAUUUCUUAAAUCUUGGAUAAGUGGAUGUUCUUUUAAAGUAAAUGAAAUAUUCGGAGUUUGGGAUUCUAGAGGAAUCGUGCCCUAACGUAUUGUGUGUGAUUUCUUAAAUCUUGGAUAAGUGGAUGUUCUUUUAAAGUUUUAUUGUACAAGUAUUUUGGCCCAAUUCAUUUUGGGAAAAUUAGAAUGCUGUGCCCUAACGCAUUGGGUGUGGUAUCUUUUUUCUCUGAAAUAAUAAGGGUCUUAAUACGUAACCUUUUAAGUUUUGCUAAGGAUUACGUUUUUUCCAAAUUCUCGACCUUAAGACACUAAUUAAUUAACUAGGUACCAAUUUUGGGCGUUACGAGGGUGCUAAUCCUUCAUCGUACGUAACUGACUCCCGGAUCCGUUUUUCUAAAACUCGUAGACCAAAGUCGUUUUUUAGGUGAUCCAAUCACACCUCAAUAAAAGAUUGGUGGCGACUCCUAAAUUUUCAUUUUUUAGAGUCGACAACCUAAAAUUUUAUUUUUCAAAAAGAUGGUUUCGACAGCUUGGCGACUCCACUGGGGAAAUUUUUUUUAAAAAAGAAGAGAGUCGAGCCAUAAAGUUGAUUAAUUUUUGUCUUGCGGUCGAGAAAAAUAUAUUUUUUUAAAAAAAAUCAUAACAUCCUUUUGCAUUCAUUAUCUUAUUCCUUAAAUAUUGUUUGCAUUAUACAUUUCAUGAGUUGAACAUUUUUACUCUUUUAAGUGGGAGUGAGAAGCUAUGCCUUCGUGAGGUUUUCACCUCCGUGUAGGGUAGUGGAUUGCUUCCGGGAUACAUCCGUACCUAUGUCUUCAUGAGAUUUUCUUCUCCGUGCAGCCAUAGGGAAAUGUAUUCCCCUGAACCGAACUCGAUCCAUAUGAGCCUAUAAUGGGUGAGGAUGGAGGAAUCUGCUGGUUCGGGUACCUUUACCCUAGAAGCCAAACUUCAUAUAAUGAACCUUAGGAAUCUACCCUAGGUAGAACUAUACUGAACCCUAGUAGACAUCCGAUUAGGUGUUUUACUGUUUCUUGAUUAUAUUUUAUAUUAUUAUAUGACACUGACCUUUUGUGUUUUAUUUUGUUUGCAUGACAUGGCAUUUUAUUUCAUCAUAAAAGGCGUCAGUUCAGAUUCGGUUGCUAAAUAGAAAGCUUGACAUGGAAAAAGGGUUUCUUGAUAAAGUGGAGGACAAUGCGGCUGUCCGAACUUGGUCUGAAACAACGCAGCAAGAAAAGGGUGAUAGCCUGGCCGAUGGGUAUUUAUCAGAAUUAUGGGAUUUUACUCGCAUCAGUGUAACUCAAAACAAUUUGCAGGAGUUGAAAGAAAUUUGGAAUCAAUGGAAUAAUGAGGCUAGGUAGUUAUUUUACGACAAUUAUGGGAACUUGCCUUAUUUGCUUGAUGUGAAGGUAGACAAACAUUUGUUUCGAGCCCUCGCCUAGUUUUGGAAUCCUGCUUACAGUUGCUUCACGUUUGGGAAUGUCGAUUUGGUACCUACGAUAGAAAAAUACGUGGCUUUACUCCGAUGUUCUAAGUUUCAAGUGGAUAGAGUUUACUCGAGAGCGGUAAAUAUGCCAACCUUUUCAAAGAAGCUGGUAGGUAUAACAGGGAUGAGUGAGUAGUGGGUCGCUGCACGAGUUAAGCAAAAGAGGGACAGCAAGUGCAUUCCUUGGAAGAGCUAGAAACGGUGCUGCAAAAUUGUGAGAUCCAGAUCAAGCACUUGAAAGCAAACGAAAGUAGUAAUAAUGAACAGCUCCACCACUUUCAGAGUCAAGUUAGGAGCAGAGAUCAUCUUAUGAAGGAAGCUGUACUUAAGCUUCCUUUAAUAAGAAAGAGAGACUUGACUCGAAUGAAGAUUAGCGGGAGACAAAUUCUAGUAUUUAAUAGUUUGAUACCCGUCUGCGUUCUAUCUUUCUAUCUAUUAAGAGUUAGCCUAGCCAAGAACGGCGCCUAGAAAAGUUCUCCUGGAAAGGAAAAGAAACGGCAAUCUUGGCCUAGAGAAUAGAAAAGGGAUCUAGAUUCGAGAAGUAGCUGAUUACGUACAGAUUUUAGCAGUACAGGCUGACAUGCUGAGUAUGAAGUAUGAAUUAGAAUCGGAUCGGGGGUAAGAAUUAGUUUUGUUACUUAGGAAGAUCAGAGUUCUGGGUACUAGGGCAAAGUCUUAUUUGUAAUUCGCUUUAUGUAAAAAAAUUUGCUUUCUAGUAAGGUUUUUUUAUAUGGAAUUGAAUCAAAAUUGACGUCUUUUUGUAUUCAUGCAUUGCAUUACUUCAUAUGCAUUUAAAAACAUUAAAAGAUUCUAAUUAAUUUACAUCAUUCCUCAGUUAAUCUGGAAACCAACCAGCCUACUAAACACCGCUACGAUACUCGAUCGAAAACUAAGGAUAUGGAUCAAAAGAUGGAAAGACUAGAACAAUCCCAAAAGGAAAUACAGGAGCAGCUUCAAAAGUAAAUGAAUGAACAACAAAAAAUGAUAGAUAAAAUGAUGGAAUCUCAGGGGAGUAUGAUGGCUCAGUUAACUCAAUGGUUCAACAAAGGAACUGGUAAAGGAAAAGGCUCCGUGGUCAAUAUUGAAGAAGGAGACAAUGAGAAACCUGUCUAUCCUCCGGACUUUACCCCCCAACAAGUUGAGAUAUACCAGCAGAGGUCCUCUGUUACCAUUAAUCCUCCGGGUGACGUUGCGACGCCAAUGAAUCUCCAGGCAAGAUCAGGCUCUAACCUCGGAGCCAACUUUGUUAAUCCUGCUAUCCCUGAUUUCAAUGAGACGAUUGGAAAAGAGAAAAUGAAUGAUGAAUUACCAAAACAGCUAGAGGAAAAGUACAAAUGGCUGGAAGAGAAAAUUCGAGCGAUGGAAUGUGCAGAAGGCUAUUAUGGGAUGGAUGCUAAAGAAUUGAGUCUGGUUUCGGAUUUAGUGCUUCCUUACAAAUUCAAAAUGCCAGAGUUUGAGAAAUAUAAUAGAACCAGUAGCCCCGAAGCUCAUAUUACCAUGUUCUGCAGACGAAUGACCGGUUAUGUCAAUAAUGACCAACUCUUGAUUCAUUGCUUCCAGGAUAGCUUCGCAGGGGCAGCAUCCAAGUGGUACAAUCGAUUGAACCGUACCCAGAUUAAUUCAUGGAUAGAUCUGGCACAGGCAUUCAUAAGGCAGUACAGCCAUGUGACUAACAUGGUACCUGAUAGGAUCACUCUGUAGAAUAUGAAAAAAAAACCAGGUCAAAGCUUUAGGCAAUACGCGCAGAGAUGGAGGGAGAUUGCCGUACAAGUUCAGCCGUCUCUUCUAGAAAGAGAGAUGACGAUGCUUUUCGUCAACACAUUGAAGGCACCAUUUAUUACACAUAUGUUAGGAAGUGCUACUAAAAGCUUUUCUGACAUAGUUAUGAAUGGUGAAAUGAUUGAAAGUGCUAUAAGAAGCGGAAAUAUUGAUGCUGGAAGAAAUAACAGAAGGCAAGCCUCAAAAGAAAAUGAGGUGAACAGCGUGAAUACAUACAGCAAAUCAAUUGCUAAUCAACAGGGUUCAUCAAGACAAGAAUUAGGUGUGAAGUCAGGUACUGAAAAGCUCCAGUUCACGCCAAUUCCAAUGUCGUACAAGGAGCUGUAUCAAAACUUAUUCAAUGCGCAUGUUGUUUCUCCCUUACAUGUGAAGCCUCCACAGCCCCCGUAUCCCAGAUGGUAUGAUGCAAAUGCACAAUGCGAUUAUCAUGCGGGAAUUACGGGGCACUCAAUAGAGAAUUGCAUUGCCUUCAAAAAGCUAGUUGAAAAAUUCAUCAACAUGGGUAUUGUCAAGUUGGAUGACUCAUCUAAUGCAGGAAAUUCGCUACCCAAUCAUGAUUGAUAAUGGUAUGAAUGCAAUAUAUGAAGAGGUGUUGAGAAGUGUUAACAUACGGAGACACAAUUGAAAAGGGACCUUGUUAGAUGUCUGCCCUUAUAAAAUUUGGGAGUGUUCUAAGUAAUUGGAUUGCGGAAGAAAUCUCUGUAGUCUUUAGAGCUUGUUUAGAGUAAUGUUGAGAACAUUCUUGUUGCUUUUAGCCUAAAAACGAUAGGAAUUCCUUUAUGAAAUAGGCUCAUGUCUGAACAUCAUUAUUCUAAUAACAUACAUUUUUGCGUUUGAGCCAAUAUUUUUUCAUUCUUUGCGAGUAAUUAUUCUUUCAUUCUUUUGGAUUUUCUUCCACAUCAUUCUUUCGUUCAUAAUUAUAUUGUAUAAAUAUUCAUUCGUAAAUUCACACAUUCUUUUGUAUAUUCUUUUGCAAUUACUAUGGGUCCUCAGAUAUCAAUGACAUGAGUGACGCUGCUACUGACUCAGAAUCUCCUUCUGAGCGAGACAUGUGUUUAGAGGGAUCUCAUAACUUUGAAGAUGUCAUAGAUCGUAGCCUAUUUCUGGACCUGUUAAGGAUGGUAGAAUAAGUCAGAAAAUGGAUCUCACCCUACAAAGAAUUAUCAUGGUACAUGACUUCUCCUUAUGUAGGGUAUGGAGGUCAUUUGGUCGAUCUCGCCAAAAGAGUCUGACGGUCAUCAAUUCAUCUUUGUGAUCGUCAAUUACUUUACUAAAUGUGUAGAAGCUGCUUCGUAUAUCAAUUCUUGAAGAAUCAUAUGGAACGCCAAAAGGAUCAUAUCUGACAAUGUACUAAAUUUGAACAACAGCACAAUAUCAAAAGUUUACAGUCUGUUCAAGAUUAAUGCCAUAUUGCCCAAAGAAAAGAUGGCAAAAAAAAAACUACUCUGCUGGGGCAAUGACUUUCUCUUCGGCCCAUCGUGGUUUUGCCUAUUGAAGACAAGAUUCUGUCACUCUGAGUUUUUAGAUCUAAUUGAAGAUGAAUGUUCAAAGUUAUCCAUCAUGGUCAAAUGCGCCAAAAGAAAAUGAUGCGAGCUCACAAAAAAAGGUUCGCCCUAGAGAACUCCUUGAGAGGGACCUGGUAUUGAAGGGGAUCUUUCCCAUACAAAAAGAAUUUUAUCCAAGAUGGGAAGGGCCUUAUGUUGAAGGCCUUAUCUGAAAAAGUGUUGAUUUUGAUCAGAAGGGAUAACAAGGACGUGCCUAAUCCUAUGAGUUCAAAUUCAAUCAAAAUUAUUUCGAAAAAAAAAAGAAAAGAAGAAAGAAAAUGGAGAGGCCAAUGUGAAAACCCGCAAAAGGCGCCUUGAGACCAAAGGGGAUUUGAGUUGAAAACCCGAAAAGGGCGGCUCAAAUAUUGAUUAGAAUGGGGCAAGAGGUGAUCAGAGCAGUUCAAAUUUUGACCAGAUGGGGGCAUGUGGUGAUCUUGUUAUACCUGAAUUAUCAGGAAAAGGUAGGCAACAUUUUGGGGCAUUGGUAGAGUACUGUGGAUCUCCUAAACACAUGUCAAACUCAGAAGGAUCUUUAAAAAUUUUGUACAGAGAAGUUCAAGCUGCGAUAUCUGGGGCACCCAAUAUUCAUACUGAAUUUGUUAUUCUUGGAAUACUUCAUUCUUUUCCAAGAUACACAUUUCCAAUCAAUUUCUUUGCUAUCCUUGUUUACUAUUUUUGAUAAUCUAUUCCUUUCGAGCUAUGCUCAGAACCAAUUGUAUUCUCAUCCAUUGUUAUACCCUUUUUGCAAGCAUGUUGCAUUAGAAUAAUGAUUAAUAGACUAAUAAAACUUUCACGAAGGAAGUUUUGCAUAUUACUCUAGAAGUUUCUAAAUAAUACAGGAGCCUGAAACAUGACUAUUGUUUAGAACGCACCAAGUUUAAAGGUUGGAAAUCUGAGAAGGAAGACUCUAAAUGAAGACUAUCUCUUUGGAUUUUAUGGUCAAAAACAUUGAUCAAACAAAAUGACAGGAUGUCAGGUGGGUGACAAAGUUUAAAUCACCAAACAAUAAGAAGAGGUUUCCUUGGAGAAGAGAAUCCUUCAUUUGUGUGUGAUCAUUUGAUAUGAUACCCUAGGAAUGGUGUAGGAAACCAAAGAGUUUCGCAUUCUAUAUCUUCGAAUUGUGAUAGCAGAGGAUUAAGAAAAGGCCAGAUAUUUUUACCCUUGGGUCACAGUAGAAGAAAGAGGGUACAAAUUUUGCAUCCCAAUGGAUUAAACUUGGAGGUUCACAGUGGGGGACAGCCUGGCUAAAUGUUUCUUCAAAAAAGCCAAUGAAGCAAGAAGGCGUUGUAGCACGUCAGUCACAAAGCCUUAAUAAACUUCGAGUAAUGACAACCUAAGAGGGAUCAUUCUCGGAAAAAUAAAUUUUACAUUCAUGCAAAAUUCACACAUGUCUAGUUAGGAGCAUUUGAUGCAUUUUGAUCAUGCCAUCCUAAUCAUUAGGCAUAGUUAGGUUCAUUAUACAGGUCAUGUUCCACAGAGAACAGAUCAGUGAAAGAGUAGAUCUUGCCUUCCUGCAUUGACAGUGAAGCAGAUCGAAGACGGCGAAUCUUAUCUUUCCAAGAUAGUGGGAAGCAGAUUUAAGCCACCAAGACUUGUCUCCCUGAGCAGCAGCGGAGAAGGUUAAAGAUUGUAGAUCUUAUCUCCCUAAGCAGUAGUGGAGCAGAUCGAAGACGACGAAUCUUAUCUUUCCAAGAUAGUGGGAAGCAUAUUUAAAUCACCAAGCCUUGUCUCCGUCAGCAGCAACGGAGAAGGUUGAAGAUUGUAGAUCUUAUCUCCCUAAGCAGUAGUGGAGCAGAUCGAAGACGGCGAAUCUUAUCUUUCUAAGAUAGUGGGAAGCAGAUUUAAGCCACCAAGCCUUGUCUCCCUCAGCAGUAGCGGAGAAGGUUAAAGAUUGUAGAUCUUAUCUCCCUAAGAAGUAGUGGAGCAGAUCGAAGACGGCGAAUCUUAUCUUUCCAAGAUAGUGGGAAGCAGAUUUAAGCCACCAAGCCUUGUCUCCCUGAGCAGCAGCGGAGAAGGUUGAAGAUUGUAAAUCCUAUCUCCCUGAAGUUACAGUGGAGUGGAUUAAAACCUCAGAUCUUAUCUCUCUGAAGUUACAGAAAGCAGAUCGCAUCUAGUCUUAUCUCCCUGAAGUUGCAAUGGAGCAGACUAAGUAAGCAAGUCUUAUCCUCCUGAAGUUGCAGUGGGGCAGACUGAAGAUGGCAAGUCUUAUCUCCCUGAAGUUGUAGUGGAGCAGAUUAAAGCCGAUAAUCCUAUCUCCCUGAAGUUGCAGAGAGCAGAUCGCAUCUAGUCUUAUCUCCCUGAAGUUGCAGUGGAGCAGACUAAGUAAGCAAGUCUUAUCCUCCUGAAGUUGCAGUGGGGCAGAAUGAAGAUGGCAAGUCUUAUCUCCCUAAAGUUGCAGUGGAGCAGAUUAAAGCCGAUAAUCCUAUCUCCCUGAAGUUGCAGUGGAGCGGAUUAAAACCUCAGAUCUUAUCUCCCUGAAGUUGCAGUGGAGCAGACUAAGUAAGCAAGUCCUAUCCUCCUGAAGUUGCAGUGGGGCAGACUGAAAUUGGCAAGUCUUAUCUCCCUGAAGUUGCACUGGAGCAGACUAAAUAAGUAAGUCUUAUCCUCCUGAAGUUGCAGUGAGGCAGACUGAAGAUGGCACUAAUUCCUAUACUUCUGAAGAUGUACCAAGGUUCAGCACGACCGGACAAAAUCGGGCAUUUUUAAAGUCUUUGCUUCGUCCCUGUUACACAAGAACGAGCAAAGAGGGGCAGCUUUAAUACCCAAUUUUAGCCCGGACUCACAUAUGGAAACAUAAUUUUUGAAGAUAUGCAAUCUUAGAUAUGAUAUGCAAUCCAAGAUAUGAUAUAUGCAAUCCUAGAUAUGAUAUGCAAACUUAAAUAUGAUAUAUAAUCUUAGAUAUGAUAUGCAAUCUUAGAAUAUAUGAUUUUGUAAUCUUUGAGAUUUAAUUUAUAGAUACCCUUUAAUCUCAGCCGUUGAUGUAACUGAUUUGUACUGUUGGAUUUGGGGAGGCUCAGCUAUAAAUAGAUGCCUCUCCCUUCAUUGUGAAAAAAAAAGGAGGAAAUGGAGGAAUAAAAAAAGAGAACGAUUGGCAGUUUUUUAAAGGUGGCUUACUAUUUUUUUCGUUCGAUUAUUUUUUACUUAUUUACGAUUUAAAAAAAAAGGAGAAGGUGAUACCACUGCGAAUUUUAUUUAUUUAUUUACUAUUUAGCCCCUUCUCCUUUUAAUGUUUUUGUAAUUAAGUUUUUUUUUAUUUUACCCUUUUAUUUAUUUUAAAUUCCAAUUUGAUCCAUUUGAACGGCGCCGUUUUAGAGGAGAAGGGAAAAUUUCCCUUCCAGCCCCUCUAUGUAAUUCGCGCGUUCAAAUUCCUUUUACUUUUAUUUAUUUACGGAUUUACCCUAGAUUUUUUAAUUGCAAUUCAAUUUGGUUUUUUUAUGUUCUUUUUAUUUAUUUUAUUAAUUAAUAGUGUAAUUAUUAUUUUUAUUUUCAUUUUUUUAAAAAUCUAUAUAUGUAUAUUUUUAUGAACAUACUUAUUUUUUUCAACUAAUAUUUUUCUCAUAUUUAUAUAUAUAUCUGUAUAUAUACGUAUAUUUAUUUUUUUAAAAAAAUAAUUUUGAUAAUGUACUCAUUAUUUAAUUUUUUUAUCUAUGUAUAUUCCUUUUAUAUGUACAUGUAUAUUUUUUUAACGAAUAUUUUCCUAUAUUUUUUUAAAGAAUAUUUUCAUAUUUAUAUGUAUAUAUUUACAUUUUUUUAAAUGAUUAAAUACUCACUUUUUCUUUUUUAAAAUAUACCUAUUUUUUAUUAUUUUAUAUAUGUACGUAUAAUUAUAUUUUUUUUCUUUAUUUGCAUAAGUAUAUUAUGUAUUGUAUUUAUAUAUAAAUUCUAUAACCCAAAAUUUUAUUUGUAAAUUAUAUAUAUUUUUAAUCUUCAUAAUUUUCAUGUGUAUAUUAUAUGUCUUCUGAUCUUUAUUUAUUUUGUUUGUUUUCCCAUUCGUUGUAUAAUUGUAUUUACAUUUAAUAUUUUGCAUGUCAUGGAUUACUGUUUUUUUAUUUCGUUUAUUCAUUUGUUUACAUUAUUUUUAUGUCAUUAAUGUAUUUAUUAUUGUUGUUGUUAUUAUUAUAGCAUUUGUAUGUAUAAAAUCACAUUACAUCAUUUUUUACUCAAAUUUAAAGCUAGAAAAUUUUUUAAAAUUGAGAUAAUGUUCGUAUUUAGGAUUUUCAAGGGAAUUGAGCCCUAACGUAUUAGGUUCCGAUUUUCUUCGUUAAAUCCGACAAUCGAGCAUUUCUCUUCAAUCAAAAAAUAAAAACUCAUUAUUGGGAAUUCAACACGCUGUGUCCUAACGUAUUGGAUGUGACGCAUUGAUUUCUCGAAAUGAAGAUUUUUUUAAAAAAUAAUAAAGGAAAUAUUCCGAGUUUGGGAUUUUAAAGGAAUUGAGCCCUAACGUAUUGGGUGUGAUUUCUUAAAUCUUGGAUAAGUGGAUGUUCUUUUAAAGUAAAUAAAAUAUUCGGAGUUUGGGAUUCUAGAGGAAUCGUGCCCUAACGUAUUGUGUGUGAUUUCUUAAAUCUUGGAUAAGUGGAUGUUCUUUUAAAGUUUUAUUGUACAAGUAUUUUAGCCCAAUUCAUUUUGGGGAAAAUUAGAAUGCUGUGCCCUAACGCAUUGGGUGUGGUAUCUUCUUUCUCUGAAAUAAUAAGGGUCUUAAUACGUAACCUUUUAAGUUUUGCUAAGGAUUACGUUUUUUCCAAAUUCUCGACCUUAAGACACUAAUUAAUUAACUAGGUACCAAUUUUGGGCGUUACGAGGGUGCUAAUCCUUCAUCGUACGUAACUGACUCCCGGAUCCGUUUUUCUAAAACUCGUAGACCAAACCCGUUUUAGGUGAUCCAAUCACACCUCAAUAAAAGAUUGGUGGCGACUCCCAAAUUUUCAUUUUUUUAGAGUCGACAACCUAAAAUUUUAUUUUUCAAAAAGAUGGUUUCGACACCCCUAAUGCAGAUGAAAAAAAUGAUAUUUUAUAUAUAAAAAUAAUAAUUAUAUUUAAAAUAAUUAUUUCAUAUUUUAAUAUUAAAAAUUAUCAGACCCACGAUAUACGUGGAGAAAAUAAAUAUUUGACAUAUAAAUAUCAUAUAUAAAGAAAAAUAUAUCGAAAAAAUUAGUUGAUGUUUAUAUUAUAUAUAAAGGAAUUAUUAAUUUCAAAUAUUUUUAACAUAAUGAUAAAAAUUAUAUUUUUAUUAUAUAAUUACAUAUUUAUUUAAUUGAUUUUAUGAAUAAAAGAGUUAUUAAUUAAAAAUAUUUAAAAAGAUGAAUUAAAAUAAAGAAAAUUGAAAACAAUAUAUUUAUUAAUUAAAAAUAAAAAAAACUUGAAACAAUAUAAAAUAAAAAUUACAAAUGUGUUUAAAAAAUGAGAAUUUAACUUGGAUCUCAAGAAUGAAAUUUUUAUUAUUUAACCAUUUAAUUAAGGAAGGUGAUAUGUUAAAAAUAUUAAUUAAAAAAAAAGCUUAAAACAACAUUAAAUAAAAAGUAUAAAUGUGUGUGAGGGAAGAAUUUAACCUGGGACUUAAGGAUAAAACCACUAGCCAUUAACCAUAUAACAAAAGAAACUGAUUAUGUUACAAAAAUAAAAAAUUACAACUUAGGAAAACACGUCCAGCUGGGCAUGUUUUCCUACCAACUAUACAGAAAGCGUGCCUAGACGAGAUUUUACACACUCUCUCCAAAAAUGACCUAUUUUCUUAAAUUUUUAAAAAAAUUGACCUAUUUAGCCAAUAAACUUUUUUUUAACAUAUAUGACUAAUUUAGUCGUCGUCGUCAUCAUUAUUAUUAUUAUUAUUAUUAUUAUUAUUAUUAUUAUUAUUAUUAUUAUUAUUGUUAUUCACGUUAUUUUAGGAACUUAGUUUUUAAUUAAUUUUUUGAAUAACAUAUUUUUAGUUAUUGUAAUUAGUUUCUAAUUCGUCAUUCCAAUGGUUAAACAUAAUAAAACUAUAUUAACUUAAUUAGCAAUUUAAGUAUAAUAAGAAAACAAUUUCAAAUUAUAAUUAAAGCAACUAUACCAUAUUAAAAAGUGAUAUAUUAUAGAUUAAUAAGUAUUUUAAUAAUAUAAAAAAUCAAAUCAUAAUUUAAAUAUUUAUACCCUAUUCAAUAUAAUAUAAUUUUAUAUCAUGUAAUUGAUGCAAAUUAACAUUAUUCAAAAUAAUAACUAAGAAAUAUAAUUAAAAUAUAUCAAUUAUUUUAACAAUUUAAAUAUAAUACUAAUAAAAAUCCUCAUAAUUAUUAUAGCAUUUGUACAAAUUGUAAAAAAAAUUGAUAUAUUGCCACUAUUUACUAUUUACUAUUUACUAUUCAAUUUUCUAUUUUAUUAAUAGUCAAUAAAUUAAUCAUAAUAAUUUAUAAUUAAUAUAUAAUUUAUUUAUUUAUAAAAUUUUAUAUAAAAAACAAAAAGUUGCUUAUUAUGUAAGCAAGUAAAUUUUGUUGGACAAAAACACAUUAGCGAACAAAAUAAUUAAAUAUAAAUAAACACAUAAGAAUAAAAUCAAAUAGAAUGAUUUAUAAUUAAUUUGUUAAAUACGAAAAUCAAAAUAAAACCGUAACAGAAGUUGAAAUAAACAUGAAGGAAAAAGAUUUUACGAAACAUUGAGGCCUGUGAAUCACAGUUUCCUUAAGAUAGAUUCGCUUGCUCCUACGGUACUUGGAGAAACGUUGGUCGAAUGUCUUCCAGGAUACAACAAUAACAGUGAUCAAAGUAGUAGCACCUCUAUAACGAUCAACAAACGAAUGUUGCCUUUUUCUAUUACUGAAACGUUUGAAAAAAUUCGGAGAAGAAAAGAAGAGUUUUGAGAGCAACAAAAAAUCUAUGUGAGAGAGUGAAAAUUAGCAAAGAAUUUUGAAAAAGUCUUAGCCUUUUAUAGGCAUUCAAAGUGAAGGAAUUUAUGGAAAUAUCCACGUAUAAGGAGACAAAAUCUAAAUUAAAAGGGGCAGUUGAAUCAAUUUGAUUAAAAAUAUAAUCACAUUGAUAGAAUAAAAUAAUUCAGGAUAUAUAUAUAUGUCCUUUUAUAUUAGAUUUUGUAUAUAUUUGUUGAGGAAAAAUUAUAUUUCAUGUUGAGCUAAAAUAAUAUUUUGCAUCGCCCACGUCGUGCGAGUGUGCCCUAAACUCCGUUGGAUUUGGACUUGCACCCCCUUGCGCACGGGGUAAGAUUCCAAACUUAAUCAUUCAAUUAUCUUUCAAGAGGGUUCCCAUAUAUAAACACAUCUCACACUUGAUAUUUAACCAAUGUGGGAUCUAAUCUUUUCUUUUCCUCGACAAAUAUUUCCAAGUAGCUUACUUUGAGUAUCAAUUUCUCAUUCAUCACUCAACUACCAUUGUAAAGGUCUCAUGAAGUAGAGUAAGAAACCAUAAUUUUAUAAUUCAGCUCUCCACCCUUACCUAUUGAGAAUACGCCUCAAAGUUCCAUAAAAAGGCAAAUUUUCCAACAAAUUUACUAUUUUCAACUUUAAUGUAUAAAUUUUCUUUUUACUAUUUUUGGUUGAUGGAAACAUAAUAGUUUAAAAAUAAACUAAUUUUAUAUAACGUUUUUAACUUUAUUUAUUAUUUUAUAAAUUCAUUUAAUAAAAAUAUUUUAAUAAAUAUAGAAUUGUUAUUUAUAUGUAUGGUAAAUUUUCUUGUCAAGUAAAUUUAAUUAACCAAAUAUUUUAGUAAACUCAAAAUUCUUAUUUAUAAAUGUGAUAAAUAUUAUAAAUAGUAAAAAACUAAAAUGACAAAAAUAUUAUAUUCAUCUAUUCAAAGUUUCUCUAAACUCAUACUUAUAUAUAUUAUAGAUAAAAAAAUAAUUUUAAAAAUAAAAGUAAUUUUUAUUUAUAAAAAUUAAAGAACUUAAAAUAUUCCUCUUUCAUUAUAGUAUAAAUAUAUUGAGUUAACUCAUAACACAAACUUAACUAGCUCUUUUAUUGUAGUACAAAUGUCACAUGUUGGAUGAUAUAGAUGGUAGACAUAUAAUAAGACUACUUACAUGUUAUUAUCAUAAAAGAGGUUAGCUCAAAAUAAAACUAAUCUACUAUGGUUAGGGUUAACUGGGCUUCAACUAUGUAAUAAAGUAUGGAUCAAAUAUGUAUAGAUACUCAAGUAGCUAAUUUAUUAUUAAUGACUAGCUAAUUAAAAAUUAAGGACUGUGCAAAUGUUACAUCUUAAGCUUAUGUGUAACAUCCCUAACACCCCUUGAAAAGAGAAUAGUAUCAUUUCGAGUUUGUACAUGUUAGAAUUUUUUGAAGUAGAUAUAAUAGAAAUUUUAAUAUUAAUGGAGAAGGUAGUUGGAUAUUAUAAGAAACUAAAAAGACUUUUGGAUUUAGAGAAAUUAAUUUAGAGUAUUAAAUAAAUUGUAAAUGAGUAAGAAGUGUUGGGCAAAAAGUGUGAAAAUUUAAAAUAAGAAAUUAUUAGAGUAAAUUGAUGGGAAAAAGAGGAAGGAUUGAAAGUAUAAUUAUACCAAGACAGAGUGAUGUGAAAGAAUGAUGGAUAGAUUUUUUUUGUAGAAAUUUGUAACAACCCAGUUUCUAAUGGUGUCAGAAAAUACAAUUUUAGGACCUCAUUUUUAUAAACCGAGUCUAUAAAUAUUAAAUUGAGAUGUUUAGGGAGUUAUUAUAUAGAUGAGUUGAAAUUUGGACAAGUAAUUCAACCAAAAUUAUAAUUAAUUAAGGUCUGGGGACUAAAUUGUAAAAGCCCAGUCGCUAUAGAUUUUUAAUUAGGAAAUAGUUUGUGGACUUAAAUUAGGCCCUGGGUAGUGUCACAGCACUGUUUUGGUGUUUUUAAGCUCUUUGAGCCUCAUAUUUGGUCUCGGAUACCUCUAAUACUCAAAAAAUCUUUCUAAAUAGUUUUAAGUUAAUUUUAAAGCCUUCAAAAUGUUCUUAUAGUAUUUUUAUUAUUUAAUUUUAAAUUUUUUAAAUUUUAAAUUUUGAUAAAACUCUUAUUUCUUUCAACCCGAAUAACUUUGUUUUAAGCCAAUAAGCUUCUAUAAAUUGUUUUAUGAUUCGGAUGUGCCACUAUUAGUAACCAAUUAUCCAAAUUGAUUUUUAAUCAUAUCAAAUCUUUCUAAACCUUGCCAGUUUUAUUCAAAGAACAUUAAUACGUUUCGAAAUGGUUAUUUUUAUGAAAGAAAAUCUUUUGUUCAAGUUUGAAAGUCUAAUACCCCUAACCCGUAUCCAUCGCUAGAUUAGGGUUAUAAAUCAUUACCGUACAAUCGAAAACAUUUAAUCUUAAUAUCAUUCAAUUACAAUAUAAUUAUAGCAUAAACCAAUCAUAUACAUACAUACCAUCCCUAAAUCGAGCCCUUGAUGCCUUAAAAAUAUCUUAAAAGUAAGUCGGGACCAAUUUAAAACAAUUUGAAAAGCUUAGAAAAAACAUGCAAAAUUAGCAAAAAAGGGGUCACACGGUCGAGACACACGCCUAUGUUUCAGGCUGUGUAAUCUUCGAACUAGGGACACAUGGCCAUGUCCCACCCCUUGUAUUCACUCGUGUAACUCUCUGAGUAGGGCCACACGGACGUGUCACACGCCCGUGUGCCAGGCUGUGAAACUCUUUGAGUUGGCCCACACUCCCGUGUGUCAGGCCGUGUAACUCACUGACAACCUGAGAAAUCAUCAUAUUACACACGGCCGUGUGUCUUACACGACUGAGUCACAUGCUCGUGUCCCAGGCCGUGUGGACCCAAAUUUACCUAAAUCAAGCCAUUUAAACGAUCAUUCCAUGCACAAUCAUUCAACCCAUUUAAUUACACCUUAGAGAGACUUAAACAUGACCAAAACACACACCAAAAUGCCAUUUCAAAUUCCUAACACAGCUAACAAAUAUGUCAUUCAAAGGCACCUCAAAUGCAAACAACAACACUUACUUAAACAUGUAAAUUUUACCACAUUUCAAUCAUCAAAUUCUGAUUCAAAACUUACCAAAACAUGCCACAAACUUAACCAUUUUCAUAUCAUAUCAAACAUACCAUAUUAGUUAUUCAAACAUGUAUAGUAAGAUAACCAAUUGAAACAAUUUGACAAUGCAUCAAAUGGUACCAAACCAAUAUACUUCCAAAACUUAUACAUGCCAAAACACCAACUAAACAUUCAUCAAAAUACCAUUACAAUUCAUCCUAUACAUGCCAUUAUAAACCUUGGCCAAAAUGCACAAAAAUUGCCGAAUUGACUUCUGGAUAGUGUGAUAGAUCUCCGAUGAGCUUCCAACCAAAUCGAGCUUCCGAUAAUCUACAAAACAUAGAAAAGAAACUAUGUAAACAAUUAAUGCUUAGUAAGCUCGUAUAAAUCAAAACAUAACUUACCAUUUCAUUUGCAUAAUAUAAAGCAUAAGUAUAAUAUAAUCCAAACCAUAAGCUUGGCAUAAGCCUAUGCAUCACCAUCAAUACACAAGUUAGCACAUUUGCACAUAAUUCAAAUGAACUAACCAUAAGAUAAGUCAUUUUCCAUAUGAAAUACAUCAUUUAGUUUAUGCAUACUUUCCAUAUGGUUAUGCUUAAUUCUAUUUGAAUACUUACCAUUUCAAUCCUUUUUCUUGCCUGUUGAACCAUCUAAAAUUUCACCAGAUAUUUGGGAAAGCUCACACGAAGUGUGCCUUUACAUAAAACUGUAACAUUUCCUUUACAACAUUGUUCACACGAGCUAUAAAAUGAGCCUACUCACACGAGCUAUGGGCCGGAAUGUGAGCUACAGGAUGCUGCUUACACAAGCUGUGGAGUAUCCGCAACAAAUGCAAGACCUCAACCAUCGGUAGGACAGUUAAGACCAACACCCGAAACAUGAAAUCCCUAAUGACAUGUCAUUUGUAUCCUACAAAUUCCUAAGGUUCAACCUGGACUCAAUUUCUGUCAAUUCUUCAUAGUAUUGAUAGGUUUAUAUAUCGAUAAUUUGCAUUAUAAAUAACAUAAUAUCAUUCAAUUAAAUAACAUAAACACGAUAACCGUUCAUAUGAACUUACCUCGACGACUAGGGAUGUAGGAAUUAGGUCGAAUUAACCCGAAGCUUUUACUUUGCCUCGAUCUAGGUCUGUACGUGGUUUAUCUUGAUCUAAAUAGAAACUUUCAAUCAAUUUAAUACUUCUAGUAUUCAAUUUAAUACACAUUUCAUAUUUAUAAAAAUUACCAUUUUACCCCUAACAUUUUAACUUUUCACAAUUUAGUUCUUAAGCUCGUAAUUUGAAAUAUAAUAAUUUUAAUCCCUCUUAUAGGCUAACGGAAUUCUUUAGGGACUUAUACCAACCCAAAUAAACCAUCAUUUCAUAAAUUUAACAUGAAUUUUUACUAUUUUUACAAACCAAUCCCUAAAUGCAAAUUUCAUUAAAAAUCACUUUACAAAACUUGUUUAUUUCUCAACAAAGAUUCAUAAUCUAUCAUUUAAUAUAAAAAAAUUCAAGAACAUUCAUGGAAUAACCCUCAACCUGUAACAUUUUUACAAAUUGAUCCCCAAGCUAGUUAGAUUAAGCUAAAACGGACUAAAAAUAUAAAAAUAAUUAAAAACGUGGCUUAAAAACUCACCAUGCAAUCCAAGGAACUUGACCAAAUGCCCUAGAUAGUUUUAAUGGUGUAUUUUAGGUGGUGUUGAGAAAGGAAUAAAAUGAAGUUAGCUUUUCGUUUUAUUUAAUUUAUGUUUAAUUGACCAAUUACCAUUUUAACCUUUAAAAACUUUCAAAAUUUCACUAAACCAUGUCCAUAAACAUCCACUAUCACUUUAAUUGGUCUAAUUACCAUACAAGUCCCUUAGCUUAUGAUUUCAUGGCUAUUAGACUCCUUUAGCUAUUAGAACUCAACUUUUAUACCAUUUUCGAUUUAGUCCCUUUUACUUAAAUAACUACUUAAACAUCAAAAUUUUAAUACGACCUAAAUAUAAUCUCAUAAACAUUAAAAUAAUAAUAAAAUAAUAAUUUACUUAUCAAAAUUGUGGUCCCAAAACCACUGUUUUGAUAUCACUAAAAACGGACUGUUACGAAAAGUGCUCUAAUAGUGCCUCCCACUAGUACCGUAUAUGAGAAGGGUGAGGGGUGUUACAAAAUAGGUCAAAAAAUUUUGGGUACCAAGUAUAAAUUGCUAAGUUUAAGUGGUUGUCUAUAUAUUUACCUAAUAUAAUUUAGACUUCAUAAUCAGGUCAAACUUAAAAUAAUUUUGGGCCAUGAUUAGUCCAUAAAGGUCUAAGGAUGUUUUUUUAAAAAAUUUUAUCUUAAUAAAUUCCUAGUUAAACUACAUCCCAGGUUACUAAACUGUUAGUAAGCUUGCAUUUUGGUCACUUGACCGUUUUCUUGUAAAAAAACUAAUUUUAUUUUAAAAAACUAUUUUGAAGAGUGGUUUUAACUGCAAGUUUACAAUGUCAGUCGUAAUAUUUAUAGUUUCGAUGGAACACGAAGUAUUCCAAGGGUUCAAACCAAAGGGAUGAUCGUUGAACGAUUCAUAACUACAAGCAUGUAAAAGGAAUCUAAACAACUAAUUGCUAAAAGCUAUAUUAUGGAAAAUCAUAAACUGAGGAAUGAUUAACCUAAAUUAUCGAUUAACUACUUAAAGGACUAAAUCGUACAAAGUGCAAUGUUAUGAAAUUCACAAGUAACUAACAAACGGUGGUUGGUUGACUUUGAUGUGGUUCACUAAUCAUUUAAUUAAGGUUUUAAGUUGCUUAAACUCCUAAAGUGGUUUUGUUUUACCUCUCAGUCUCAACUUUACCAAAUUAGACUAAUUAGUCUGGUUUAUCUCUUAAUCUCAACGACUAACCUGGAAUUAAAGAAUUGGUGCUCAACCAGAUUACCUCUUGGUCUCGCUUGCCUAAAUCUUCCCUUAAGGGCGUCAAUCCUAGUUUUUUAUGUUCAUUCAAUUUAGUCCAAUUUAUUGCAAUUUAAUCCCUCAACCAAAAAUUAGCUUACCCACAUCUCCAUCAACCAACUUCCUUAGGAGUUUAGUUACUCAAGUUAAAAACUAAGGUAACAAACAUAAAAAUAUCAACCAUGAUAGCCAUUAAAGAAAAACUCAAGAAAAAUAAGAAAGUUGAAAUUUUUAAUGAAUAAAACUUAAAAGCAAACUAGAGAUGAACAUCUAGCAGUAAAAUAAGAAGUAAUAAACAUUAAAAGUAAAGGCUUUAACAACUAAAACUAAAGAGAACUGAAAAUACAUUAAGCAAAGAUGAAAAUGUCAUUACAAGUAAAGGAAAUAGACUCAAAGUGCAAAUAAACCCUAGCUACAGUAAUAACUAACUUAACUAAUAAGAAGAACAACAAUAAACUGCAGGAAAAAUAAACACUACACUAAGAAUAAAGAUCAAAAGAAGAAACCCUAGAAAAUAGAUAAGAAAACCUAAGAGAAAACCAAGGAAAAACUAAAACAAGCACUAAACUAAUGUGAUCUCCUCUCUCCUCAGCCAAUUUUGGUUGAUUUAGCAAUAAUUUCUAACCCAAUUUGUUGACCAAAAUGCCCUUGAAUGGGCUUUCUUUGAUUGGUGCUUCGGUUAGACAAACAUUACCCUUAACAUAAUUUUUUUCUCCUCACGACAGUGAUAUAUCAUGAUACCCAAGGUUGGAUAUCGCGAUGCUCAAGGAGAAUAUCACGAUAACAUUGUAGUUGCCUUAAUCCUGGGAUUGAUGGGAGUAUCGUGAUUCUCAUGCUUCAAUGUUGUGAUACCCUUUCCUUUAGUGAUGUUUUUGCAUGAUUUCAUGUCUCUGUCAAGUACCUAUAACACCCAAUUGAACGUUAGGGCCCCCAAUGGCACAAUUGGCCAAUUUGAGUAUAAAAAAUGAGUAUAAUGAGGCAUUUACACUUAUUAGAUUGAAAACCUAAAAAUUACUAAAAGACACGAAAUUACCCGUAAACAAGUUCCUUAAUAUAACAGGGAAGCCUAAUUUGACAUAUCAAAUUACAGCAGAUCAUCAUUCAACUUCAAAAGGUUACAAAAUGGUAACUGAACUAUUCAAUUUUUUUAUUUAAGUCACUAAAUUAUCCAAUAGUUUUUUUUAAAGUCCAGCUAGCGAGAUCCAAGUGACGAUUCGAUAAUUAGUACAAUGAAUCAAUAUCAAUUGACAAGUAGAAAAGUAAACCUUAGUUCCAAGUUGAUCUGACGAUUAGUGUGGGAGAUAAAAAAAGAACUCUAAUUGGAUUUUGGUUUGUAGAUUCAUGAUGUUCAAAGUUGUUUCAUGAAAAAAGUUGAACUGUAGAAGAAAAGGGGAAUGAGAGCUUUCAAUUGGUGCAGGCAAUGUAAAUAAAGAAGGCCAUACAUCAAUGAUUUUAACAUCCUAGUGACUUAAAUGAAAACUUUUGAAUUGUUUAGUGACCAUUUUAUAACUUUUUUAAGUUGAGUGACCAAAACGUAAACUUACUAAUACUUUAGUGACUUAAGUGUAAUUUACCCUAAAUUUCUUAACCUUUUAAUGUUGUCUUGUACUUAUCAUAUAAUUUAUUUUUAAUUCAUAACAUGUAAUCUAUUCUAAUUAUUAAUUAAUCUUUUUAUUUUGAAAUUGAAUACAAAAUAAAUUCCAUAUGUCAUGGGUGACACCAUUCUAUGGCCAAAAUUAGUCAUAAAUGCUGAUUUAAAAAUUUGGGUUUUAGUCCAAUUUUGAGAUUAUUUAGAGAAAUAGGUCAUUUUAUGUUGACGCGGUAAAAAGUGCCUUGGAAAACACAUUUUUUCGAAAAACAUUUUUUACAAAACACGUUUUUUGUUAACUAAGUGUCUUAUUUGGGUUGUUGGUUAAAUGUGUAUACUAUUAUUUAAGCUUCUGAUUAAAUUAGCGUUACGAGUUAACCAGAUAGCAACUUAAAUAUGAAACUUACGGAAAUAUCCUUCCGUAAUUAAAAUAAGUUACAUUAUUCGAGGAUAUUUUUAUCUUUUUAUCUUUUAACAAAGCUAAUAAAAAACUUACAUGGGGGAUUUGAACCCAUGUUAUUUACAUUAAUAGCACAUCAACAUUACCACUAAAAUAAAGCUUUAUUUUAAUAUAAUAUUCACUUUUAAAUUUUAUUAUGUAUAUUUUAUUGUUUCUAUAGUCGUAUAUCUACUUUUGAAUUCGUGAUUUCCACACACAUACAAAUGUGAUAAGAAUUCUAAUUUCAUUAUUGUACCCUAAUUUCAAAUCCUCUCUUUACAUGUUGUAUGUUUUUAUAAGCGUCUAAGUGUCUCACUUGGCUUAUUGGCUAAAUUUGUCGUAUUUUAUAAGCGUGGCUUGAGUUCAAAUUUUUUUUGUUUUUUGUUUUUGCUUUUAAUUAAUAAAUUUUUAUUUAUAUAGAUUAAAUAUUAAAUAUGUAAUUAUAUGAUUAAAAUAUAUAUUUAAUAUUUAAUGUAUAAUAUUAAAUAUAUUUUAUUUUUUAAAACAUCAAUUAAUUAUUUUGAUAUACUUUUCCUUAUUUAUUAAUUUUCUCUUAAUUCAUGUUUUUAAUUAAUAAAUUUUUUAUUUAUAUAAAUAAAAUAAUAAAUAUUUAAAUAUACGAUGAAAAUAUAUUAUUUCAAUAUAUAUCAUUAAGUUAAAUAUAUGUUAUUUUUUUAAAACAUCAUCUAUUUAUUUUGAUAUAUUAUCCUUAGAUAUUUUUUAAAUUAAAAAUAUUUAUUUUGGAGCUUUAAGAUUUUUUUCCUUAACCUUUUGAGUGUUGUUAUUUGUGUUAUUAAAUGUUGGUGAUGUGUGCAUAAACCAUAUUUUAUCCGGAUCAACCUCGAUUUGAAUUUAAAUUUUAUGAUUUUUAGUAUUAAUUAUUUUAUAAUAUUUAUUAGUUGUAUUUAACAUUGUUUAAUGUUAUUAUUAUUAAUAAUAAAUUAAAAGAAAAAAAGGAAAAGAAUAAAAAGAAAAGAAAAUUGCCAAAAUGCUUUCUAUAUAUGUGUGCGGUUAUAUACAUAUAAAUAUUAUAGGCAGUUACAUGGGUGGAUUAAAUUUCUAAAAAAUGCUGAUUUUUAAGAAAAAUUAUCAGGCUAUUUUUUCAAAAAAUUAUGGGAUUAGAUUGAUUUUACGAAAACACUUUUUGUUGGAAGUGUUCUCAGUUGAUUUGUAAAAGGGCACUUCCAAUUGGAAGCACUUUCUACCCCCGAUAUUUUUUUUAUGUCACCUCUUGUGAAAAUAAAAUUGACAAAAUAGAUCUUUAUAUAGACCCCAAGUUUCAUUUUCCUUAUUUUCUUAAGCGAUGUGGGAUAUAAGUUUAUAUAGACUCAUAAUCUAUUUGCAAUUUGUUCCUAAACAAUAUGAAAUUACUUACUCUUUUAACUAACAACAUAAAAUUAAAGGCUUUACUUAAUUUUUAAAAAUUAAAGACAAAACUUUGUAUAGCAUUAAACUCUAACAAAAUAUAUUUUGUUAUCUUUAAAUGAUAUCCUUUUGUUUGAGAUUGUUCAGAUUAUAAUUUAAGGUUGGUCAUUAGAUAACUAAUUAUUAUCUUUAAAUUAUUUUUGGGUAAUUCAGGUAAAUAAUUGAUGCUAGUUAUUUUAUAAUUUUUUUAUUUUCUUUCCUUUUUUUUAUCAUAAAAAUUGUAUACAUCCAUACCGUAUUUGUGUUAUUUUUGUUUUAUAAUCAAGUAUUAAUUUAUAUUUAAAAAUAUUAUUUACACUUGUAAAUUUUUUAUCUUUUCUUUUUACAAAUAAGAAAAAAGUUCUCAUAAUAUUUUUUUUGUAAAUAUGUAAACACUACACCAAAACAGGCUUUUAGCGGCGCUUUUUUAUGCCUUUAACGGCGCUUUUACAAGCGCCGCAAAAAGCGCCACUUUUACAAGCGCCGCAAAAAGCGCCGCUAUUGACAACGCCGCUUUAUGUGAAAAAACGCCGCUAAAGAUCAUGACCUUUAGCGGCGCUUUUGCCACAAACGCCGCUAAAGAUCUUGACCUUUAGCGGCGCUUUAGCCACAAACGCUUUAGAUACAAACAUCGCUAAAGAUCGUGAGCUUUAGCGACGCUUUAGCCACAAACACCGCUAAAGAAUAAACCUUUAGCGACGCUUCUAGCAAAAACGCUGCUAAAAACAUAACUUUUAAAAAAUAUAUUUUAAUCAAAUAAUAUUUAUUUUUAUGAUAAAUAUUAUAUUAUGUUUUAUUUUUUAAAUUUGAACUUUAAAUAUACUUGUUAAGGAUAAAUAAAAAAAUAUUAUUUAAAUUAAAUUUUCUAUGAAAAUCUUAACUUUAAAACUAAAUAUAAAAAAUUAAUGAAUUUAGCUUUAGAAUUUAAAAUAAUAAAUUAAUAACACAAUUAAAAAAUUAGAAAAUUUAAAUUCCUAGAGUCAAACCAUAAUGAUUUUCUCGUAGAAGUAAGAAACUAAAAAGAAAAAGAAAACUAUGAAUGAAGUAGAUAUCGUAAAAAGAAAUCCGCAGAUGAUUUUCUAGCAAAACGUUUUUACAUGAUUAGUUCAUAAAAUCCACAUCUUCAUUACACAAGAGAAAGGACAUUACAUAUCUAAAAGAACAUAAAAGGCUUUACACAAAUAGGAUGAAAAAAGCUAGAAAAGAGGUACAAAAUUGUACAUCUUUAUCAAGUAGGAAGAAGUUCUGUGCAGCUGUAUCUGCAAUUCCUUUCAUCCUUACAACAGCUUGAACAGCCAUGCUAAGAACACCAAGCCCUGCACUGGAAGCCAGAAAGAAAAGUUUUUAUGAGAAAUAAAGCUGUGAGGGAAUGGAUGCAAGGAGCCGUAGAAAAAUUAUGGUGAAAGAUUGAAAGACUAAGCUUUAUGAGUCAGCCAAAUACCUUCCAGCUCCCACCACAACAAUCUUGUGGUUUGGAAAAUCAUCCAAAGAUCAACCUUGUGCUCUUACAGUUCCUAACAAUCCAGCAAGUGCAACUCCAGCAGUUCCCUAAGAGAAUUAAGUAAGCACAACUUUCUAAUAUUUGUGGCAUUCAUAGUGAUGCUGCAGCAAUCUAAGUUACACUAGAAUCUAAUCCUAUCCAUAAAAGUAGCAACUUGCUGGGCCAAGUGCUCACCUGUACGUCAUCACUAAACAUGCAAAACCUUUCCCGAUAGCGUUUCAGAGUUUUAAAGGCCCACUUCAUUUGAAAAUCCUCAAACUAAAUGGGGUAACCAUCAAAUAAACAUCAUGGUAUCAGCAUAAAACAAAAGUCUCACUUCUGAAAGAGAGAAACCUGUACAAUAGCCUCAGGCUAACGUGUUAAAAUUGCUUUGAUGAACUCAUCAAUUAUUGAUAAAUAUUCUUCCCCUUCUAACCUUGGUUGUCUUAGUCCUAAAUCUGUCCAAACCCCCAAAGAGAAACAUUUCAGAAGAAAUCUCCACAAUCGGUAAAUAAAACAAAGUACCAACAAGCAUUUCAUAUGUUCCAUUCUAUGAAUAACAAAGUAAAUAAGCACAUAUUUUACUCAUAAAGUGGGUGUUCAAUUAGCUUUAGAUUGUUAGUACCAACAUCUAGGAUAUUUGGGAGUAUAUGUUAGAGACAGAUUGAUUUAAUAAUUAAAGUUCUAACACAAGACAAGAGAGUUGCCAUCACAAGAAAAUGUUGAAAAUGUAAAAUACGAUAAUAACAUGGAGCAAACAUUUUCAGCAAGAUAUAAUCCACACACACACAUUUUGCUCAGCCAUAAAAAUUAUUUUAAUAUGAUAUAUUAUCAUAUAUUUAGCUUUCCAGCUAAGUAUGAAACCCUUAUGGGGCCUUCUUUUAUUUGCCCAAAUUAAAAAUGGUCAUACCAAAGCAAAGUAAAUCGGUUUAAUUUGAUUCCAUCUCUAUUUUAUUUUAUUUAUAUUUAAUGAUAAAGUAUAUACAUUUUCAUAUAGGAAUAACUUUUAAUGGGUUGAACCUAAUUCAUGAACACUUUCAAUUUAAAAAAUAAAAUAAAAGCAAUAAAAAGCGUGAAAGCAAUAAAAAAGACAGACAAAAUAUCAUUAAAAGAUAACAUGAAUAUGAUAUAAAAAUAAGAAUAUUUAACAAUUAUUAAAUAAAUAGUGAGAGAUGAGAGGUAGUUGCACUCUCAUCAAGCAGUGUAUAACUCACUCAUUUAAAUGCACCACUUCCUACUAUAAUGGCUCGCAAACAAACAUUCAUUUCAUGGGGUAACUCUUUCCUUACACAGGCUAAUAGCUUGCCUUCAUAAAUUUGCUUCUUCUCUCUCACACUUGAAUAGAAUCUUUUGAACCUCUCAAUUUAUUAAUUAGAGAAGAAAGAUCUCUCAUUUCUCCAACCAAUCUUAUGUUUCAGAACUUGUUUUUUUUAUUUAUUUUGUUAGUGUGUUUAGUUGACAAAAGCUGAUUCCAAGGGAGUUUUUAUGACUUUUUUUUCUUUUUUAAUUUAUAGAUUUCUAUUGACAGCUUCAACUAUGCCUUGUCUUUAGGUGACACAUUACUGAAUCAAAUUACUAAUAUAUAUUUAUAUAUACAAAGGCAUCUUAGCUUAUGCUAUGUAGAUUAUUACAUGGGCUAUACAGGCAGGGUUGAGUGGCAGGAGCAAGGACUUGAGAGGUAUACAUGCUUGUACAGAGAGUAGAGAAGUGACACAUUUGGUCUAUCUAUUUUUUAGCUUUAAUGAUGAAAGUAAUAGGAGGGCCUUUGACGGGGAAGAGCUACCUUCAUCAAAGCUCUAAUAGUUAUUAGGAGUAAGUGAUCUUUGAAUUUUGUUUCAAUUGUUUGAACAAAUAAAAAACCGGCUUCCUUCAUGAAUCGAGCCCCCUUGCUGCGUGUUUGUCAUCAUUUUGUACUGAUUAAAGAAAAUAUUUGAGCUACAAAUCAUAAGUUACAUAGAGUAACUUGACACUGCCAUCAUAAUAAUCUAGCACAAGAUAGUGUCAAAGGUCUUCAAGAAUCCAAGUCCUCAUAAUUUACAGAUCCCACAACUGUUCAGAGGGCCAUUUUUUCAGGCGGGAGGGGGCAACAAGGAGCCUAUUUCAGAAUAUCAGAUUUAUCAUUCAUGAUUUGAAUGAUAAUGUAAUUUGAGGAUUGGGUAUAAACAAAAGUAGAAAACGAUUAGAACUGAAAAUGUAAUUUUUGUUAAUGAAGGCAAUUAGGAUUACGAUUAAAAGUUGAAACUGAAAAUGUUACUACUAAAUAGUAGGUUAGAAUAGAUGACAACGAAAUUCAAAAUGCUUACAGUUAUUAGUUGAAAGCUAGAACAGAUUCCAACAUAAAAAUAUAACAGAAAAGCACAUAAAUAUAUGUUCAUACACCAGCCAAUUUGGCAGGUCUAAAUGUAAUUGGAAAAAAAUGCCAAAAGGAGAAAGGAUGAUGCCCAUUUUUAGUUUCAACAGAACCCAAAAUUUAGAAAAAAGAAACUCAACUAAAUGAGAAACAUGUUGCCACGUUUCAUUGGCAAAUCUUAAUUAAAUCACAAUACAUGAAGUCAAAGGAUAAACUCACACAUGAAUAUAUGGGAAGUAUAUGUCUUUCAGCUUACAUUGGAGCUUAGAUAUGUCCAAGUUUCUCACUACAGGAUUUAAUAUCACCACCUGUGAAGAAUCAUACUAUAAAUACAUGAACUGAGACAAAUAAAACGCAAACAGCUCACCUAGCUAAAAUGAUUCUUAUGCACAAAUAGAAUGCAGGAUCUAACCUCAAAAACAACAAUAUAUGAAAAUUAAAGGGAACAUACAGAAGAGUAAACCUUUGUAAAGCUCCCAUGGGGUGACUCCUUGAUUUCUUCAUCAAGAGGAUCCCUAAUGCCUCCAUCAGUCUAAUGUAAAAAGAUUUUGAUGACAUAAUGCAACAAACUUCUGAGAAAAUUUCAUAACAAAAAUAAUUUCUAUAAAAACUUAUUCUUUAGGGAAAUUAAUAAUAAGACUAUCUUACACUCCAACUACAUUCAGAGCCAGAAUUGCCAAGUAAAGCCUCUCGUGCAAGAUGUAACUUGUAAACUUUCUUGGAUUGUUUUGUCUUGGAAGAGACUUCAACACAGCUAUAUGAAGACAAGAAAAUAUAUAACUACAAAAAUCUAUUAAGUCUCUAGGAAAUGAUUCUAUCAGCAUAAAACAGAGGAAAUGACAUGUGGUUUGUCAAAUAGGUCAUACCUCCCUAGAUUCAUAGAUGCAAUAGGUCCUCCAUAUCCAAACAUGCCAAAAAAGGGAUGCAUUGUUAUGAAAGCCAAAGUGAGAGCUUCUAACUAACAUUAGAAUCUUUGUGUGCAAACAUAAAAGGCAAGCUUCAAUUAUGUCAAAUCUCAGACAGAGAUACUAAUGCGUCUAACCAAAGAAAUACAUGAGUUUCACAGAUUUUGUACCACUAAGAAUGGUGGCUUGCACCCUAUUGCCUGUUGUUUAUAUAACCUGUUUAGCGAGGCACCCAUCUUUCCCCUGAAUAGAAUAAGUGGAAUAAACUUGAAUUCAUUAGCAAAACUCAAAAGAAAAACUAUAAUUAAGAAACACAACCAGUAAAAGUCUAUAGUGCAUAUUUCCUUCCAAAAUAUAUCCCACUUAAGUUCGAAACUUUGAACCAUGAACAAACCGGUGUGGAUGGAUGAGAGAAAAUCUAAAAGGCCGCUUGAAAAGUGUAGCAGUUGAAUACAUCAACCAUAACUUAACUUCUGUCUUACCUUACUACAGAAGAAAAGUAACCCAAAGUGCCAAACCAAGAAGUCGUAACAAAAAAAAAACAUAAAUAUAAAAGAAGAGAAAAAGGACUUCAUAUAAACAUACCACUUCACAAUAGAGUUUUCAUCACUGUUGUCCAUUCCAGGUCCAGUGUCAAAAAUUGAGAUUCCACUCUCAAGAACAUCCACACUUCAAAAACAUUAAAAUAGCCAUUAGCCAUAUAAAGUAUGAUGAAAACAAUUUGUUUUUUAUUAUGAGAAAAAGCAACACAUCAUUAAAAACACUGGCAUUGGGUAUAAACAAAAGGGUGUUUUUUUGUUAAACGUUUGCGGCGGGGAUAGCCAUUGAGAGCAGAAGAAGAAGGGGAAGUAGAGAAAACGAUGAAGAAGGAGUUCAAAACAUCGUCGUCUGGUACCGAGAUGGAAAGCUGGGUUUCUUUGAUAGGGUCAGGUGAAGAGGAAAGAGAGAAAGGGAGAGGGGAAAGGGUAAUAGGAGAAAGGACUUGGUGAAUAGAAAGGGAACGGGUAAGGCCAUGGGAAGAUUAGGGAUUUCAUGGGGGGAAAAUUUGGGGUAAAAUGGCGCCAUUCUAAAAUGAUUUUUGCGGCGUUUUUAUUUUAUAAAAAACGCCGCUAUUGUUUAUUUUUUAUCUGUUAAAAAUUUAUUUUAUUUUGAACAAAAUGACUAUAUUUUGUUCUACUAAAAAUUUUUUAUUUUAUCUGUUAAAUAUUAUUAGUUAAGUCAUAUAAAAUAUUUAUUAUUUUUUAAAAUUAAUUUUUUAUAAAAAAACUAACUACUCUCAAAAUAAAUAUCAUAGAUUUUAAUAAGAAAAAAAUUAUUAAAUGGCUAUAAUUAAUUAUUAAGUUAGAAUUAUCCAAGCAAUUAACCUUUAACCUCUAACCCUUAAUUCUUAAUCUCUAACCUCUAACCCCUCUUUUACAAUUAUAUAAUAACUUAAUUAAUAUAUAAAUUAAAAAAUAUUAAUUAAUCUAAACCUUAAACCAUAACCUGACCCCGAAUUUCUAAACCCUAAAUCACUAACUCUUAACUUUUAACCCCUAACCUAAACCCCUAACCCCUAACUACUAACCCCUAAACCUUAUCUAAUAUAUAAAUUCAAAAACAUUAAUUAAUCUAAACUCGAAUCCCUAACCUCUAACCCCUAAACUUUAUUUCAUAAAAAAUUAAAACACACUAAUUAAUCUAAACCCUAAAGCCUAACCUGACAUCGAAUCCAUAAACCUUAAAUCCCUAACUCUUAAUCUCUAACCCCUAACCCCUAAUGCCUAAAUCACAACACUUAAACUAGAAUCUCUAAUCCCUAAUCCCUAAUUCCAUAAUCUAUAAAUGUUAAAAUUGUAACUCCUAAACUGGCCUUAAAACCUAAAUUAACCAUAUACCCUAAACCAUAUAUAUUAAACCCUAAACUAUAAUGAUAAUUAAUUAAAUAUUUUAAAAUUAAUACUAUCGUAUUUUUUACAAUUAAAAUCAAUCAGUCAUCUACCUAAAAAUUUUUAAAAUUAUUUUAAAUAAUAGUAUUUUAAUUUUUCCAUUUUUAACAAAUAUUUUUCUAUGUUUUUUUAUUUCAAAUUAUUUCUAUGUGUCAUUAUUUCAAAUUUAUCCAUUUAACAAAUAUUCAAUUAAAAAUAAAUUAAAUUUUAAUUAAUAUAAAUAAACAAAUUAAAUAGUAAAUAACAGAUAAAAUAUUUUUGCGACGCUUUCUCAAAAACGCCGCUAAAGCUCUAAGCAUUAGCGGCGCUUUUUCAAAAACGCCGCUAAAGAUCUGAGCAUUAGCGGUGCUUUUUCAAAAACGCCGCUAAAGAUCUGAGCAUUAGCGCCGCUUUUUUAAAAACGCUGCUAAAGAUCUGAGCAUUAGCGGCGCUUUUUUAAAAACGCCGCUAAAGACCUGAUAGGUCAAAAAACGUUGCCGUUGGGCUUAGGUUUUUUUUGCGGCGUUUUUCCAAAAAACGCCGCUAAUGCUUGAUCUUUAGCGGCAUUUUGUGUAAAGGGCCGCUAAUGCUUGAUUUUUAGCGGCGUUUUUUGUCCAAACGCCACUAAAAGUACCGCUAAAAGCCUGUUUUGGUGUAGUGAAAAUUAUUUAAGCAAUUUUCUUGAUUGAUUUAGUCUAACACUAAAUUUACAUUAUUGUUUUGUUUUAUUUUUUAUAGGAAGAGUGGUAGUGUUGUUUCAUGUUUGAAGAAGACUAAAUAAUAAUACAAAUUUUUUAUCAUCAAAUUAUGUAUUGACCAAUAUACUUUUUAUUUUUAGAAAUAUAGAGAAAUGUAAAAAUAAACAUAUCGGGUUAAUACAAUAAUAUCUAUAAUUAUUGACAAAAUAAUAUCUAUAUUUAACAUAUUAAAUAAUAAAAACAAAAAUAUGUGUCACUAUAUUAUCUCUAUUAAUUUUUACACUAUAAUAUCUAUAUAUAAAAUAUUAUGUGUUACUAUAUGCGUAAGUUUGUCUUUUUUUUUGUUGGACUUUACGAUAAUAUUUGUAUAAGAGUUUAUAAUGUUUUAUUUUGUUAGAGUUUAAUCUUGUACUAAGUUUUGUCUUUAAUUUUUAAAAAUUAAGUGUAACAUUUAAUCUUUUGUUGUUAGUUAAAAGAGUUAGCACUAUCACAUUGUCUAGGAAUAAACUGCAAAUGUAUUAUCUACGUCGCUUAAGAGAACAAGAAAAAUGAGAUUUGAAGUCUAUAUAAAAAUCUGUUUUGUAAGUUUUAUUAUCAUAUGAGGAUGUACCAAAAAAGUAAAAAAAAAAUAUUGGGGGCAGAAAACGCUUCAGUGAAAUUAGUCUAGUUCCGUAAUUUUUCGAAAGAAAUAACCUUAAUCUGAAAAUUGUUUAAAAAAAUCGGGGGCAUUUUUCAAAAAUUCACUCGAUGGGUGCGGUUGGGAGAAAGGAAGUUAAAAGGAGUUUUUUUAAGAAAGGAAAAAUUACAGAGGCUUUGGGGCUUCCAAGGCUUGAGGAUCCCAUCACUUGAUGGUAAGAGUUAUGUUCAACAUCAAACCCCAGGGGACAGAUAGAACCACACGACACUCAUUUGAGUUCAUCCAACAAACGUUUGGGUAAAUUUCUUCUUUAGUACUUGGUGUUUUCCAUUUUGUUCAAGUUUUAAUUGUUUACACCUUGCUGCGCCUACCUACUUAUAUGUGUUAGGAUAGUAUCUUGAUUACUAUAUAUUACUAUGCUUAUUAUUACAUUGUCUUACUUCGCCUUCAUGUUUGUAUACCAUUUUAGUUACAUAUCGUGGCAUGCUUAUUUAUAACAUACAUUUUUCAAUUUCUUUUAAACAUAUAUCUAUAUAUAUAUAUAUACAUACACUGUGUUAAAGGUCAUCAUCAUCAAUAUACGAAACCCCAUUCUAUAAGUGCUGCAAAUUAACUGCCCCAAUAAAAACAAUAACUCAUGUCUUAAGAUACAAAAUCUAUUUUGAUAUGGAAAAUAGUGAUUAAUUAUUAAAACCCAAAGCAACAGUGGUGUUGGAGUAUAUAUCGUUUGCUAUAUUUUGUGCAUCGCUGGAAAUACCUUGCAGUCCUCUUCUUGAAAAUCCAACAUUGUAAAUUCCAUUUCUCCCUUUCCAGUGAUACGGAAAGCUUUUUCUGGGCAUUCCUUUCUCAUUAAAACUUUCAUAGCUUCCCUGCAAUAAUAUUUAACCAUUUAAUAUCUCAUUAAACCUAUAAUAUGGGAAAUGUUUCAAUAUCAUACCUUACGCCAAUUUCUGACUGUGCUUUUAUAGCCAGUGGCAAAAAUGCCAUUUGUAAACACAAUGUCUUUAUCUCUGAUGGAUUUCAUACCAGGUAAAACCUAAAGAAACAAAUCACCAAAAUUAUUAUUUAUCUACUUUUUACAACUAUUUACUUACCUUGAUUUCUUCACUCUUAAUCUUACUAAUGGUUCCAACAUCAUUAACUGGGGACCGACCACUUGUUUCCUUAAGAUGGAAUGGCCCCUUUUUUGGUCUUUGAAUACCAUAUUUCGAAAGCUUCCCAUAUUCUAAUUUGCUAAUUGCCACAGUGAUUUUAUCCACUGCUUUGCGUGGGAGGUAUUGUAACAUGAUCAUUGCCAUUUUCACCAUCUCUUUGGUUAGCACAUGUACCUAUAAAUUACAUUCAAAUCCAGUUCAUCUGCAAGAAAUUUACAUCUAAAUAUAAGGGCUGAGAAAUUUAUUGUAAAGACUGAGAACUGAAUGCAAAGUUUUGUAAACAAAAAAGAAUGGACAUCAUUAAUUUUAUACGGGUUUUGUUCUUACCGGAUUAAGAACGACAAUGGAAGUGUUGGCACCCGAAUUCCAAAGAUCGUAAGCAAUCUCCAUGCCAGAGUUUCCACAACCAACAACUAGAACAUCUUUGCCUCUAAAUUUCCUCCCAUUUUCAUAUUGGUUAGAGUGGAUGCAUUCCCCUCCAUAGCUAUCAAGACCAUCGAUAUCAGGGAUUGUACCUUGGCUAUUUUCGCCACUGGCUGCUACAAGAAACCUCGACGUAUACACCUCAGUCUCGAUCACAUUGUCGGUCGUCGCCAUGUUCUUGACAACAAUCUGCCAUUUUUCAGCGUCCUAAUCAUAAAUAGCUGACUCAACGGAUCGGAGAUAUCUUGGGGUUAUGCCGAAGUGUGAAACAUAAUUGUCUAAGUAAUAUAUGAACCCUUUUCUGGGCACAAAUUGUUGCUCCAGUAUCAACCAAAGCAUUUAGAGAAUAUUUUUUAUAUUUUCUAAAUUGAAAUGUAACUUUAAUUAUUAUUUCAACUUUUGAUUUUUUAUCAAUUGUUGAAGUUUGAAUUUCUUCCCAUUUUUCUAUAGGAAUAGCAUAUUUUCUGCAACUACUGGUUGUAGCUCCAGUGUCUAAUAAAGCAUGUAAAUAAUAUUUUUUAUAUUCUCUAAAUUGAAAAUUAAUUUCAAUAUAGGUAUAAUAUUUUUUAGGUUGAAAAUUUGAAACACAUAAGUUGGUGCAUUAGGGGGGGAAUCCAUGUAUGGAAGGUGGCAAAAUUGCUUUGCUAAGUGAAGUUUGAGGCGAUCAUAUGACCUUUUCUUCCAAAGAGAAGCAUAGCAAUCCUCUCUUUCCAACACAAUGUUGGGGAUCGAAAGGCGGUUCAGGCAAGCCGAGGUGGCUAGACCUGCAGGGCCUGCUCCCACAAUAAUAACCAUUGUUUCCUCCAUACUUUAUGUAUCGUGUCACUUUACUUGAAAUUUUAUUCUUGUCUAAUUAUUUACUGUAUGCAAAAGUUAGAAUCAAUAAAGUUUAAGGAUACAAUAAAUUUCAAUGAUUGAUUCUCUUUGACAAAAUCAAUUCAUUUCAAUGAAUACUCACUUAUGAAAAUCUUUUAGAAAUUAAAAAGUAUUUAAAGAAAAUUAAAUGUAUAAUUGUAUAAACAUGAGUCUCUAUAUGGUAUUUGUUUGAAACCUCCAAAAUAGUUACUUUAAACUAUGGCUAAAUAUUUCUAUCAGUUUAAUUGAAAACAAAAUUAAAAAAAUUAAAAAAAUUAAGAUCCCUUAAAUAUUUUGUUAUUCUACUAUAUUUUUAACCAGAGAAAUGCUUUGAGUUGUUUUAAAAAAAAAUUCUAGACCCUUAAUUUUUAAAUUAUGGUUAUUAAGGUUGAUUGAGUUGGUAUGGGCAUUGCUUCUAAUGUAAUGUAGGAGGACGUGAGUUUAAAUACAUUGAAGCGUAUUAUUCUCCUAUUUAUAGGUUUAUAGGUUGAGGAGAUGCUAUGGAUAAUUUUAAAUGGUUAUUAACACUACACCAAAAUAGGCUUUUAGCGGCAUUUUAAACGCCGCUAAAAAUCAAGCAUUAGCGGCGCUUUUCAAAAAUCGCCGCUAAAGAUCCAACAUUAGCGGCCCUUUUUGGAAAACGCCGCUAAAAAUGAGCAUUAGUGGCGUUUUUGAGAAAAGCUCCGCAAAAAACCUAAGCCCAACGUCAUCGUUUUAUGACCAUUAGAGGCUUUAGCGGCGUUUUUGGAAAAGCGCCGCUAAUGCUCAAACCUUUACCGGCGUUUAUGGAAAAGUGCCGCUAAUGCUCAGAGCUUUAGCGGCGUUUAUGGAAAAGAGCCGCUAAUGCUCAGACCUUUAGCGGUUUUUUUUGAAAAAGCGCCGCAAAAACAUUUUAUCUGUCUAUUUACUAUUUAAUUUAUUUAUUUAUAUUAAUUAAAAUUCAAUAUAUUUUUAAUUGAAUAUUUGUUAAAAAUGGAUAAUUUUGAAAUAAUGACACGUAGAAAUAAUUUGAAAUAAAAAACAUAGAAAAAUAUUUGUUAAAAAUGGAAAAAUUAAAAUACUAUUAUUUAAAAUAAUUUUAAAAUUUUUUGGGUACAUGACUGAUUGAUUUUUAAUUUAUAUAUUAAAUAAUUUCAUAUAUAAUUGUAAAAGAUACGAUAAUAUUAAUUUUAAAAUAUUUAAUUAAUUAUCAUUAUAGUUUAGGGUUUAAUAUAUAUGGUUUAGGGUAUAUGGUUAAUUUAGGAUAUUUAAGGCCGGUUUAUGAGUUACAAUUUUAAGGUUUAUAGAUUAUGGAAUUAGGGAUUAUGGAUUAGGGAUUCUAGUUUAAGGGUUGUGAUUUAGGGGUAGGGGUUAGGGGUUAGAGAUUAAGAGUUGGGGAUUAAUUUAGGAUUUAUGGAUUUGGUGUCAGGUUAGGAUUUAGGGUUUAGAUUAAUUAGUGUGUUUUAAUUUAUAUUAAAUAAUGUUUAGGGGUUGGGGGCUAGGGGUUAGUAGUUAGGGAUUAAGGGUUUAGGGUUGGGGGUUAGAUUAAUUGGUGUUUUUUAAUUUAUAUAUUUAAAUAUUAGAUUUAAAAAAAACAUUGAUAAAUAAAUAAAUAAAAGCAACAGAUUGAUAUGGAUAGGUAACUAUUUAUUGAUAAAUAAAUAAAUAAAAGCAAAAUAAUAGUAAUUAUUUUUUAGUUAGAAAAAAAUAUCUCUAAUAAAAUGGAGAUUAGAUCGGAAAAGAAUAAUUUAAAAUCAUGACUAACGUCCCAAUUUUUAAUAGAAAUUCGAUAUGUGAGAGAUUGAUUGCUAACAUUGGAUAAUUCUAACUUAAUAAUUAAUUACAGUCAUUUUAUCAUUUGUUUUCUUAUUAAAAUAUAAAAUAUUUAUUUUGAGAGUACUUAGUUUGUUUUAUUUUAUAAAAAAUCAAUUUAUAAAAAAUAGUAAUAAUAAAUGUUUUAUAAAAUUACUUAACUAAUAAUUUUUAGUAGACAAAAUAAAAAAAUUUUAGUAGAACAAAACGGCAUCGUUUUGUUCAAAAUGAAAUACUUUUUUGUGGCAUUUUUUGAAAAAACGCCGUUUUGUUCAAAAUGAAAUACUUUUUUAUGGCAUUUUUUGAAAAAACGCCGCAAAAGAUUAUCAAUAGCGGCGUUUUUAAAAAACUCCACAAAAAAUAUUCCACUUUUCAAAAUAGCGCUUUAUAUCAAAAUUUCUCGCUGAAACCCUAAUUUCCCCCCCCUAAAAUUGGUAUCCUCAAAACACGCUUUUAAGUGUUUCUCUCUGCCACCACCGUCUUCUUCAUCAUCUUCCCCUCUUUCUUUUUCUUUUUAAUUUCAACACCUAACAUACAUGUUUCAUUUCGCAAAAGCCAUCUUUAUCUGUUUCUCAUGUGACUCUAAAGCCUCCUUCUUUCCUUCAACGUACCCAAGGUAAAGUUUUGUCAACUUCUUCUCAAUCAUUUAUUUCCAUCUACUUGCCUUUUUGUUUUAAUUCUUCACGACUUUGGGAUUUCUUGCAUAAAUUACUAUGAAGACAAUAAUGCUAAUGUUUUGGAAUUUAAGCUGAAGGAGCUCCCAGCCGUCCGUUCGAAAUCCCCUUCCGUUCAUCAAUUCUCUGUCGCGUUUACCAAGACACUGACCCCUCUCUUUCAAAUUCUAAAGUGAACCACCACCAUGGAACGCGUUGUGCGCUUUGUUUCAGCAAGGUCCUGGCCCGAGAUCCCAACGACACUUCCGCUAGUAAUGAGUUCUUGGAGGAAUUUUUGAAGUUCCUUUUGGUUGGGGCUACUGCAGCUAAAAAAACUGCACGAUUUAAGCCUUGCCAAAACAUUUCUGAGGUCAGCUCUUUUAAAUUCUGGCUUCAUUUUUUUAAAUCUUUUUAGCGUUUUGAUUUUUAGGAAUUAUAUUUUGUGCUAUAUUGUUUGUAUUUUGUUUAAUGAGUUCCUAAUACUUUCGUUUAAUGGAUUUUAAGCAGCAUAUUGUUUGUAUUUCGGUUUCAUUAUUGGAGCAGUUUUAUCAACUGUUCCCACUAUCGGUAGGCAACUUGGUUUUAGAUAUGGUUGAUUUACAUGAUUGAGGCUUUCAUCUUUUGAUGGUUUUCUGUUUCGUUUGUCCACGGAGGAGCUGUUAUUCGAACAAAGUGGUCGUGUGAAAUUUAGAACAGGAUCUACGUUGUUGAUUCCUUGGACUGAGAGAGGAUUCUCCAAGCUAAACAGGAAUUUCAGGUUGUAAAUUUAGAACAAGCACAAACUUGUUAGCCAAUAUGGUUGUACAUAGUCUCUUUUUAGUUCUUAAUAAUUUUUUUUCCAGACCAUAAUCAAUGAUCCAUUUAUGAGCAAUGCUAUCAUCUUGGUGUUCGCCAACAAACAAGACUUGGUAUGAUUCAGUUAGCUGUUUGAGACCCGUCUUUUUUUCGUGUAUAGCAAAAUGCAUGUAGUAUUUGCUUGAACUACUGGGAACACAUGCAUUUUUUUAGUUGCUGGAAGUACCAAUGUCAAGGAUAAUUUAGUUUUGAAAAAUAGGUUCUGCUGUUGUUUGCAUAGUUUUAAAGAAUGUGUUUGAAUAGAAUGUAAUCUUAGCUCCAAGGCCCUUAGAUUGACAUGUUUCGCCUUGUUCUACUUCUUGAAGAAGGCCUGAUUUUCAUCAUUGUAUGAAAACUGUAAUUCCCUUAAAUCGAUCAUGUAAGGCAUAAUAAUGGAUAAAGCAUAUGAAGUUGCAGUAUGGGUGCUUUGCUUCCCUGAACUAAACAUUACUAAAUGUUGCCUUCUUUUAUCAUUUUUUUCAUGUUGUUUUUAGCUUCAAAGAUUAAUUAGCUAAGAAUUUGAAACACUAAAAUGAUAUUUAAAUAGAUUUGGAAAAAUUUAUAAAAAUUACUGAUCUGUUUGUCGUCUGCAAAACCUAGAGUUUUUUUUCAUUUGUUUUCCAUAUAAUGUUUUAUGGUUUUAUAGUCGAACCUCUGAUUUUGCCCUUUUCGACAGAGGGGAAACUUUAGGUGCAGUACAAGUUCAAUAGGAGUGCAAUCCCAACUUGGUAUACUUUCACAACUUGGUAUCCAUAUAUUCCACUUGAGAAUAGGUACUCAUUAUUUAUCCAUUUUUCCCUUUUUGAUCAGAUUUAAAGCUAAUAUUGAAAGGAAUCAUUUAAUUUAAUUCAUCUAUAUUAUUGCCCAAGUUGAAAAAUGAAAUAUCAUUUUUCCUUCUAAUUUAGAUGCUAAUCACAGACAGCCUGCGAAAGUGAGUUUUUAUUGCAUAACCUUCAUUUUAAAUUUUUUAAAAUUUUUUUAUUGCAUAACCUCUCUCUCCCCCAUUCUCAAUUUCUAUUAAUCUUUUUAAAUUUUUUUUUCUGUGAGUUCACUCAAGAAAGGUUAGUAAAAUUUUGUUUAGUGUUACUUGUGUUGCAAAUACUUACAUGUUGAGACAUGGAUUUUAUUGUUGUAUGUUGAGUUUAUAUGUAAAAGGUACUGAAUGCUAAACAAAGUUGGGACUAAACAAUUGACAAAAGAGAUAUGGACUGGAGCUAUCUGUCAUGAUAUAACAUAGAAGGCAUAAAAUAAUUGAUAACUGUGAAAUGUUCACUUAGGUUGUUCUUAGGAAUCUGAGUUUCUGAAAAUGGAUUUGAAUUUCAAUAUGGUGUAAGUUGUGUGAUAAAGAAACUUGUAAGUUUAACAUCCAUGACUGUUUUUGAAAUUUAUGGAUUGUGGGAUGGCCAUAUAAGUGAUGAAUUUGAAAUUCCUAUGGAUCUUUCUUAUUUUGAUAUUCAUGUUUUUAUAUCUUUAAAUACAUAAUCAUAAUUUUAAUUAUUUUAUGCAUAAUGAUGCAUUUAUUCUCACAAUUAAUGUAGGAAAUGAAAUCUAAAUCCAAAUUCUCAAAUUCAUAUUUCCAAACAUAGCAUUAGGAAAUUAAGGAUAAUCCAGCUAAGGUAAUGGUAGAAAAUUGAAAUCUCAAUAAUUUGGCCUUUAUUGGGAUUGGGAAGAGGCACUACUAAACAACAACCAUUUGUUAUAGUUUGGGAAUUUGGGACAAAGAUAAAAAUGCAUAUCAUGAAGAUCUAGUGAUCACUACACCAAAACAGGCUUUUAGUGGCACUUUUAGCGGCGUUUGGACAAAAAACGCCGCUAAAAAUCGAACAUUAGCAGCGCUUUAUGAAAAUUGACACUAAAGUUUGAGCAAUAGCGGCGUUUUUUAAAAAAUGCAGCUAAAAAUGAGCAUUAGCGGCGUUUUUCAAAAAACGUCGCAAAAAACCUAAGCCCAACAGCGUCGUUUUUGGACCUUUCGUGGUCUUUAGCGGCAUUUUGGAAAAGCGCCGCUACUGCUUUGGUCUUUAGCGGCGUUUUUAGAAAAGCGCCGCUAAUGCUUUGGUCUUUCGCGGCAUUUUUGGAAAAGCGCCGCUAAUGCUCUGGUAUUUAGCGGCGUUUUCGGAAAAGAGCCGCGAAUGCUCUAGUCUUUAGCGGCGUUUGUGUAAAAGCGCCGCUAAUGCUUUGGUCUUUAGCGGCGUUUUUGGCAAAGCGCCGCUAAUGCUCUAGUCUUUAAUGGAGUUUUGGAAAAGCGCCGCUAAUGCUCUGCCCUUUAGCGGCGUUUUUUGGAGAAGCGCCGCUAAUGCUCUGGUCUUUAGCGGCGUUUUUGCAAAAGCGCAACUAAUGCAAAAUACUAUUAUUUAAAAUAAUUUUAAAGUUUUUUGGGUAUAUGAUUACUGAUUGUUUUUUAAUUUAUAUAUUAAAAUUUUUUAUAUAAUUAAUUAUAUAAAAUAGUAUUAAUUUUAAAAUAUUAAAUUAAUUAUCACUAUAGUUUAGGGUUUUGGGUAUAUGAUUAAUUUAAGAUUUAAGGCCGGUUUAGUAGUUACUAUUUUAAGGUUUAGGGAGUAUGAAUUUAAGGAUUAUGGAUUAGGGAUUAUGGUUUAAAGGUUGGAAUUUAAGGUUUAGGGGUUAGGGGUUAAGGGUUAGAGGUUAUGGGGUUAAGAGUUAGGGAUUUAGGGGUCGGUUAGGUUUUUGGGUGUAGAUUAAUUAGUUUUUUUAAUUUAUAUUUUAAAUAUGUUCUUAUAUAUGUAUAAUUGUAAAAGAAAUAAUAAUAAAUUUAUUUAAGGUUUUUAGUUUAGGGUAUAUGAUUAAUUUAAGAUUUAAGGCCGAUUUAGGAGUUACUAUUUUAAGGUUUAGGGAGUAUGGAUUUAGGGAUUAUGGAUUAGGGAACAUGGUUUAAGGGUUGGGAUUUAAGGUUUAGAGGUUUAGGGUUUAAAUGUUUUGGGGUUAAUAGUUAGGGAUUUAGGGUUUAGGCCUCAGGGAUCUGGUUGGGGUCUUGGGUUUAGAUUAAUUAGUUUUUUAAUUUAUAUUUUAAAUAUGUUCUUAUAUAAUUGUAAAAGAGAUAAUAAUAAAUUUAAUAUAUUGAAAUUAUGAGUAUAGUUUAAAUUAUUUAAGAGAUAUAUAAUAGAUAGACUUUAUGUGUAUUGAAUGGUUAAUUUAGGGUUUAAGGUUAAGGUUUACUUGAGAUUUGUUAAAUGAUAAAAUUUUAUACAAUUAAUUAAUGCUUUUAUAUUUAAAAAUUUUUAAUCUAAAUCAUUUGAUAUAUUUAAUUAUUAGUUUAAAUAGAAUUAAUAAAUAAGUUAAAAAAAAGUAAUAGAUUGAUAUGGAUAUUUAGGUAUAAUUAUUUAUUUAGGAGAGGACCAAAUUAUAAGAAAUAAAAUUAAAAUACAAAAAUAAAAAUGAAAUAAAAAAUAAAAAAUAUAAUUUUAUCUAAUUCUUAUAAAUAUUACUUAAAAAUUUUAGAAUUAUUUAUUUAAAACUUUUAUCAACAUGUCACUGUUUAACUUUAAUAAAUUAAUUUUUUUAGUGGCGUUUUUACAAAAAGCGCCAGAAUUAUGCAUUAAAUUUAAUAAAACGGUAAUUUUUAGUGGCGUUUUUAAUAAAAACGCCACAAAAAAAUCAUUUUACUUUAAAGAAAAUCGCGUAAACAUAGUUAAAAAGCUCUCAUUUUUCAACCAAAUCCAAACCUUAAACUGCGCCUCUCCCAAUUUCUUUUUCUUGGUACUCUUUGUUAGUUCGUCACAUGAUAGGCUCUUUUGUCUCGGUUUACUUACGAUGGUAGAUUAAGAGAUGAUUCCAAGUUUAGGGUUCAUUGAACAAAGAAAACGGCGGUGGUUUAGGGUUUUAACAGAGCAAAAACAUAGAAAAGGAGGAAGUAGGUAGGCAUGGUGAAGCUCACGGCCGACUUGAUUUGGAAGUGUCCUCACUUCUUCAAUGCCCUCAAGGAGCGAGAACUGGAUCUUCGAGGUGCUGCUUCGCCCUACUUCCUCUCUAACCCUAACCCUCAUCAUAAUAAUGUUCUCAAAAUUCACUUUCUUUCUUUUUUCCCCUUUCAGGUAACAAAAUUGCUGUAAUCGAAAACUUGGCUGCUACCGAGGUGUGUAUUACUUUGUUUGUGCCAGUUUUUAGUGCAGUCGUAGCUUUAAUUUACUGGUGGGUUCUUUUUUUUUUGUUACAUUUUCUAAAUUGAUAGGACCAAUUCGAUACCAUAGAUAUUUAUCUGACAAUGAGAUUGUGAAGCUGGACAACUUCCCUUAUCUUAAACGCUUGGGUACUUUACUUAUAAACAAAAACCGAGUUACUCGUAUCAAUCCCAAUAUUGGGGGUAAGCUUUGAAUCAACACUUCAAUUUCCCUUGUACUUUAGCAUGUGCCCUUUUCCUUUUGGUGUUGUCUCUUGGUAGGAAGGCUCUUAUGUUGUUCACAUUUCCCUUUCUUGCAGAGUUCUUGCCAAGUUUACAUACGUUGGUUCUCACAAAUAACCGGCUGGUGACCUUAGUGAAGAUUGACCCCCUUUCAUCACUCCCUAAGCUGCAAUUCCUUAGCUUGUUGGAUAACAAUAUUACAAAAAAAAACCUAAUUUUAGGUUAUAUGUGAUUCACAAACUCAAAUCACUUCGUGUUCUGGAUUUCAAGAAAGUCAAAGCUAAGGUGAUUGGAUAUGCUAAACUAUUAUUUUGUCCUUUUAUACGGUUUUAAUCUGUUAUGUUAUGCAUUUACUGUUGCCUAUAUGAAAUUGCUGUGUUUAAUUGAGAAACUUUUGGCAGCAUACUUGUAUUUAUUCUCCUGAUAGUAUUUGCCUGACUGAACCUUUAGCUUUGUAAAUCUGAACUUCCUUUUUGACAUUGUUUAAUAACUUCAUGGUUUGGUUUGAAUAUAUAUUUUGUAGCAGCAAGUGUAGGUUCACGUAAUGCUGUUAUGUAGUGACUGAUUGAGAAUUAGAUAAUCGAUGGAACACUAUUAGAUGUUAGAAUGGUAUCUUAUUCUUUUCUGGCCUAGUCAAAAUAUGUUUAAUGUUUAUAUUACACAGGUAGCAAACAAACUUUAUCAGCUGAGCUACAUUUCAAGGAAAUGUACAUUUUUUUCUGACAUUUUUUAAUAAAUAAAUGGGGCUAAAAGUAUGAAUGAAGUUAUGAAGCUAACGGAUUGUAAAAUGUUCUAUUUGGUAUAAUGUGCAUAGUCAACACAGUUAGCAGUUUAACUUUUAUGAUUUCCAAACACAUUUUCCCUUCCUUUUUUCUUACUAUGUAAACCCUAACCAUGCAAUCUCUGGAUAUAUUCAUGCGAGCAUCUUGCUGGUUUCUUCUAAACAUUCAAGGUCUAAAUUUGAAAUAACGUGUCAUCUAAAUGUCAUAAUCUAUUGGUUCCAGCUCUUGAUUGUUCUUAAAUGUACUGUACUUUGUUUAUAGUCAAAUGCCUUAUGAUGGUUGCCUACUUGUGUAAGUCCAAUCUACAUCUAAUGGAGCUGAUUCCACUCUAUCAAACCCCUAUGCGAAGAGUCUGCUCAAAAUUCUUCAAAAUACUCUAGCAGACAGAGGUUUGCUUUUAUUUUCACUUUGGACAUUAACUGUAUUGUUAAUGAUGCUGACAAUUCUAGCUGGCUUUUCAAUUGUCAGCAUACAUCCACCACCUGCCUUUGGCUCAUCGCCUAAUCUUGAAGCCCUUGCACUUGAAGCAAAUAAGUCUAAUGAUCAAGAUGGAGAUAGUUCUUUAAUUGACAGUUCACAUCUUUCCCGGUAUUUAACUAUUUAUUUAUGCCUUAAAAUGUCCUUAGGUGAAGGCUGAUUGUUUAUAAAAAUUUUGGUUAAGUUAGCGGUAGUUUGGUUUUUUUGGACUUGAUCAUCAUAUACUUUUUGAAUAUUAUGUAUUGGAUCUUUAAAAUAUUUAGGACUGCAUUAACUGAUAAGGUCCUGUCAAAGUUCAACUUUCUUCUGAACUUGUUUAAUAUUGGUUGCAAUGUGCCAGGCAAAGUACUUUGUUGAAGAAGUGAAGGGCAAGAGUGGGAAGGACAUUGAUAUAAGUUCUUGGGAACAAGAAUUUGUUGAAGAUCUUCUUGCACAGGAGAAUGGGUGCGUAUUCUAGUAUCUGUUGCAAUACACUUUAGGGAGCAGUACUCGAAGUACUUGUUCUUCAUAAGCUUAUUUCUUAAACAAAAUAACUUACAUUGUGUAGUAAUUGAUUGUGAGGUAGCUUUAUAGGUAUCUGAGUCUUUUUAUACUAACUAUUUAUUGCAAUUGGUUCCAAAUAUUUGGUGAAUUCAAUUAUUAAUUUGCACUGCUAGUUUCGUGGUGUCAUAUGCCUUUUGUGUUAGAAUUUGAAUUCUUCCCCCUAAACAAUUUUCUCUACGUACAGGUUUUAUUGUGGCAUGUUUAUGUUAAAAUAUAUAAACUUCUAUAGCAGAGGCUUAAGUCUUUGUUUUGAGCAGGUAAGUCCAUGGAACAAUUUUUUAUCCUUGUGGUCCAUGUUUUAUUUUGAUUUUUCUGUGAUUAAACUCUAGUACUCAGGGCAGUAGUUGUUGGGAUGUAAAAUCUAUUGUCUAUCUGCCUAAAUAUAUGACAAAAUGCAGAAGUACAUAUUGGAGAUACUCUCACAUGCACAUUCAUUCGUUUGAAACACGAUAUCUAGUUAUUUCUUUGAACUGAGUUGGAUUUUUCCAUGCUUAUGUAGGAACACAUGCCCUAUGCCAUAUUUUCGUUUAAGGACCGCCAAGGAAAUUCUAAAACUGAAAGCUAAUUGAUCGGAUGUGUAUGCCGGCUUUCAUCAACUACUUUUGAAGGCCUUACUAGGAAUUGAAAUGGUGUGCAAAGAGAUUGCUUCUUCUGAUCUGAUUUUUCGAUAUAAAUACUGGACAAAGUAUGGAUAUUUCUUGUCAGUUGCAUUUACUGUUGUUAGUAAAAUAGGAUUCUCUUCUUAGGAUCUUAGUUUCUUCACUUGUAUUAAACUCAACAAUGGCUUGCAUUGUAUUGGUGUUGAUUUUACCUAAAUUUCAAGGUUUACAAUUUUUAAUUUUUAUUAAUUAUUUAUGUUUUCUCACUUUUAUUAUUUUUUAUUAUUAUUUAAGCUUCCUUUAUUUGCCUUCUUUUAUCAUUUUCAUACAAAAUUUAAUUUAAAUAAUAUUUUUUUAUUUAUCCUUAAAAGUAUAUUUAAAGUUCAAAUUAAAAAAAUAAAACAUAAUAUAAUAAUUAUCAUAAAAAUAAAUAUUAUUUGAUUAAAGUAAUUUUUUUGCAUGAUAUGUUUUUAGCGGCGUUUUUGCGAGAAGCGUCGCUAAAGGUUUGUUUUAUAGCGGCGUUUGUAACAAAAGCGCCGCUAAAGGUCAUGAGCUUUAGUGGCGUUUGUGAUAAAAGCGUCGCUAAAGGUCAUGGUCUUUAGCGGCGUUUGUUACAAAAGCGCAGCUAAAGGUCAUGAGCUUUAGCGGCGUUUGUGAUAAAAGCGCAGCUAAAGGUCAUGGUCUUUAACUGCGUUGUGAAAAAGCGCCGUUAAAGGUCGUGGUCUUUAGCGGCGUUUGUUGGUAAAGCACCACUAAAGGUCGUGGUCUAUAGCGGCGUUUGUGGGAAAAGCGCCACUAAAGGUCCUGGUCUUUAGCGGCGUUUGUGGGUAAAAACGCCACAAAAGUUAGCGACGCGUUCAAUAGCGGCAUUUUUUGCGGCGUUUGUGAAAGCGCCUCAAAUACUUUUAGCGGAGCUCCUGUUUUGGUGUAGUGGAUAGUAAUUGAUAUUAUUGUUCUCCUGACGCAAAGGAUGUCAAAGAAAUUGCUUGUUAACAAAAUGUAGAAGUAUAGAAAAAGAAAAUAUAUGGAAAACUCUACAUAAACGCACGUGUAACUUUGUUCAAAAUUUGCUUUAGUUUUUUUUUUAUCUUGUUAAAUUUAUUUCUUUAUUUUAGUUAUAAUUGUGAACUUUCAUUUAUUUUCCUUUCUAGGAUGACUUACUUUAUUUUACUCUUAUUCUCAUGCAGAGCAUGUAGGCACUAAAUCUGCAGUUCAAAUUUGAAGCCAUGCUCAAAAGUUUUUUCUCUAAGGCUCAUUGCUUUGAGUUCAUUACAAGAUUUCCUUGAUUAAAUAAAUGUAUUAUAUCUUUUUUUACCAAGAUUUACUUGAUUAAGAAAAUGCAUUGUUGCUUGAGAAAGCAAAUCCGCAUAUUGCUGAGAACAUGGUGAAUCUCUCUUGAAUUAAUUUCUCAUUCUGAGCCAGCUGUAGUAGCCUUCAUCUAUGCCCUUGAGGCCUUGACUGUACUUGGGUUCUGUGGUUGCAAUAGCUACCGGGAUGGUACAUAGCAUGGCUAUUACUGAAGAUGGAGCAUUAUUUUAUUGGGUUUCCUCAGAUCCUCAUCUUAGAUGCCAACAGGUUCUAUUCCAUUGUCUUUGUUGAUUUUAACUUCCCCUGGAGUGAAGCUUUUAUUUACUUCAUUUGGAUGAAUUUGUGCAGCUAUAUUCCCUUUGUGAGAAAACAAUCGUCAGCAUUUCUGCUGGUAAGUACUGGGCUGCAACUGCUACUGCUAUAGGUGAUGUUUACAUGUUGGAUGGCAAGAAAAGUAUGGAUAAACCACCUGUUGCAACUCGGUUACACCGAGUAAAGGGAAAAAAGAUCCCUUAAAGAGUUGAUUUUGAGAGUUGGUCAUGAGAGAAUAUAACUUGUAAACAAUUUUCUAAUAUAGAAUGUAACUUGUAAACAGAACUUAUGUAAUUCUAAUAUAGAAUGUAACUUGUUUUAAUUUUCUUAAUUUAAAUUCAUUAAUUUUUAUAUUUAGCUUUAAAGUUAAAAUUUUAAUAGAAAUUUUAAUUUAAUAUUUUUUAUCCUUAAAAUUAUAUAGUUUAAAGUUUAAAUUUUAAAAUAAAACAUAAUAUAAUAUUUAUGAUAUAAAUAAAUAUUAUUUAAUUAAAAUAUUUUUUAAGUCAUGUUUUUAGCGGCGUUUGUGGGAAAAGCGCCGCUAAAGGUAUUGGUCUUUAGCGGCGUUUAUGGGAAAAGCGCCGCUAAAGGUCUUGGUCUUUAGCGGCGUUUUUAGAAAAAAAACGCCGCUAAAGUUAGCGACGCGUUCUUUAGCAACGUUUUUUUCGGCGCUUCUCAAUAUUUGCGGCGCUAAAAAGUGCUGCUAAAGGCCUAAAAAAACGCCGCUAAAAGCCUGUUUUGGUGUAGUGUAACCUAUUAGCUCAAACCGUUUUUUUUCUUAUGCUUUUAUUAUUUUCUUUUAUAUUAUAUUCAAUAUUUUUAUUACCUCUUAUAUUCAUUAAUAAAAGGCAUUACAUCUAUUCAAAAUUCUACUUGCAAGAAAUCAUAGUUUGCUGUUCAAACCAUACAACCAUAUAAUAAAGACUUCAUUUACAAUCCCAAACAUGAAACAGAAAUAUAGCAAGGCCCAAUGCCCCCAAUCUGACUUUUUUUUUAAGGUAAAAGAAAACCUUCGCAGUGGCCUUAUACAUGCAAGAUUCUAACCUUCGCCUUAAUAGAGGGAUCAUGAAGGAGAUUGGGAUUUGUCUUAAUGGAAGGAUCAUGGUUCAGAUCGAUUCUUUAGCUGACAAAGGAUUGUAUGGGAAUAAAUAUACUAUUUCAAUGUGUUCAAAAUCAUAAUUUUUAAAAAAAUUAUAUUUAUUAUACAUCAACUGUGGUAAUUAAAUAAAAAAAUUAAUUUAAUAAUUUAUUAAUGGUUAAAUUAAAAAAUGUUAAGUUAUCCUUCAAAUGUGAUUAUAUGAUACGGGUAUAAUUUGAAUAAAAGUAACUGUUAAAUAUGUCUCCUAUUUCAGUCAAAUUUGAGAAAUAAUCUUCUAGUUAAACUCUGUUUAUUUGUUUCAAUCAAACACUGAUUAGUUUAGAUUAUUUUAUUAUUAUUUGACAUAUGAAUUUAGCCUAUAAAUAGGUUCUUUUACAACCUUAGAAAAUGCACCAAUUAGAGAUUAGAACUCAUAACACAUUUAGAGAAUUUUGUGUUUACGUUUUGAGGGUUCUUUGUUUUCGGGUUUUCGGGGUUUUGUCUUUAUCUCCAUCUUUUGUACUCUUCGUUCUUUUGCCAUUAUAAUAAAAUUAUCUUUGCUCGUGAUUUUUUAUCCUCUUUGGAGGAGGUUUUCUAUGUUAAAUUUGUGUGUUCAAUUUCUCAAUUUCUUCUACUAUUUUUACUUGUUCCUUACUUAAUCGGGUCGAUCUCUAAUAAGUGGUAUUAGAGCUAGUUCAAUUUUCAUAGAUCAGCCCAUUCAGAUAUGGCAGCAACAAGGUUUGAAAUUGAGAAGUUCGAUGGUGAGACAAAUUUCAAUCUGUGGCAAGUUCAAAUAAUAACAAUUCUAGUUCAAUCCUGUUUGAAAAAGGUUGUUACCGGGAAAAAGCCUGAGAAUCUAAAUAAAAUAGAAUGGGAAGAGCUUGAUAAAAAUGUUUUGUCUGCAAUCUAGUUGUGCCUUGCGAAUACAGUAUUGCAGGAGGUAUUGAUGGAGAAGACCUCAUCUACCUUGUGGAAAAGGUUAGAAACUCUUUAUGCAACUAAGUCUCUGGCUAAUAAGUCUUUGACUAACCGUUUAGUGUUGAAACAACGUCUAUUUACGUUUCGUGUGAACGAAGGUGAGCUUCUUAGAGGUCACAUCAAUCAAUUCAUUACUCUUUUGAAUGAUCUAAAGAACUUUGAUGUUCAUAUUGAUGAUGAAGGUCAAGCUAUGCUGUUAUUGUGCUCUUUACCCCCUUCAUACAAGUCUUUCAGGGAGGCCUUGAUUUAUGGUAGAGACAAACUCUUCUUCGAAGAUGUGAAAGGUCAUUUGUUGAGUAAAGACAAACUCGAAAAUGAGCUUCAUUUUGAUAGCAAGACAGAUAGACAAGCUUUCGUUUUGAUAGCAUCAAAGAAACGAGACAAAAGGUGUCGCUAUUGUAAAAAGUUAGGUCACGUCAAAGCAGAUUGUUAUAAACUGCGAAAUAAAAGAGUUGUUGAGAGUAGCGAGGAAGAUGUAGCUUGUGCUAAUUUGGCCAAUGAAAGCGGUGAUGAUUUCUUGCUAGUGUCAACGAGCGAUAACUCCAAGCUCACGUUCGAGUGGAUCCUAGAUUCGAGAUGUUCUUUCCACAUGUGUCCCAAUAGAGAAUGGUUCUCCAUAUAUAGUUCGGUUGAAGGUGUAGUUGUGCGCAUGGGAAACGAUUCAUCUAGUAAGGUAAUUGGUAUUGGUACUGUUAAAAUUAAGAUACACGAUGGGACGGUUAGGACACUCUCAGCUGUCAGGUAUGUACCUGAUUUACGAAAGAAUCUCAUCUCCUUGAGUAUUUUAGACUUGAAAGGAUGCCAAAUCAACAUCGAGUCGAGCGGCAUUUUGUUAAAAGGUAAAAGAACUGGUAGUCUUUAUUUUCUGGAAGGUUCUACAGUGAUCGGUGAAAUCGGACGUCCCUCGUCCAUUACAGAGUCGAAGUCAACUCGUUUAGAGCGGAGGCAACUUGGUCAUAGGAGGGAAAAAUGUAUGAUCGUUUCGUUGAAGAGAGUUUCUCUUUUGGAUGCAGGUUUUGAAAAGUUAGGGCACUGUGUUCGUGAAAAUCAGACCCGGGUUAGUUUUGAUUUGGUAGUGUACAAGUCGAAGGCUAGAAGUCUUUUAGUUUCUAAGCACAAAUUCGACUCAGUUAAUUCCCUGCAUAGUUCAAGAUAGGCUCGUGGCGAGCUUUGACAAAGAUGGCGUUGUAGAAAUAUGAAUCAAUGUGGAUAUUUGUUAAGUAUGACUCCUAUUUCAAUCAAAUUUGAGAAAUAAUCUUCUAGUUAAACUCUAUUUAUUUGUUUCAAUCAAACACUGAUUAGUUUAUAUUAUUUUAUUAUUAUUUGACAUAUGAAUUUAGCCUAUAAAUAGACUCUUUUACAACCUUAGAAAAUACACCCAUUAGAGAUUAGAACUCAUAACACAUUUAGAGAAUUUUGUGUUUACGUGUCUUUAUCUCCAUCUUUUGUACUCUUCGUUAUUUUUCCAUUAUAAUAAAAUUAGCUUUGCCUGUGGUUUUUUAUCCUCUUUGGAGGAGUUUUUCCAUGUUAAAUUUGUGUGUUCAAUUUCUCAAUUUCUCAAUUUCUCCUACUAUUUUUACUUGUUCCUUACUUAAUCGGGUUGAUCUCUAAUAGUAACGUAUUUAAAGAAUUAUGUAUUUUUUUAUAAAUAUUAUGCUAUAAUUAAGAAUAACAUCUAAAACAACACCUAAUAACAAGAGAAUAUGACAACAUUACAAAAUAGAACAUGUUGAAUUAAGGGCAAAAACAAUAUGCCAACAUCCCCAAUUACAACAUCUUAGAACCAAAAACAACCAAACAUCAAUAUCCAUGCCUUGUAAAAACCAAAGUUGAACAAAAACACCUUACAACCUAAAGUUUUCAUAUGUUAAAAGCUAUAUGAUUAAAUCCAAAUUUAAUGAAGGUAAAGUAUAUGAGUGAGAGAUAAAUAAAUAGAGGCAAAUCUAGGGGGACGGCAAGAGCUUGUCCUCUAAAAAUGAUAAGAUUUUUAUUUAAUUUUUUAAAAAUUAUAUUUUUAUUAUCAUAAAAAUUAUUAUUUAAUUUUGACCUCUAAACAAAUUUUCUAACUUCACUAUGUAAACAAAUCUGUGAAACUAUUUUUAACAAUGAAAAUAACAUAAUAAAACACAAAGCACCUGUCUUGUACAUUAUUCAUUAAAAAAUAGGUUUCGAAAUCUCAAAGCUUAGUCAUAGAAUUUAUGCAACACCUUUAAGAAACAUGAAAUUUGAGCUGUAAUAAUUGCAGCUUUUUUUAUUAUCACAAUUUUUCAAGUCAAUCAUUAGGAAAUGAUCAUAGAGGAGAACCAUGCAUAUGUUCAGUUGAUUGAUGAGAAAAAAUGUUAUUACAAAUCUCUGGUAAGGAAAAUCUCGAACACACGAACAAAAUUCAAACAGAAAGAGAAGAAAUAGGACAAGGAUCCAAGGCUUGUAUCAAGCGACUAUCUUUAAGGUUAUAUUCGCCCCCACCUAUCUUCGGUGUGCAAAUGAGUUCCAAGCAAAUUAACCUCGAGGAUAAAAUGAAACCAAUGACUAUUUGCGUUUUGCACUGACCAGAAUAGUCCACUAAGCACUAAGCAAUGUAUAGCAAGAAACUCAAUUUCUAUAAAGAAUUUCUAUAGUAACUCUUUAUAUAACAAUCUAAUAAUAGUAGAAAAUGAGGAAGGAUAGAAAGAACUUUUAGAACUUGUUACUGUGAUUUCCAAAUGAAAUCUCAUUCCUAUUUAUAGGAAUUUUCAUGUCUCUUCAUAGAGGUGCCUUUCAAUAGGUGUCUUUAUGAAUAAAUAAAUAAUAAUAAUUAUUAAUUUAAUUUUAUAACUAUUCAAAUAAUAUUGUUUGAAUAGUUAUAAUUCUUUUUUCAAAAAUCAAAUGAUCUAACUUUUGACCAAUGACCAAAAGAUUUAUCUUUUGAUUAAUUACACCUUCUUCUGAUGAUCGAUUCAACCUCUAAUCAAAAAGAUAUACCUUGUUUAUGUUUCAUCUCUUCAACAAGUUUAGUAAUGAGCAUAACGGCCCUAUUGUUCCGAUAGAGAGAAUAACCUAUGAUUAGCUUUUCAGGAAAUUUCCAAACGAACAAUUUCAACGAAAUCUUUCAAUUUCUUAUUUUACUAUGUUCAACUCUAUGUAUUUCUCUAUCUGUAGAGCACAUUGAAUGUACAGAAAUGGCUAUAGCAGAGUUUAUGUUAUUCGUAUUAAUAGCUACUCUAGGAGGAAUGUUUUUAUGCGGUGCUAACGAUUUAAUAACUAUCUUUGUAGCUCCAGAAUGUUUCACACAUUCAUUUAUAGUUAUUGGAAUACUGUAAAUAUUUGAAAUUGUUCCAACAAUCUCCCUCUAUUUUCAAAAUAUUUAGAUUUUGAUAUUCUUGGAAAUCAAUUUGCAUAAAUGAAGGUGUCUUACGAUUGAACAUUCACUUAGUAAAAAUAUGUUAAAGUUAAUUGAAAUUGUAUAGUAGACUAAGCUUUGAACCAACUAAUCCAUUUGAUUAACUAAACACAUCUCACAUAAUGAUUUCAAUGUCGGUUAAUGCAUAGUUCUAGGGACACGAUUAUGACCAUGUGUCUGUGUCCUUUUUUCAUGAGUGGUGUUAGAGCCAAACUCUUAAGCUCCUAGAAAUAGCUACACUUCCUCUCACAUAUGUAGAUCCCAUCAAGAGUGUUCCCGUAAUUAUAACACUCUAACAUAUUUAUGUUAUUGGUCUAUUAAAAGUACAUUACUUAUUCUUCCCUUAUCAUUACGGGUACCUAGCACUUUAAUCUUUGGAUGGAUUUAUUUAUAGUGCUAACAGUCACAUACUAAUGAUGUACUUUGUCUCAUUGAACUUAAGACUUGACGUUAUACCAAGUGUUGAGUCGAGUUUCCAUCAUGGGUGACUCUAAUUAAUAGGCUUGAGUCUCAUCCCUUUUGAAGUCCUUUUUACUGCAUCUCUAGCAAGACUUUUUGUCAAAGGAUCCGCCAAAUUUUCACUUGACCUCACAUAAUUAAUAGUGAUCACUCCAUCAGAGAUUAAUUGUCAGACAUAGCUAUGUAUUAAUUCAAUGUGUCUAGACUUUCCUAUAUACUUGGCUAUAUGCUUUUGCUAGAGUAUCCUCACUAUCACGACGGAUAGAAAUAGGUGAAAUUGGCUUAGGCCAUAAAGGUACAUCAUAAAGCAAAUUUCUUAACCAUUCUGCUUCUUUAGAUGCAGCGGCUAAUGCAAUAAAUUCUGUUGCCAUGGUGGAAUCAAUAAUAUAUGUUUGUUUCUAGGAACCCCAAGAAAUGGCUCCUCCACCAAGAAUGAAGAUCCAUCUACUAGUAGAUGCAUGAUCUUCCAAACUUGUAAUCCAAUUAGCAUCAAAUACCCUUCUAAAACUGGAAGAUAUCCAUUAUAACACAAUCCAUAGUUAAUAGUUUUCUUUAAGUACCUAAGUACUCUAUUCAAAGCUUACCAAUACAAACUACUUGGAUUACUUGUGUAUCUACUCAACUUCCCAACAACAUAUGCAGUAUCUGGUCUCGUACAAGUCAUUAUGUACUUAAGACUACCAAUUAGACUUGCAUAUUUCAAUGGAACAAUUUUCCUACCAGCAUUAGAUAUUAAUUUUAUUUGAGGAUCCAUGGGUGUAGAUGCUGGUUUAUAGUUGAAAAGAUCAAACUUUUUAAGCAAUUUUCAAUGUAAUGUGAUUGUGAUAAAGUUAUAGUGCUUUCAUCUCAGAUUAUUUUAAUCCCAAGAAUAACAUCUGCUACACCCAUAUCCUUCAUAGCAAAGUUGUUUGACAAGAAUUUUUUUGUGUUUUCUAUUUGUUCCAAAUCCGUGCCAAAAAUGAGCAUGUCAUCUACAUAUAAGCAAAUUAUGACACUUUUUCCAUUUUCAAAUUUGCUAUAUAUGCACUUAUCGGAUUCAUUUAUUUUAUAGCCAUUAGCUAAAAUAACAUUGUCAAACUUUUGGUGCAACUACUUUGGUGCUUGUUUAAGUCCAUGUAAAGAUUUAACAAGCUUACAUACCUUAUGCUCCUGUCUUGGAACAACAAAUCCUUCCGGUUGUUCCAUGUACACUUCCUUUUCCAAUUCACCAUUUAAAAAUACAGUUUUAACAUCAUUUGGUCAACAACCAAAUUAUAUAUAGAGGUAAGUUAUAUUAAAAGUCUAAUUGUAGCAAUUCUUACUACUGGAGGAUAGGUAUCAAAGUAAUCAAUACUUUUUUGUGUGUGUAAAACCUUUAGCUACCAACCUUGCUUUAAAUUUAUCAAUGGUUCCGUCGACCUUCAUUUUCUUUUUGAAGAUCCAUUUACAACCUAUUGGCUUGGAACCCGGUGAAAGAUCAACUAAGAUCCAAGUUUGAUUUCCUAUUAUUGAAUCCAUCUCAUGAUUUAUUGCUUCUUUCCAAAAAGCAAAGUCUUGAGAUUUCAUUGCCUCUUCAAAUGUAAUAGGACCAGAUUUCGUAUUAUAACAAUAAGGUAUCUUAUUGCAUAUACUUUCACAUUUUCCUUCUACAAGAAACAUAAUGAAAUUUGGUCCAAAAUAUUUGACCUUUUUAAUCCUCUUACUUCUUCUUAAUUCUUGACAAAAUUCAUCAUUAUUAUCAAUUUGUUCCAAUGAAAUCUCAUUCUCAUUAUCAAUUGUUGUGGCUGCAAUUGUCUUGAAAUAGAAUUAUAUCUAUUUUCAUAAAAAAUAGCAUCUCUUGAUUCAAUGACAAUAUUAAUUGAAAUUGAAUCAUUUGGUUCAAUUACCAUGAACCUAUAUGCCUUGCUAUUAUGUACAUAUCCUAUAAAUAUGCAUUCAAUUCCUCUUUGACCUAACUUUUACGUUUAGGUGUUGGAACUUUAACAAUAGCUCUACAACCCUAAACCUUCAAAUAAUUAAGGUUUGGUUUUUUUUUCCAUUGUUCAUAGGGGAUUAUUUUAGUUUCCUUAUUAGGAACUUUAUUCAAUAUAUGGCAAGCUUUUAGAAUAGCUUCUCCCUAAAAACCUUGUCCAAGACCUGAAUAUGAUAACAUUGAAUUUACCAUUUCAAUCAAGACUCUAUUUUUCCUUUCAGCUACAUCGUUUUGUUGUGGUGUGUAAGGGGCUGAAACUUGAUGGACAAUUCCAGUGGAUUCAAAAUAACUUGGAUUAUGGUAUUCUCCACCUUUAUCUGGUCUUAAGCACUUGAUAAAUGAUUCAUACUGAAGUUCAACUUCAGAUUUAUAAACUUUAAAUUUAUCAAGUGCUUCAUCUUUUGAAUACAAUAAAUAUACAUAACAAUAUCUAGAACAAUCAUCAAUAAAAGUAACAAAAUAUUUCUUUCCACCUAAUGUGGGAGUAUUAUGCAUGUCAUGUAAAUCAUUAUGUAUCAAAUCAAGCAAUUUUGUUUUCCUUUUAACCUUAGGAAAAGGGUUUCUUGUAAUUUUAGUCAACAGACAUGUAUUGCAUUUUUCAAUAUUAUUAUUAAAAAUAGGGAAAGGGUUUCUUGUGUCAUUCAAUUUCUAUAAUUCAAAUGACCUAAGCUAUGAUGCCAUAACCAAAAAGAUUCAACCGUAUAAGCUGAAAUAAUAUUUUUAUUCUUCUUAAUAAUAUUGAGUUUGAACAUACUCUCAUACAUAUACCAUUUCCCUACAAAAAUUCCUCCCUUAGAAAAAAAUAAACUUAUCUGCCUCGAAAACAAGUUUAAAACCAAACUUAUUCAACAAACUUCCAGACACUAAAUUCUUCCUAACUUCUGGUACAUAAUAUACUUCAUUUAAGGUUAAAACAUUUCCAGAAUUGAAUUGUAGUUCAACAGAUGCCUUUGAUUGUUGCAGUGGAAGAAUUUCCCAUGUAUAAGGCAUUGUCAUUUUCACAUUGUGUGAACUUUUUGAAUAUGUUUUUUUUCUUUGCACACAUGUUUGGUUACUUUGGUAUCAAUCCACCAUGUAUUAUCAUCUUGUGCCAUAUUAAUUUCAGAUAUCAUUGCAAUGAAUUUUUCGUUAUUAUCAGCCUUAGAAGAUUAUUUCUUUUUUAAAAAUCGACAUUCAUUCUUGAAGUGUCUUGGCUUACCACAGUGAUAGCAUGAGAUCUUUUUGUUUCUUUUUGAACUUAGGUGCUCUAUCAAUUUGUUUGAACUUUCUCUUGAUGGUUUAGUAGUCUGUACUUCCUCCGUAACAUGCACUUUGGCAUUUUCAGAAUUUAGAUUCUAAUCUUGCUUUCGAUAUUCUUCUUCAAUACGAAGAUGAUUUGCCAAAGCCUCAAGAGAUAUUUCCUCUUUCUUAUGUUUUAGACUUCUUUUAAAGUCUUUCCAAGAUGGAGGAAGUUUCUUUUAAAGUCUUUCCAAGAUGGAGGAAGUUUGUCUAUUGUGGAGGAUACAACAAUUAUUUCAUCCAUUUUCAUAUCAUAUUGCUUAAAUUGAUUCAGCAUCUUUUCAAUAUCACAGAAUUGUUCUAUAACAAAAGGAUCAUCAACCAUUUGAUAAUUAUUGAAACAAGUAACAAGAAAUUUCUUACUUGUAACAUCUUCUGUCAUGUAUCUUGUCUCCAAUUUAUCCCAUGGUUCUUUAGCGGUGACCUUGUUUUGGCAGGUCUCGAACAAACCAUUUAAUAUCUAGACCAUGCACAUGUAAUCAACAUUGUCUCAUUUUUUCCUUUCUCGGGUUACAACAACAUAUUCGUUUUCAUUCUCUUCAGGUCUUGAAGUAUCCAAAACAUAAAAAAUCUUAAAAGUUGAUAAUAAGAAGUGCAUCUUUUUCUGCCAUCGUCGGAUAUUGCCACCAUCAAACCGAUCAAGUUUGACAAAGUUUAAAGCCAACUCCCUUAGUGUUCCACAUUCAUGUGUUGUGGUAGCCAUCAUGACAUAUAACCUUAAAAUUGUUAGUACAAAUAUCCGAUGAGGAAAAUCUUGAACAAACAAACGAAAUUCAAACAGAAAAAGAAUAAAUAAGACAAGGCUCCAAGGCCUGUAUCAAGCCACUGUCUUUAAGGUUAUAUUCGCCCCCACCUAUCUUUGGUGUGCAAAUGAGUUCCAAGCAAAUUAACCUCCAAGAUACACUGAAGCCUGCAAUCACUGAAUUUUGUCCAGGUCAAAUUUUAUUUUUUUUAAAUUACAUUUUGACCUUUAAAAUUUCAAAAAAGUACAUUUUGACCCCUAAACUUUCUAAAAUUACAUUUUGACCCUAAAAUUUUGAAAAAUUACACUUUAGCCCUAUAAGUUUUGCUACAUUUACAAUCUGGUCCUUCUGACAGCCACCAGCGCGAUUUGCGCACCUGCCCUCCGCGAUUUUCAGCGAUCGGCCUAGGGUAUGGCCUCCCUCCUCCCUAGCUACCUGCCACCUGCAAAAAGAAACAAAAAAAUCAAGUCUAAAAGAGGGUUUUGAGGAAGAAAAAAAAGGAGGACCAAUCAAGAAAAAAAUGAAAAAAAAACCACACAAAAAAGAGAAGAAAAGAGGAGAAAAGAAAAGGGGAAAGAAAGAGAAGGAAAGUAGAAAGGGGACGGCGACGUGAAGGAGACGACAACGUGAAGGAGGUGGCGGCGUAAAGGAGGCGACGACAUAAACUAGAGCAAGGAGAAAGAAGAAGAAUGAAGGAAAAAAGAAGAAGAAAGAAGAAGGAAAGAAAAGAAAAAAAUAAAAAAGAAAGAAAAAAAUAUCACAGCCGGUUCGACCUGACCCGACCUAGCAACACCUAACAUCAGCCAGGCAAAAUAGUAGGCCCACACUGCGCAGCCCAACAGCAAGACCAAUCAGCAGGUGGCCCAGCAGAAAAAAAAAAGAGAAGAAUAAAAAAUAGAAAAUAAUUGCAGGCCUAGCAGCACAGGCCUAACCUAGUCCAGUAGGCCCAAACUAGCAGGCUAGUGCCUGGCCCAACAGCACAGCGGGCUAGCACUUGGCCCAACAGCCAACAGCCCAUCAGCAGAUAAAAAAAAAGGAGAAAGAGCCCGAGUCGUGUAACCUGUUCGAUUAAGCCCGUAUUUUUGGGCUUUCGAUAAUUUCUUUUUUUUACCCACUUUUAAUUUAAUUUAUUUAUUUUGAUGACAUCUCGUUUUUAAUAUUAUUAGCAUUUUUUAACAUUUUUUCUUUGUGAAAUGUUAUUAUGUUUAUUUUAUUUAUAAUUUUUAAAUUUAAAUAAUUUCAAUAAAUAAGGCAACGAAUUGAUUUGACAUUAAGUCGUUGAUUUCAUCGCUAUGUUGGGUGAAUAUUAUCGGUUCGUGUUAAAUACGAGACUCCCCUUUUAAAAAAAUUCAAAAAUUCUCGGGUUUUAAAAUAAAAUAUUUAUUUUUGUGGUUAUUUGUAAAUUUUCAAAAUUUCACUUUUAAAAUAUAUAUAAUACGAUAAUAUGUAAAUUAUCAAAAUUCUCGUUUUUAAAAAAAAAGAAAAAAAUUUGGAUCAUGGUUAAAUAUUAAAUUGAACUCGUAUUUUGAAAAUUAAGACAAUGCAUGUUUAACGAGAUACCAAUUUUGAGCAUCACGAGGGUGCUAAUACCUUCCUCGUGCGUAACUGACUCCCGAACCCUAAUAUUCUCUGGAUUUUGACGUGGACCUAAAAUUGACUCUUUUUUUUAGAAAAUUUUAAAAAUAAGUCUUCUUUUAAAAAGAGAAUUUAUUAGGUGUCCGCUCACACCUAGAAAAAAAGAUUAGUGGCGACUCCCUUUUUUUUAAAAAAAUAAUAAUAAAAUUGAGACUCUAUUUUCAAAUUUUCAAAAAUCAAAUCGACUAGCGCCCGUGAAAAUUUUUAGGUCGCUAUAGCUGGCGACUCCACUGGGGACUUUUUUUUAGAGUCAAGUCUGGUGUUAAACGCGUGUUGUCAAAAAUUUUAAAUUUCUUGUUCAAAUUAAUAUUUAAUCGUGAUCCUUGAACUCCGUUUUGAACUCCAUUUUUGAAAAGUCAUGCAGCUGCAUCAUGUUGUAAAUAUUUUUCUUGUAAAUAUUUUUCUAACUUGUUUUAUCUUUUUGUUGUUUUCAGUUCGAAGUUUUAUGGUUUUAGUUUGUUUUUAGUAAAAAUAAAAAAAGGUUUGUGAGUUUCACCCCACACACUGUGCACUUGCAUUCUUGCAUAACAUGAGCUCUCUACCCGAGCUCCGUCCGUUUAAGUGGAAGUAAACACUACGCCUUUGUGAGUUAACUCGUCCCUCCGCACAGGCUAGUGAAAUACUUCCGAGUUACAUAUGACUUUUGCUUUCAUGAGUUAACUUGUCCCUCCACAUAGGCAUAAGUAAAUGUAAUCCCUAAAAUUGAGCUCGCGAGCCUGUGAUGGGUGAUGACCGAGGCUCCAUACUAGCCUUAGUAGGCGACAGUAUGGACAAUUCGAGUGCCUUUCUAGAAUCGAAACCACAUAUAGUGAACCGUACGAGCCACCCAAUUAGAGCCAUUCCGAACCUCUGUCCGUUGAAUAGUUACCAAAAUAAGUACAUGGGAGAAUUGUCCUCUACCUUGUAUUUCUUUUACAUUUACAUUUUUUACGAAGGAAUCAGGUUCGCUUAAUAGGUCUAGAUUGGGUAGAUUAUCUGAUGACUAUGUGGGGUAGAUUUACCAUAGUUUUUCCUCUGUUUAUAUUUGUUGUGAUCACUGACCAAGGUUAUUUGUCUUUAUUUUAUUUCUCAUCAUGCAUCAUAGGCAUCUUAUUAGGAAGGCGUUGGUUAGAGAUUGGUUGCCAAAAGUAAGUUUUUGAUGGAGGAGUCAAUUAUGCAAGUAACCGAGAAAAAUGUUGUAGUCCGAGACCGGUCUUUGAAAACUCAAAAAGCAAAGGGGGAUAAUUUAAAGGAACGAUAUAUUUCCAAUCUUCCCAGGGAUGUGACUUCGAAUGCUUGUCAGAAUAACCUCGAAGACUUGACUAGGAUCUGGAAACAAUGAGACUCAGACACUAAGGGCAUCUUCACUGAAAAGUAUGGAGAUAUAGCUCACUUGAUCCCAAUCAAUGUAGACAAGUAGUUGAUUCAAACCAUGGUUCAAUUCUGGGACCUAGCCUGUCAGUGUUUCACUUUCAAUCAGGAGGACAUGACUCCGACCAUACAGGAGUACUCUACCCUACUUCGCAUUGACAACGUACAACUGUAAGAAUUGUAAAUAGUACAAUUGUCGGAUGAAACAGAAGCUCUCAGUUGCCAGUCCCCUCCAAGUCAAAAAUCAAGCAUGCUGGAGUUCCUAGAAUGUGUAAAGAAAUAAGGAGAUAUGGCUAGGAAAUUUGUGUAACUGUUAAAUCAGAGAUCGCGAAACGUUUUGUAAUGGACUCUUUUGAUUAAUGGAACGCCAAAGUAUGGGGCUAUCUUGAAAUCAACACCCAUUUUUGCAUAUUUACGGAUGACUAAUAUUUAUUGGUCAUUUAUUCAUCCAUUCCUUCAUUCAUGCAUUGCAUGUACAUAUCACCCUAACCAUUCAGUAAGGCUAGAACCGUAUAAUCCACAAUUGCGAUACUACAAGUAUGGAAUCAUGUCAUUCUUAUAGGGCGAGUCUAAAAGCUAGAGCUAUGGAUGCUGAACUCAACGAAAGAAUUGAAAGGAUGGAAAGGAUCCAAAGAGAGUUGUAAGAGCAGUUGGCCAAGUCACAGCAAGAGGUGAGAGAUUUGAUGGUAAGAUCUCGAGAGGAAUCGCUCGAGCAAAUGGAUCAAAUGGCCAAAAUGAUAGAGAUUAUGACAGCUUUGGUCAAAGGAAAGGGACCCAUGCAGAGCCCUGACAUCAUGGAGCCUCAGUCAAGAGCUAAUAAUGAUCAGGAUCAACUCUAUCCCCCAGGAUUCAAUCCAUCUCACGCCUAUGCAAUGCAAAGAGGAUAUCUGCAAGGGGAAGCUACAGUCCUAGAGCAACGUCCUACACCACCUACUCAUCUAAGGCAAGGGAUAUUCGUAUCGAAUCCCGGGGCUAAUCCUGCAGGUCCAAUUGUUUCAAAUCUGAACGAUCUGGUAGAAAUAGCAAGGUUAAAAAUGGAGGAUCAUGAUGCUCAAGAUAAGUAUAGGAUCCUGGAAGAAAGGCUCAAGGCAAUAGAAGCUACUAAAGUCUUCUCUGCGUUGAGUGCCAAAGAGAUCAGUUUGGUGCCCGAUUUGGUACUACCCCCAAAGUUUAAGACGCCAGAUUUUGAAAAAUAUGAUGGGAUGAUAUGUCCAAAGGCGCAUAUUAUCAUGUUUUCCGAAAGAUGAUUGGCUAUGUGAAUGACGAUAAAUUAUUGAUACAUUGUUUCCAAGAUAGUUUGGUCGGAUCGGCUCUUCGAUGGUAUAAUCAGCUCAGUAGAGAAAAGAUUUGAUCUUGGAAGGACUUAGCAUUAGCAUUUUGUGAGCAAUACAAGCAUGUAUCAGAUAUGGUACCUGAUCGAUUAACUCUGCAGAUAAUGGAAAAGAAGCCGACAGCGACCUUCAAACAAUAUGUACAAAGAUUGAGGGAUUUCUCGGCUCAAGUAGAACCCCCAUUAACUAAAAUAGAGAUAACAAUCCUCUUCAUCAACACUUUAAAUGUGCCAUUUUAUGAUAAGUUGGUAGGAAGCGCCACGAAAGACUUUGCAGACAUUGUAAUAUCCGAGGAGCUUAUAAAAAACGCCAUCAAGAGUGGAAUAAUGGAAGGCCUUGAGAGUUCGAAAAAGGAAGUACCCGUAAAGAAAAAGGAGGCCGAAAUCCAUAUGGUCGGAACUGGGAGCCACUAUACCUCUAAUCCGUACCCAACCCAACCACGACCUCGUUAUCGCCUGCCUUCAAACUUCUACUUUCCUCCCCAAGGUCCUUACUGUCAAACACCUUUUUCUUACCCUGUUUACGCCAUGAAUAACCAAAGACUGUUCACCAUGUUCCCACCAAACACCAUGCCUAUACAAAGCCAACCAAAAAAUGUACAAAAACCAGUGAAAGCCAAUUAUGAAAAACUUGAGUUCACCCUAAUUCCCGUGUCAUACGGACAAUUGUACCCGAAAUUAUUAGAGAAGAAAUUAAUAUCCCCACAUUAUAUGACACCCCUGAAGCCCCCAUACCUAAAAUGGUAUGAUCCUAACGCUAGUUGUAUGUAUCACGUUGGAAAUCAGGGGCAUUUUACAGAAAAUUACAUUGCCUUCAAAAUGAGGGUUUAAGAUUUUAUCAAUGCGAGCCUUCUACGAUUUUAUAAUGUUAGUAAUGUGGUUAGAAAUCCUUUUCCUAACCAUACUGAUGGAAAUGUGAAUGCGAUGACAAAUGAUGAUGAAUGGCGAGCCAAAAACUGUGUUGCCAAAGUAAGCACACCUUUGCGGAAGGUAUGGGAGACGAUGGUUGACAAGGGUCUUCAGAACAUUAGUAUAAAUGUUGUUGAUAGCGAUGGUGAUACAAUUAAGGAUGUUUCAAUGAUACACCCUUGUCCUCCAAGAUAUGUGUUGAGCAAUUGGACUGCUAUGGACUUUCUUGUAGUUUCUAAGUGCUCUCCAAAGUAAUGCCCAAUGUUACUUCUCCAUUUUUUUGUUUCCUUAAAUAGUGGGAUUCAUUUUAUAAGAGCUUAUGUUUGCUCUUUAUCAUUUCAAUAAACAUUAAUGAAGAUGCAUUUUGUCAUGGUCUUUUCAUUUCUAUUAGCUUUAUAAUUAUUUCCUCUUCUCAUAGCCUUUCCCUACAUGUAUCUCAUAUCAUUCCAUAACAUUGUGUUUGUUGAUUCCAAUACUUUGAUGCUCCUCUAUAGUUUUUUUUCCAUUCACCUUUCAGGUGUUCAGAUAUCAAUGGCAUGAACAAUCCCGUUACAAGUCCUGAAAUAGAUUUUGAGAGGGCUGUUUGUUUAGGAGAAUUCGAAGUCGAGACAAAUGCUGAAGAUUGUGUCUCAUCUCCUGACUUACUGAGAAUGAUAGAACAAGAAGAGAAACAGAUUCUAUUCCAUCAAGAAUAUGUUGAGAUAGUCAACUUGGGAAAUGAAAAAAAGAAACAAGAAGUAAAGAUUGAGACUUCCAUUUCAGAGAGCACCAAACAAAAUUUGAUUCCCUUGCUCCAUGAGUAUAAAGAUGUAUUUGCAUGUUCUUAUCAGGACAUACCAGGGUUGAAUGAGGAUGUAAUGGUCUAUAGGACCCCACUGAAACCAAAAUGCAAAUCCAUUCAACAGAAGCUAAGAAGAAUGUGACCGAAAAUGCGGUUAAAGAUAAAAGAAGAAGUCAAGAAAAUAUUUGAUGUUGGCUUCCAUCAAGUCUUUAAAUAUCCAAAAUGGGUAGCUAACAUAGUCCCAGUACCGAAGAAAGAAGGAAAGGUACGAAUGUGCUUAGAUUAUCGCGAUUUGAAUCGAGCAAGCCCAAAGUAUAAUUUUCUUUGCCACACAUCGAUACGUUGGUGGAUAACACAACAAAACAUUCGUUGUUUUCUUUCAUGGAUGAUUUCUCUGGCUACAAUAAGAUAAAAAUGGCUCCUAAAGAUAUGGAGAAAACCACAUUCGUGACAAUGUAAGGAACAUUCUGUUAUAAAGUGAUGCCAUUCGAACUGAAGAACGCUAGGGCAACAUAUAAGAGAGCCAUGGAGAUGCUAUUCCAUGACAUGAUGCACAAAGAAAUAGAAGUUUAUGUAGAUGAUAUGAUUGCCAAAUUCUGGGAAGAAAAAGAGCAUGUUGGGAACAUUAAAAAGCUGUUCGAAAGAUUAAGAAAGUUCCAGUUGAAGCUUAACCCAGCCAAAUGAACGUUUGGAGCUACCUCGGGGAAGUUGCUAGGUUUCAUUGUCAGCGAGAGAGGUAUUGAGGUUGAUCCAGAUAAGAUAAAAUCCAUACAAGAAUUCCCACCUCCGUGCACACAAAAAGAAGUCAGAGGAUUUUUAGGAAGGUUGAAUUACAUUGCUCAGUUCAUUGCUCAACUCACCAACCAGUGUGAUCCAAUUUUUCGACUCCUUCGAAAACAUAAUCCGGGAGAAUGGAACGAUGAGUGCCAAGUGGCCUUCGACAAGAUAAAACAGUAUUUGUCUAAUCCUCCGGUACUAGUACCACCAACCCUUGGAAAACCUUUAAUAUUGUAUCUGACUGUGUUUGAAAACUCAAUGGGUUGUGUACUGGGGCAACAUGAUGAGUCGGGGAAAAGAGAAAAUGUGAUUUACUACCUCAGCAAAAAGUUCACGGAGUAUGAAGUAAAAUACCCGUCAAUUGAAAAAUUUUGUUGUGCUUUGGUCUGGGUAGUUCGAAGGCUCAGACAAUAUAUUUUGUAUCAUACGACAUGGUUAAUUUUAAAGCUAGACCCACUAAAGUACAUGAUGGAAUCACUUGCACUCUCAGGAAGAAUGGCACGACGGCAGAUCCUGUUGUUUGAGUAUGACAUCGCGUAUAUGAGCCAAAAGUCGAUAAAAAGAAGUGCGAUAGCUAACUUCUUGGCAAGUCAAGCAAUGGAAGAAUAUGAUCAUUUGAGAUUUGAUUUCCCGGAUGGAGACUUGAUGUGCAUUUCCGAAGAAGAGGGUGAACCAUCAAAAGAAAAACCAUGAAAGAUGAGUUUUGAUGGUGCAUCAAACGUAUUGGGGCUUGGGAUAGAAGCAGUCUUAGUGUCACUGGAAUGGAACCAUUACCCACUCACUGCCAGAUUGAAUUUCUUCUGUACAAAUAAUAUAGUGCAAUAUGAAGCUUAUAUAAUGGAACUUCGUGCAGCUAUUGAACAAAAAAUGAGAAUCUUAGAGGUGUACAGGGAUUCAAUAUUGGUGAUUUAUCAAAUUCGUGGAGAUUGGGAAGUGAGAGAUUCAAAAUUAGUCAAAUAUCUCAAUUUCAUUGCGGAACUAGUCAAAGAAUUCAAAGAAGUGACUUUCAACUACUUCCCACGAGAAGAAAACAAAUUGGCAGACGCCCUGACCAUCUUAGCUUCAAUGUUCAAAGCAAACAAGGAAAAUGAGAUAAUGCCUCUCAAAAUUAGCAUAUAUGAGGUCCCCGCACAUUGUUUUAGUAUUGAGAAGGAGUCAGAUGGACGACCAUGGUUCCAUGAUAUCUUGGAGUAUAUCAAGAAUCAAAAGUAUCCUGAGCAAGCAAAUGAGAAUGACAAAAGAACAAUCAGGAGAAUGGCGGUUGGAUUUGUUCUUAAUAGGGAUAUCCUAUACAAAAGAGGAAAAGAUCAAAUGCUCCUGAGAUCCGUAGAUGCUGUUGAAGCUAGAAGAAUACUUGAAGAUGUCCAUGAAGGAAUUUGUGGAACGUAUGCCAAUGGUUUCAUUAUGACUAGGCAGAUUAUGAAACUUGGUUACUAUUGGCUGACGAUGGAAAGGGAUUGCAUUAGUUACACACGGAAGUGUCACAAGUGUCAAAUUUACGGCGAUAAAAUUCACGCAGCUCCUUUGCCCCUUCAUGUCAUGACUUCUUCGUGGCCUUUUUCUAUGUGAGGCAUGGAUGUUAUAGGGCCAAUUUCCCCGAAGGUUUCUAAUGGACACCGAUCCAUCUUUGUAGUUAUAGAUUACUUCACAAAAUGGGUAGAAGCCGCUUCGUUUGCUAAUGUAACGAAGACUGCAGUCUGGAAGUUACCUAAAAGGAUCAUUUCAGAUAAUGCUUUAAAUUUGAACAACAAGAUGAUGAAAGAAGUGUGUGAGCAAUUUCAGAUAAAGUAUCAUAAUUCCUCACCCUAUCACCUGAAAAUGAACGGAGCAGUAAAAGCGACUAACAAAAACAUUAAGAGGAUUAUUGGGAAGAUGAUUGAGACAUAUAAAGAUUGGCACGAUAAGCUACCAUUCGCUUUGUAUGCAUACCGCACCUCUGUACGAACAUCUACUGGAGCAACUCAUUUCUCCCUAGUCUACGGGAUAGAGGUCGUUCUGCCUAUCGAAGUGAAGAUCCCAUCCCUACGCGUCUUGAUGGAGUCAAAAUUAGAAGAAUCGGAGUGGGUUAGAGCUAGAUAUGAUCAACUAAACCUUAUUGAAGGGAAAUGCUUGAAGGCAAUUUGUCAUGGACGGAUGUACUAGAAGAGAAUGAUCACGGCCCAUGAUAAAAAGGUGGGCCAAGAGAAUUUCACGAAGGGGAACUUGUACUAAGAAAGAUCCUCCCUAUACAAAAAAGACUUUCGAGGAAAAUGGUCACCAAAUUGGGAAGGGCCAUACGUUGUAAAAAAGGCAUUCUCAGGAGGGGCUUUGAUUCUCACUGAGAUGGAUGGGAAAGAAUUACCUAAUCCAGUAAACUCAGAUGCUGUGAAGAAAUAUUAUGCCUAAAAAAAGAGUCAAAAUGAAAACCCGAAAAGGGUGUCUUGAUAAAAAAAUCAAGAUCAAAACCCAAAAAGGGCAUCCUGAAAAACAAAAAAGAUUAGGAUGAAAACCCGAAAGGGCGUCCUAAUGAAGCGGGUUCGGACUUAAAGAGCAAGACGACUUGAACAGGAGUCGAAUGGUGAAGUUACAAUAUUUGAGGCAUUCUCAGAAGCUCAAAAUCUUCUAUACAGGAAGUUAUGCUCGAAAAGAUCCUUGAUGAAGAAACGUGGAAAAGCUUAUGCGUUAGAUAUCUAGAGCAUUUGUCGCCAUUUAAUUCGCUUUCCUUUCUUUAUGACGCUUUCUUUAUUGAACUAUUCCUUGUCAAUUUUCUUUAUUUGUUUCUUUUGAAAUAAAUAUGAAAGUGAGGUAUUUCUUUCGUACCUAUUUUGCCAUUGUCAAGCAUUUCAUGUUUGGUUCAUUUAAAUGAUAAAUAGUAAGAUGACAUACUCUAAACAAAAGGAAUGUUGAGUAUUACUGGGAUGAGAAUUUGAUAAGUACAAGGCCCUGAAGCAAGAACAAAGUUCAACAGGGGGCAAAAAGGUGAUAUACGAAGAAAUAUGGGUUACUUGCAAAACUUGAGCAUGAGUACAAAACCUGAGAGAAAAGUCAAGGAUUGAGGCAAUGAAUGCAGGCCCUCACGAAAAUAAAAAAUGGGGCACAUGACAAACAUCCUAGGGUGCAUGGCAUGAUCAUGUAGGCAUAAAAACAUUUAGGAGAAACACGUGCAUAUCAUAAUAACAUCAUACAUGAUAUAUACAGGUAUUCCAGUAGAGGAAGAGAUUUUGGUGGCAGCUGAACUGAAUCGAUGCAAAAGCAGGCUUUUGAGUUUUACCUGAUAAUCUUUUUUGAAAUUCUAGUUUUCUCAAAACCAUUUCUUUUUAUGUUUUUCAAAAAUCAACUCAUAAUGCAAGAGGUGAGUUGAGCCUCGGGUCACACGCCGAGGUAUUUUUCAAUUUCUAUUUUUUUUCAAAACUCAACUCAUAAUGCGAGAGGUGAGUUGAGCCUCGGAUCGCACGCUGAGGUAUUUUUUAAUUUCUAUUUUUCAAAAAUCAACUCAUAAUGCGAGAGAUCAGUUGAGCCUCGGGUCACACGUCGAACUAUUUUUCAAUUUCUAUUUUUUUUAAAACUCAACUCAUAAUGCCAGAGGUGAGUUGAGCCACGAGUCACACGCUGAUGUAUUUUUCAAUUUAUGUUUUUCAAAAAAAUCAACACAUAAUGCGAGAGGUGAGUUGAGACUAGGGUCACACGCUAAGGUAUUUUUCAAUUUCUAUAUUUUUCAAAAAUCAACUUAUAAUACGAGAGGUGAGUUGAGCCUAGGGUCACACGCUGAGGUAUUUUUCAAUUUCUGUUUUUUUCAAAAAUCAACUCAUAAUGCGAGAGGUGAGUUGAGCCUCGGGUCGCACGCUGAGGUAUUUUUCAAUUUAUGUUUUUCAAAAAAAUCAACUCAUAAUGCGAGAGGUGAGUUAAGCCUCGGGUCGCACGCCCAGGUAUUUUUCAAUUUAUGUUUUUUCAAAAAAAAUCAAUUCAUAAUGCGAGAUGUAAGUUGAGCCUCGAGUUACACGUCGAGGUAUUUUUGAAUUUAUGUUUUUCAAAAAUAUCAACUCAUAAUGCGAGAGGUGAGUUAUGCCUCGGGUCGCACGUUGAGGUAUUUUUCAAUUUCUGUUUUUCAAAAAUUAACUCAUAAUGCGAGAGGUGAGUUGAGCCUCGGGCACAUGCCGAGGUAUUUUUCAAUUUCCAUUUUUUCAAAAAUCAACUCAUAAUAUGAUAGGUGAGUUGAGCCUCGGGCAAAUGCCGAGGUAUUUUUCAAUUUAUGUUUUUCAAAAAAAUCAACUCAUAAUCCGAGAGGUGAGUUGAGCCUCGGGUCGCGCGCUGAGGAUUUUCAAUUCUGUUCUUCAAAGAUCAACUCAUAAUCCGAGAGGUGAGUUGAGCUUUGGGUCGCGCGCUGAGGUAUUUUUAAUUUCUGUUUUUCAAAGAUCAACUCAUAAUCUGAGAGGUGAGUUGAGCUUCGGGUCGUACCCUGAGCUAUUUUUGAUUUCUGUUUUUCAAAAAAAAAUUUAGACAAUCGAACAAAAUUCAGUGCUUUUAAGCCUUUACUCUAUCCUUGUUUCACAGCGAUGAGCAAAGAGGAGCAAUUGUAAUCAUUGAAUUUUGUCCGGGUCAAAUUUUAUUUUUUUAUAAUUACAUUUUGACCCCUAAAUUUUCCUAAAAUUAGUUUUAACCCUUAAACUUUCCUAAAAUUGCAUUUUGACCUUGAAACUUCCUAAAAUUACAUUUUAACCCUUAAACUUCUUAAAACUACAUUUUAACCAUAAAUUUUCCAAAAAUUACACUUUGGCACCAAAGUUUUGCUGCAUUUGCUAUCUGGUCCUUCUGGCAGCCACCAGCGCGAUUUGCGCACAUGCCCUCAUCAAUUUCCAGCGCCCGGCCUAGGGUAUGGCCUCCCUCUUCCCUAGCUACCUGCCACUUGCAAAAAGAAACAGAAAAAUCAAGUAUAAAAGAGGGUUUAGAGGAAGAAAAAAAGGGAGGAACAAUCAAGAAAAAAACGCAAAAAAAGCACAAAAAGGGAGGAGAAAAUAGGAGAAAAGAAAAGGGGAAAGAAUAAGAAAGGAAGAAGAAAAAGGACGGCGGCGUGAAAGAGACAACGACGUGAAGGAUGCGGCUACGCAAACUAGGGCUAGGAAAAAGAAGAAGAAGGAAGGGAAAAAAGAAGAAGGAAAGAAAAAGAAAAAAUAAAAACAGAAAGAAAAAAAUAAAAAAAUAAAAAUAUCACAGUCGGUUUGACCCGACCCAACCACCCAGCAACACCCAACAGUAGCCAGACAGCACAGUAGGCCCACACCGUGCAGCCCAAUAGCAGGCCCAAUCAGCAGGCGGCCCAGCAGAAAAAAAAAGAAGAAUAAAAAAUAAAAAAUAAUAGCAGGCCCAGCAGCAGAGGCCUGACCCAGUCCAACAAGCCCAAACUAGCAAGCCAGCACCUGGCCCAACAGCACAGCAGGCCAGCACUUGGCCCAACAGCUAGCAACCCAUCAGCCAGCAGCCCAGCAACAGGCAGCCCAGCCCAGCAGCAAAGAAAAAAAAGAAAAAAAAAUAGAAAAUGGAAAAAGAGCCCGAGUCGUGUAACCCAUUCGAUCAAGCCCAUAUUUUUGAGCUUUUCGGUAAUUUCUUUUUUUACCCACUUUUAAUUUAAUUCAUGUAUUUUGAUGACAUCUCAUUUUAAUAUUAUUGGCAUUUCUAACAUUUUUUUAUUUGUGAAAUAUUAUUAUGUUUAUUUUAUUUACAAUUUUUAAAUUUAAAUAAUUUCAAUAAAUAAGGCAACGAAUCGAUUUAACAUUAAGCUGUUGAUUUCAUCACUAUGUUGGGUGAAUAUCAUCGGUUCGUGUUAAAUACGAGAUGCAUUUUUUUAAAUCGAAAAAUUCAAAAAUUCUCGGGUUUUAAAAUAAAAUGUUUAUUUUUGUGGUUAUUUGUAAAUUAUCAAAAUUUCACUUUUAAAAUAUAUAUAAUACGAUAAUAUGUAAUUUAUCAAAAUUCUCGUUUUUUUUUAAAAAAAAGAAAAAAAUUUGGAUCACGGUUAAAUAUUAAAUUGAACUUGUAUUUUAAAAAUUAAGACAAUGCACGUUUAACGAGAUAUCAAUUUCGGGCGUCACGAGGGUGCUAAUACUUUCCUCGUGCGUAACUGACUCCCGAACCUUAAUAUUCUUUGGAUUUUGACGUGGACCUAAAAUUGACUCUUUUUUUUAGAAAAUUUUAAAUAUAAGUCUUCUUUUAAAAAGAGAAUUUAUUAGGUGUCCGAUCACACCUAGAAAAAAGAUCGGUGACGAUUCCCUUUUUAAAAUAAUAAUAAAAUUGAGACUCUGUUUUCAAAUUUUCAAAAAUCGAAUCGACUAGAGCCCGUGCAAAUUUUUAGGUCACUACAAAGCCAAUGACUAUUUGCGUUUUGCACUGACCAGAAUAGUCCACUAAGCACUAAGUAAUGUAUAGGAAGAAACUCAAUUUCUAUAAAGAAUUUAUGCAAUAACUAUUUAUAUAAUAAUCUAAUAAUAUUAGAAAAUGAGGAAGGAUAGAAAGAACUUUUAGAACUUGUUGGUGUGAUUUCCAAAUGAAAUCUCAUUCCUAUUUAUAGAAAUUUUCAUGUCUCUUCAUAGAGGCAUCUUUCAAUAGUUGUCUUUAUGAAUAAAUAAAUAAUAAUAACAAUAAUUAUUCAUUUAAUUUUAUAACCAUUCAAAUAAUAUUGUUUGAAUAGUUAUAAUUCUUUUUCAAAAAUCAAAUGAUAUAACUUUGGACCAAUGACCAAAAGAUUUAUCUUUUAAUUAAUUACACCCAUUCAUUUAUAAUUAUUGAAAUACUAUACAUAUUUGAAAAUGUUCCAACUCAAAACUAAACCAAAUUAAAACUGCAAUUAAGGCAGAUCUUCCAAUCAGGCAAUAAUACAAAAGACAUAAAAGGUUUUACAAUAAUAAGAAAAUUUCCACUGAAUAAUACUCUCUUUUUUUUUUGUCGGACAAGAAAAUUAGAGAAGAGAGAAUCUUUCCACAGCUCCAAAAAUAGCCGCUGAUAUAGGUCUUGACUAUCCCUGGAAAAAAUAGUAAAUAACAUAUACAAUCAAAUAAAAAUGAGAAAAAGGAAAUAAAUGGAUGAAAAACCCAAUCGAUACCCACCGCAAAGAGCAAGAGAAGUGAUCCAUCGCCAUUGGUUUUAGCAAGCCAAGUGGAGGAGUUUAACUGCUUCCUAAUUUGGAAUGGAUUUCCUAGUAAUGAAUUUUAGCCAAGUUUAAGAAAUGGGUCUGGGCUGUCGAGGCUUUUAUCUUUUUCACUUUCUUCUCGGCUUCCUGUUUGGGAUCAUCAUUACAACACUCAUUACAUAUUAUAUAAAGAAGAAAGUGGGGAAAGAAGGGAAGAACCAAAGAAAACGAGCUAAGGGUUUGACUUGGUCUUUAAAACAUGAAAAAUCUCAUGUCGCUUGAUUCUUCUAUCAUUGAUAUUCAACUUUCUUCUGGCCAUUCUGGUGGUGGGUCCCUUUUCCUGGGUUGCAGCUGAGGUGAGCAACAACUAACUCUACAGAUGUUAACCCUUUAUUAAAGGGUCAAAAACUUAUAUGAAUUUGCGCAGUUUUAUGCUGCUGAAAACAAAAAAGAGUGUGGAUGAUGAAAGUAACAUCACUUUGAUAGAUUUAGGGUUAAAUUUAAAAACUGAGAAAUGGGUUUUGAUGGAAUCAAGAUAUAGAGUUAAUUAGCAAUAAAACGGAUAAAGAAUCUGUGAAAAUAAGAAAAUGGGGAGAGAAAGCAGAGAGUGAGGAGGGCAAUUUAUAGUUUCCAAUUUUAUUAUCAUCUUUCUUACUAUGCUUUAAAACUUGUAUCAUCUUUUAAUGCCUGAAAAAUUUUUAUCCCAAAAGCUUCCCCUCAAAAAAUUAACAAAAGAAAGAUUAUAAAACUGAACAAAAAAAGAAGAAAAACUGUCACGUCGUAGUCUGCCCACAGCAUUUUCCCAAUAAUGUGGGUCCGCGAAUCCAACAUUAUUUUAUAUUUAUUUUUGGAACAUAUGAAAAAGAUUCUAAGGGGAAGUUAAUUCACAUUCAACAUAUAACGGUAUUCCAGAGGCGGCUGCUAAUGAGGGUUUUAUACUAUUACCACUACUUGUGCCUACGCUUCCAUCUAACCCUAGCAGUAGCAAAAAGUUACAUCCAACUAAACCUAUUACCAUUUUCUUCAUGAAUCUUUAUUUCUAUAUAUUACUUAAAAUUAAAAUCAUUGAUAUUGUAAAAUAAGUCUACAUUACCCUUUCAACUUUUCUUUUUCUAAUUGUGAUGAUGAGAAAAAAAUUGUAUAAAACUGUAAUUCUAUAUCAUUUGUGUCCCUUUUCAAUAGGAGAAUGACAAAUCAGAUUUUUUCUCUUGAUUUUCAACCUUUUUUCUCCUGAAAAAUUUAAAUUUAACUAAAAAUGCUAAAAAUUAGGAGAAAAUAUCUGAUUUGUCAUUCUCAUAUUGGAAAGGAACAUGGAUGACAUGGAAUCACAGUUUCAUACAAUCCUUUCACUUGUGAUGAUAAUGAAACUUUUAUUUUUGUUAAGAGUUCAAAUCCUGAUACAAAGUAAUUAAAGGAUCCACACUAGUAUUAUUAUAAUUUAAAGUAAGUUAAAAUAAUAUGUUAAAGUACAUAUAUAUGAGUUUUAAAUAUAUAUAUGAAAAGAUUUUGAAUUAAUGUGUAAUUUUUUAAAAUUUUAUUUAGAUUUGUGCAAGAAAUUAUGAUUUAAUUAUAAUUGUAUUUAAUAAACAUUUAUAUUUUGCUAUUACUAAUUUAUAAAAUUUAAUUAAGAUAUACUUAAAAAACAAUAGAGUAGGAGAUCUUUGUUAGUGUUGGCUCAUUUGUGCUUUGUUGCCUCUCAUCCAAAGUGUAACACCUUUAACCUGUAUCCGUCGCCCGAUUAAGGUUACGAGGGAUUACCGAACAUAACACAACUCAGAACAAACAUUCAUUAGAAUUCAAGAAUUCAAACAAUUCACAUGCUAAUAGUUUAACUCAAAAUAUACCGGAACUUAACUGCUCAUUUAUUCAUAUUUACAUAUUCGGCCAGCCUUUAAAAUUAAAAUACUUUAAUACUAAACCCAAAAAUUUUCAUUUUAACGUUACUAUCUUUACCCGAAUGUAAAAGUAAAUAGUUUAUAGAUUUCAAACUUACUUUAAAUUCAUAUAUAUAUAUAUAUAAUAUUAUUUAAGAGUUUUAAAACAUACAUUAUUAUAUAUUAUCAACUAGCACAAAUGAAUACUAUAAUAGUCAUUUUAAAAGAAACAUAAGUAAAAUAUGCAAUUUACACAACUAUACUUAUACUCAUAAUUAGUUUAAUACCAAAUUAUAUAUAAUUUUCAAUUUCAUAUAAUCCAAUAUACAUAUGCAAAUUACUAAUUUAUUUCAUAACAUUUUGUUAAUAUAAACACAUUUUGAUGAACUAAAUUUAACAACCAUUUCAUCUAAAACAUGCUAAACCUUUUACCUAUAAUCGAAUUCAUAUAAUACCAAAUCCAAAACAUAUUACAUGUAUAUGACAUAUUUGAUUAAUACCAACUAAUUUAUUAUAACCCAAACACAUUCAAACUAAAUGUCAUGCAACCACAUGUACAUUCGGCCAAAUAAUUAACUCCAUAGCCGAAUCAACAAAUUUAAAAAAAAACAAGACAAAUGCAUCACAUAUAUUUAUAUAUCAUAAGCUUAAACCACAAUCAAAUAUGCGUAAGUAUAAGCUUGGUUUUAAACCAUUAGUACAAAACAUAUGCAUUGAAAACAAACUCAACCGCAAGGAAAUAAGCCACUUUCGCAUGGCUAUUAAUUACAGUUACAAAAUUUCAAAAUACGACAUUCAAAAUAUCAUCCAGCCUAUACAUGCCAUAAAUUGAGUUCAAACAUUUAAAUACCGAAACAGUAGAUAGAGUGAUGAACUUUGCUGAUGAUCCCCGAGCUUAAAGCUUGAUUUAAAAGUCUAUAAAACAAAGAAAUGUAAACACACCAAGUAAGCUUAUGAAGCUUAGUAAGUCUUUAGCAUAACAAAAAUAUAUAAAAAUCAUAUAAUUCCUUAAGUAAAUUUAUUAAAACCGUAAGUACCACAUAUAAUUAUUAUCUAAACAUUUAUUAACCUUAGAACAUUUUCAUUACAUCUAAUAAACAUUGUAUAAACUUUUGAAUCUAAACUACUAUAGCAUAAGGCCGAAUAUUUAUUUGACAAAUACAUAUAUAUAUAUAUCUAUCAAUAUCACUUUUAUAUACAAUCAAUCAAUAUACUUACCUCAACAUCGAACGGGAUAUAUCAUAAUACAUACCUGUUUAUUUAAAAAAAUUACAAUCCAUUCGAUAUUACGUUGACAAUAAACAUAAACUUUCUAAACACAUAUAUUGAACAGAUUCACUGGCACGUAGCCUACUAGGCUUGAAUCCUGAUUCAAUACACCUACAUUAAACCUGCUAGACGUAAGGUCUGAAAUAUUUCACCGGCAUUAAGCCUGCUAGAAGUAAAGUCUGAAAUAUUUCACUGGCAUUAAGCCUGCUAGGCACAAAGCCUGAAAAUCUCAUAUACAAAGAUGAUCUUUCAUAUAAUUUUUUAUGAUUACAUAAGUCUUACUCAAUAACCAUAUCUCCGUAAAAAUUGAAUUAUAUUAAAUUCUUCAUAGCAACCACACAUUCGAACAUAUAUGUAUAAUUCACGACUUUAACUUCAGCUCAAGGAAUUUGUAACUAAUAUUCGAACCUCAUAUGUAUAUAAAAUUCAUACAUUAAAAUUCAGCUCAAGAAACUUGUAACCUAUAUUCGAACCAUAUAUAUAUGUAUAUAUGAAAUUCAUAAUAUUAAGUUCAGCUCAAUAAACUUGUAUCAUACAUUCGAAAUUUAACCAUGUAAAUUCUACUAUUAGUUUCAUUUCAUUGAGCUUAAGGCAUACCAUAGCUAAUAUAUAUGUAAGUUAUACCACUAAUUUGAAUAUAACUAAUUCAGUUCAUAUGUUCGGCUAACAUAUAUGAAAAUCACAAAGUUCUAAUCGAUUUAUAUACUAUUAAUUCCAGCUUAUUAAAUAUAUGAUAGAUAUAUAUAUUCUGAUUUAAUAACAUUAAAUUGCUAAUAGACUUGCCUCGGAUAGUGAAAGUCGAAACCGGCGAUUAAUCGACGACUUUAGUUUUUCCUCAAUCCAACUCCGAUUUCUUUGGUUCUUGAUCUAAAUAUAUUCAAAAUAAACUAGUUUAACUAUUAUUCUAUUCAAUUUAGUCCAAAAACACAUAAAUGGGAAAAUUACCAGUUUGCCCCUGACAUUUACACUUUUUGCAAUUUAGUCCAUAUUGCAUAAAGCACAAAAUACACAAAAUUUAAACAAUCCAUGCUAGGGCCGAAUAUUCCUAAUGUUCAUACAAGUCCUCACACUUCAUUUAUUUCAUAUUUUAGUCUCUCAAAAAUUUAUUUUCACAAUUUAGCCCUAAUUACUCGAUUUCACCAAAAAUUCAAAUACAAAACAUGUUAAUCUUUCACAUAUCUUUCAUAUUGCAUUAUUAACUAUCACAAAGCUCAAGCAUUCAUCAAUGGCAUAUCUCAAAAUCACCAUCAAAUUCUAAAAUUAAAGAUGGGCUAGAUAGAACACGAAGCAACGAUCACAAAAACGUAAAAAUAUCAAAAACCAAAACUAAAACAUACCUUAAUCAAGCUAAGUAAAUGCUGAAACCUAAGAAGCCAUAGAUGGUUUCUUCCUUUUCAACAUUCGGCUAACAAAGAUGAAUGCUUUCAUCUUUUUAUGACUUAUUUUAUUAUAAUGUUAUAAUUUACCUAAUUACUAAAUUAACCUUAUAAUAAUAUAUAACAUAUACCUUAAGGUUAGUUUUGUCAAAUGUCACUCACUAUCCUUCUUUUGGUCUUAUUGCAUCAUAAAUCCUCCCUUUUAAAAAGACAACAACAAUUGGGUGCUUUUAUAUUUAACCCCUAAAUUUUCAUUUUACGCGAUUAAGCCCUAUUUAUUAAAUCAGACACUUAAACGACGGAAUUAAAACACGAAAAUUUCAGACAAUCAAAUUCACACAUAAUAAACUCACAAAAUAAUAUUAAAAUAUUUUUUGACUCAGAUUUAUGGUCCCGAAACCACUAUGUCCAAUUAGGGUCAAUAUUAGGUUGUUACACAAAGACUUUAUUUAUUUUAAAAAUAAGUUUUGAUCAUCCAAUAAUCAACACAACCACUACUUGUCCAAAUUUGGGCAAAAGGAGCCCAAAUCAACCUUCAACAUCUACAAUCGAAUAAAAAUUAGAAAAACUAGUAGCAAUAACGGUAAGAAAAUCUUAACAACAACCACCAAAAGACCAUUUCACAAGAGCUAGAAAAACUAGUAGCAAUAACAACAUUAGGAACCUCGCGACAAUAAUAGGAUCUUCAUAAGACAAGCUCACGACAGUCACGAAAAUACCAUUUCACAAAAACUGAACCCCAAUCAAGCUUAUGGCAACAAAGGCAACCUUCAAUCCAUAUCUUUCGUCACACCAACCUCAGCAAAAUUAAUAGAACACAUAGCAACAAAAAUCGAACAUAAAACCAAUACCACGCAACAACAGCAAUCAACCACCAUACAUCAAAUGAUAGCUUAAAAGGAUACAAUAAUUAGAAAACAGAUAAAAGUGGUUGAGUUCUGUUGAUUCUAGAUUUUGCUAAUUUGUUUGCCUCUAAAUUUGCUAGUUGAGAGAUUUGGAGAUGGACCAUACAUCAAGAGAAGUCAACUUCGAGAAAGAACUAAUGAUUUCUAACAUCAAGGUUAGGGCUGCAUUAGGUAACUUCACCCACUUAACAACAUUCGAGUAGUCUGAUUCCACCAUCAACUUAUGCGACUGAAACCAUUAUGAAGGUUUAAAUAUGCAUAAAGCCUCAUUGACAAGUAACUCUGCCAUUGUAGGCUCAGUUUCACCAAUGUUCUUAUAAAAAAGAAUAAGAAUUUUGCUACUUGAGUUGCGCAGUAAACCUCUAAUACCACCAAUCUUCGAAAGGUCGUUCACAACAACAUCAACAUUAAAUUUAAUAAAGCCCAACCAAGGGGGCUUCCACUCUAAUUUCCAUUUAUCCUUUUUUCAGACAUUGCGGAAUGCACAAAAUCUCAAGAGAAGCAAAAAUAUGUUUAAGCUAUUAGGUGCCAAACCUCACUUGGUCAAGCACCACCAACCGAUCAUCAUUAGUAUUAAUUGAGUAGUCUAAAUAAAAUUAAAAAGUUAUCCUUUAAAAUUCAUGUCAUUCCUUACUAGCCAAAUCGACCAACAUACUGCAAAAAAUGAAAGUCUUCAAAUUGGCACAACAUUCUUAAUAGGACAAGCAUACAUCUAAGCAUAUAAGAAAACUCUAGUUUCAUUAGCAAGAACGAUAUUGAUGUUUCAAAUAUAACAAAACUACUGCCAAAUUUUACAAGAAAACUCACAUGAAAAAAUGUAAGUGUUCAAUAGACUCCAGAUCCUUAUGGAAUAAAGUAUAAAGAAAUGAGUUGAAAUGAAUAAAAGCUCUUCUAGCAAGUUUUGUCUUAAUCGCCAACCUGUUUUUCAACAACUACCAUACAAAGAAUUCUACCUUCGAGGGGCAAUGCUAGACCAAGCCAAUUUCCAAAAAUUGCACUAACUUACAGCCCUAACAGAGGCAUAUGAGUAAAAUAAUUUGAUCGAAUAGGCUCCAUCUUUUGCACCUUCCCAUCUAAAAAAGUUUGUUUUACCCUACACCAAUCUAUGUUGCUCUAACACUUCUUGAAACUUAUUUCAUUGGUUAGCUUCCCAUGCGAAAAGAUUCCUCCUUAACUCGACUCUCCACACCCAAAACUAACCAAUCCAAUCACCAAACUAAGCUAUUUUUCCUAUCUUUAUGGUAACCAAUGCAAAAUUUCUCGAAAAUGCUUCACAUAAGGGGCGAUGACCUACCCACACAUCUGUCUAAAAGUUCAAGCAGCACCCAUUGCCCACAAUCAAUUUUAUCUUAUUGAAAAAAAUCUACAUUAGGCUUCUUUAAAUUAUAUACUGAAGCUGCAAUGUCUCUCCAAGGUCUCUACCAAUUCAAUCUCGAAGUCUGUUUUGAAAAAAAAUUAUAUAAUUUGUUCACAUAGUUUACUAAAAUGAUUCAUUUCCAAUAAGAAUCCACUUCACUUGCAAACCUCCACAGCCAUUUAUUCAACAUAGCUCUAUUUCUCACCCUCAUCCUUACCAACCCAAGCUCACUGCACUUUCUUGGCCUACACAUAUCAUCUCACUUAACCCAAUGAACUCUUUGGAUGUCAUUUGACUCACCCCUUCAAAAUCUUGCCAUCAAUGAAUAUUAUUAAUUAGCCACAAAAGUAGGUAGAUGGAACAAGGACAUGUAGAAUAUAGGCAAGCUAGAAAAAACUGAUUUCACCAACAUUAACCUACUAGGAGUACUUAGAAACCUCAUAUUCUAUUUAACAAGAUUUUGUUUUACUUUAUCCAGCACCAGUUGUCAAAGGGCCUUAGGGUUCCUUUCAUAGCCCAACGCAAGCCAAGAUAGUUUGUCGAAAAAAAUCCUAAGGAACACCCAAUAGUUCUAACCCACUCUUUAAUGAUCACUAAAUAUGCAUUGACCCCGAACAGUUUUAUUUUAAGCAUAUUGAGUUGCAAUCCGGACAUGAGUUCAAACGCACAUAGAAUUCUUUUAAUAUUCAUGACUUGAGUGAUGCUAUCUUGACAAAAGGUCAAUAGGUUAUCAGCAAACUACAAAUGGGUCACCAAAGGUCAUUCUAUCUGAAUAAAAAAGCCCUUAAAAAAACCAAGGUGUGCAACUUUAAAAGGAACAAGGUUAGAGCUUUACCGAUCAAGUUAAACAAUAAAGGUAACAACGAAUAGCCAUGUCUUAGACUAUUUUUUAUUGAGAAUCUAUUCAUCGGUGUCGUAUUUUCCAAUACUGAAAUAGAUGUCUUUCACACACAUGUCCAGACCCAUGGAUGCCAUGGAUCCCUAAACCUCAAACAUCUCAUCACAAAAUUGAGGAACUUUCAAUCCACCAUAUCAUAAGCUUUUAUAAAAUUGGCUUUAAACGUCACCCUUUUUUGUCCUCUUUUCCUAUUAUAAUCAAUUAACUCAUUUUCAAUCAACGAGCAAUCAACAUUCUGUUAACCCAAAGUAAACAUAAAUUAACUAUCACUAAUCACUUCUCUGAUAGCCUUCAUUAAUGGAGAGUGUUAGAAGUCAAAUCGACUUCCCAAAGCCAAUAAAGCUUAAAGUCAAAAGUGAUUGUACAAUUUGGCUUAGUAAUGUGGCAGCUUGGUGAUGAUUACUUAAGGACUAAGAUGAAGACAAUGAUAAAUUUACUGGAAGUUUCAUUAAACAUUAAAAGAUAAGGAUGAUGGAUAAUUAUAGCUUGCAAUGUGACAACCUUAUCUUUGACUAAGUUGAUUAAGCAUGAAUGUGGCAUGAGUUUAAGAAAAAAUGGAUAAGUAUGACAACGAAUAAAAGAAAAGCUAAUACGGUUUAACCAAGCCUAUAUGUUUGUAAGCAUAGUGUGUAUGGAAAGAAUAAGUGGUGUGAGUAAAAAAAAAAAGAGUGUGUGAGAUAGAAAAUUAGCAGCAGUUAGUAUAGAAAGAAAAUAAUUGUAUUUUUAUUGUGUAGUAUUUGUAUAAUAAAAUUAUUUUCCAGUUAUUAAUUGUUCAUACGCUUCCAAUUGUAACACCCCAAACUUUACUGAAUUGGUUUGACCUAAAUCUGGCGAGCUACAUUAAUCACGUUUGACCUAAAUCUGGCGAGCUACAUUAACCACCGAAGCGACUCUCCAUUAACUCCCAAACUAACCUCCAACACACAACGUAUAUACAACAUAUAAUGUGCUAAGUUAUAACACAACAACAUAGUAGAAUAAUAUAGCAUACAACAUAGAUUCACAUAAUAAAGUAACACAUGAGUUCAUCUAAUAAUGUAAAGCAUGAGUUCGCACAAAAGCAUGGGUUCGCAUGCAAAUGAGCUUCGCCACAAAACAACAAUAUGUCAUUAAACUGACUCUCAUAAAGUAUUAAGUCAUACUUUGACUAAGUUAAGAGAUUACAACAUGGCAUGCAUGUAAGGAGAUAUGAGGAAACAUGUAAUACCCCUUAUCUAGCCUAGAAGUUUAGACCAAGUCUGGAGGCUACAUCAAUUUAUAUCAGAAUAACCAACCUUUUACUACUAGAAAUCAACAGUCAAAAAUCAUGUAAUUAAUUAAAUCAACAUAGAAUUUCAAACCUUCAAGGCAUAAUCCGAAAUAACACAUAAUAGCAUAAGUUUAAUAAAAAUGGUAAAAUAACUAUGGGGAAUUGAUCGAGCUCCUACCACGCCAACCCGCCUAAGUCCGUGGGUUACCUGUAAUCCAAACAAACAGGCUAAAUGAUUUUUCACUCAGUGUGUAACUUAUAUUCUCAAUUAAACAGUAAUAUAUCAGAUGUGAUUUCAGUUCAUCUUUAGUCAAUCAAUUCUUAGAAUCAGAUACAGAAACAAAAAUAAAAGAUAUCAUAUAUAAUUGCAGAACAAUUCAGAUAUAAAUGCAAAUUCUUACCCCUAACCGCUAUACACCAUCUCCUUCCAUCCCUACACACUAUAUAGGGUAUCAAGUAUCUAUCGGUCCCUACACACUGCAUUGUGACUGCAUGUCACAGUUCAAAACAAUUACAGUCUAGCUGCCAGAUCAAAAUGCGGUAAUUCACUAGAAUUAGAAAUGUACGUGGCUUAGCCACCAGAUUUGGUAGAUUAUUAAGCUGCCCACACUUAUUUCUUUAUACAGUUUCAAUCUCAAUGUAAAUACAUAAUUAACAUAUAUCAGAUACAAGUAUACAAUAAUACAAUUUUAGACCAUGAUCAUGUAAUACAAUUACACUAAUUUAUCAGAUCUCAUAACAAAUGUAUAUAUCAAAGUAAUAGAUUGUCAAAUAACAAUUCCAAUGUCUAAUUUAGAUCAUAUGGACCCUACGGUAAGCCUAGGUUUGAUCCGAUUAACGAUUAUGGCCCUAGGGGAAAUUUUGGAUUUUUGACCCACACGCCCGCAUGGAUUCACACGGCCUAGUACACAGUCGUAUGGCUUAAAAUAGUAAGUUACACAGUCUGGCACACGGUCAAGCAGACACUUGUGUGACUCACAACCCUUCACAUUGCCCGGACACACGCCCGUGCCCUUAGUCCGUGUGACCUUAAAUAAAAAAUAGUAAGUUAUAUGACCUUGACACACGUCCAUGUCCCUAGCUCGUGUGACCCUAAAUCCAAAAUAAUGAGUUACACAACUUGCACACAUGCCCGUAUCCCUAGCCCGUGUGCCUCCAAUUUAAAAAUAGUAAGUUACACGACCUGACACACGACCGUAUAGCUCACACGACUUACCACAUAGACGGCACAUGGCUAUGUGGCAUCGAGAGCCAUGUUUUCUGGCGUUCACAAAUUACAAAAAAUCAGGUUUUGGUUACACACUUGAUACGGAUUCAACGCAGAAGCAAUAGGAGUGAUUUCAAAGCUUAAAAAGACAACCAGAGGUUUAAUCAAUGACUUAAACGAAAAAAUUCGCACAAGAACAACAAUCAACCCAACAUGUCAAAAACUUCGAUGUAAACCCCCAUAGCAAACUAACACUGACCAAUAAAUCAACAGCAAUUACUCAAACUUAGACUAUUGGAAGAAUGUUUAUCGCAAGACCUUCACCAAACAAAAACCCUAAUCGCACAAUUAAUGAAAAUUCAAACAAACAACAGUAAUUUCUAACUUCAAAGAACAACCACAAAAUUUCACAAAAACAAAAGAGAAUAACAACAAAACUUACGCAACAACCUUUCAAACGAUGCAAUGAACAAAAAAAAAAGAAAAAGAGAAGAAAUGUGAAAGAAGAAAAGAAAAAGAAGAACAAAAGAAGAAAAAGAAAAAACGUUAAAGAAAAUGUUUUUAAAAUAGCAAAAACUAAUAGGCUUUUACCAAGUAGGGUAUCAAGUAUCUAUCGGUCCCUACACACUGCAUUGUGACUGCAUGUCACAGUUCAAAACAAUUACAGUCUAGCUGCCAGAUCAAAAUGCGGUAAUUCACUAGAAUUAGAAAUGUACGUGGCUUAGCCACCAGAUUUGGUAGAUUAUUAAGCUGCCCACACUUAUUUCUUUAUACAGUUUCAAUCUCAAUGUAAAUACAUAAUUAACAUAUAUCAGAUACAAGUAUACAAUAAUACAAUUUUAGACCAUGAUCAUGUAAUACAAUUACACUAAUUUAUCAGAUCUCAUAACAAAUGUAUAUAUCAAAGUAAUAGAUUGUCAAAUAACAAUUCCAAUGUCUAAUUUAGAUCAUAUGGACCCUACGGUAAGCCUAGGUUUGAUCCGAUUAACGAUUAUGGCCCUAGGGGAAAUUUUGGAUUUUUGACCCACACGCCCGCAUGGAUUCACACGGCCUAGUACACAGUCGUAUGGCUUAAAAUAGUGAGUUACACAGUCUGGCACACGGUCAAGCAGACACUUGUGUGACUCACAACCCUUCACAUUGCCCGGACACACGCCCGUGCCCUUAGUCCGUGUGACCUUAAAUAAAAAAUAGUAAGUUAUAUGACCUUGACACACGUCCAUGUCCCUAGCUCGUGUGACCCUAAAUCCAAAAUAAUGAGUUACACAACUUGCACACAUGCCCGUAUCCCUAGCCCGUGUGCCUCCAAUUUAAAAAUAGUAAGUUACACGACCUGACACACGACCGUAUAGCUCACACGACUUACCACAUAGACGGCACAUGGCUAUGUGGCAUCGAGAGCCAUGUUUUCUGGCGUUCACAAAUUACAAAAAAUCAGGUUUUGGUUACACACUUGAUACGGAUUCAACGCAGAAGCAAUAGGAGUGAUUUCAAAGCUUAAAAAGACAACCAGAGGUUUAAUCAAUGACUUAAACGAAAAAAUUCGCACAAGAACAACAAUCAACCCAACAUGUCAAAAACUUCGAUGUAAACCCCCAUAGCAAACUAACACUGACCAAUAAAUCAACAGCAAUUACUCAAACUUAGACUAUUGGAAGAAUGUUUAUCGCAAGACCUUCACCAAACAAAAACCCUAAUCGCACAAUUAAUGAAAAUUCAAACAAACAACAGUAAUUUCUAACUUCAAAGAACAACCACAAAAUUUCACAAAAACAAAAGAGAAUAACAACAAAACUUACGCAACAACCUUUCAAACGACGCAAUGAACAAAAAAAAAAGAAAAAGAGAAGAAAUGUGAAAGAAGAAAAGAAAAAGAAGAACAAAAGAAGAAAAAGAAAAAACGUUAAAGAAAAUGUUUUUAAAAUAGCAAAAACUAAUAGGCUUUUACCAAGUAGCAUAAAAAUAUUUCCUUAACGUAUGUGCAGAGACUCGAACACAAAAACAAAAAGUAUAAAAAAGCGUAACCAUUGAAUCAACGGCUCAUUCUUGACACAGAUUAAUGUCGAAAUAGACUUAAUUCAAAAGUUCAAUGCUAAGGGUUAAGUCAAACAAAAUAACAAAAUUUCCAAAAGUGAGGUUUGAACCCCCUAACCUCUAACACAUAAACAAAGCACUUAGCUACAAAUAUAGAAACUCAAUUAUGUCAAAAUUUAACAAAAACUUUCAAAUUUUUGGGGCGUUACAAAACAUCAAUCUUUAUUCAUAUUAGGAAGAGAUAGAUUAACAAGUAAAAAUCUUAGUGUAUAGUUUGCAAAAAUUGAUAAUAAAAUAAGACAACAAACAUAAUAAUUCAAACUUUUUAAAUUACACUUACGAAUGAUGGUGAUAAGUAUUAAAAGCAACAUGUUUUAACCUCAUUCUUAAUGAAAAAGAAGCAAGGCAUAUAGGCUAUACAACCCUCUCACCGAGAAAGUUAUUAUUGUAAGAGAUGUUGAGUUUGAUGAAGUUGACUACUAGAGAUGGACCGAAGAAGAAAAAAACUAAAGAAUUAUUUUUCAAUGAUGACAAAGACAAUGAUUUCAUCAGUCAAUAUGAACAAGGUAAAGAUCCAAGCCCUUUACCAAGUCCUAUUGCAACAACUCCUACAACAUUAUCACCAAUCAAUAGUUGUACCAAUAGCUUAGAGGAAGCACUUACAAGAAUACAUAGUUUAUAUGAUAUUUAAGAUGUCACAGAACCCAUAGAAACAACACUCAACUAUUCAUUAUUUUGUUUAAUGAUAGAAUGUGAUCCAAUAACAUAUGAAGAUCAAUUGAAUAUGUCAAAUGUAUGAAGAAAUUAUUGCAAUAAAAAGAAAUGACACAUGGGAGUUAACAAGUUUACUAGAAGGACAUUGUCCAAUUGGAGUCAAAUGGAUGUACAAGACAAAGACCAACAAAAAAGGAAAAGUGGAGAAAUACAAAGCAAGACUGAUUGCAAAGGGCUUCAAGUAAAGACAUAGAGUGGACUAUGAUGAAGGACUAGAAGGACAUAGUCCAAUUGAAGUCAAAUGAGUGUACAAGACAAAUACUAACAAAGAAGGAAAAUUGGAGAAAUACAAAGCAAGACUAGUUGCAAAAGGCUACAAUUAAAGACAAUGAGUGGACUAUGAUUGAGUAUUUACUCUGGUCGCUAGAAUUGACACUAUAAGGCUUCAAAUGGCAACUGCAACAUAAAAUAACUGGAGGAUAUAUUAGAUAGAUGUGAAGUCAGCAUUCCUUAAUGGGCUACCUAGACAAAGUCUACAUCGAACAACCACCUAGAUAUAGAAAAAAGGAUAGAAAGACAAAGUCUAUCGCUUGAAGAAAGCUUUAUAUGGACUAAAGAAAUCCUUGAGAGCAUGAAACACAAGAAUAGAUUAAUACUUUUAGAAAAACAAGUUCAUGAAAAACCCAUACGAGCAUGCCCUAUAUACGAAGAAAAAUUAGAGUUGGUGACAUCAUGAUCGUGUGCUUAUAUGUAGAUGAUAUUAUUUUCACAAGAAACAAUCCAGGUAUUUUCAAUGACUUUAAGAAAGCUAUGACUAAAGAAUUUGAAAUGACAUAUAUUAGUGAAAUGGCAUACUUUCUUAGAGUCGAAGUGAAACAAAUGAAAGGUGAAAUAUUUAUGUCUUAAAAGAAGUAUUCAGAACAUAUUUUAAGAAAAAUUAAAAUGAAAGAUUGCAAGUCGAAGUUUAAGGUACUUGACUAUCACGCGACCAUAUAUCAUGAACGCAAUGAGAGUAAUUAGCAGAUGCAUAGAGAAGCCAAAAUAGGAUCACCUGAUUGUAGCAAAGAGAAUUUUAAGAUAUGUUAAAUGUACGAUGGGUCAUGAUUUAUUUUAUACACACUCACAAAUUUCAAAAUUGGUUAGUUAUUCAUAUAGUGAUUAUGGUGGUGACUUGGAUUAUCACAAAAGCACAUUUGAAUAUUUAUUCCAUAUUGGUUUCGCAACAUUUUCAUAGUCACCGAAAAGCAGCAAACAGUAGCCCUCUUAACAUGUGAAGCAGAAUACAUGGUUGUUGCAAUGUGCACGUGUCAAGCAAAUUGGUUGAAGAAUAUUUUGGGUGAAUUAUUUAUUAAACAAUAAGAUCCAAUUACAAUUUAUUUUGAUAACAAGUCCACAAUAUCUCUUGCAAAGAAUCCGGUGUCUCAUUGUCGAAGUAAGCGUAUCGAUACAAAGUAUCAUUUUACUCGAGAGCAAGUGAAGAAUAAAAAUGUAGAGUUAAUUUACUAUAGAAUGGAAGACCAAUUGACAAACAUUUUCACAAAACCAUUGAAAACGAACAUAUUCCAUAAACUCAAAGAAAAGCUUGGAAUGAAAGCUCAAUUUGAGGGGGCGUGUUAGAAGUCAAACUGACUUCUCAAAGCCAAUAAAGCUUGAAGCAAAGAGUGGCUGUACAAUUUGGCUUAGUUAUGUGGCAACUUGGUGAUGAUUACUUAAGGAUUAAGAUGAAGAUAAUGAUAAAUUUGCUGGAAGUUUCAUGAAACAUUAAAGGAUGAGGAUGAUGGAUAAUUAUAGCUUGCAAGGUGGCAACAUUAUCUCUGACUAAGUCUUAGUUUAACAACUUAUCAAAAUGUUUUUUAGGCCAAAAAGCACUUUUGAGCAAAAGUUAAAAUUAUUUGUUUCUACUUUUGGUUAAAAAAGUGCUUUUGCAAAGCUUUUUUUGUCCUAAAAGUAUUUUUGAAAAGCUUAAAUAUAUCUUGUUUAGCAAAGCUUUUAUUUAAAACGUGCUUUUUUGUCUCAAAAGUACUUUUUAGAAGCAAUGCUAAGCUAGAUGUGGCAUGAGUUUGACAACAAAUCAAGAAGGCUAAGAUGGUUUAACCAAGCUUAUAAAUAUGUAAGCAUAGUGUGUAUGGAAAGUAUAAAUGGUGUGAGUAAAAGAAGAAGAAGAAGAAGACGAAGAAGAAAGACUAUGUGAGAUAGAAAACUAGCUGACAAUUGUAUUUGUAUUGUGUAAUAUUUGUGUGUAAUAAAAUUAUUUUUUAGUCAUUAAUUAUCUAUACGCUUCCACAGAGAGGACACAUUUAGAAUAAAUGUAAUAAAAGAAUGAUUUCGGAUUUCAUCCUAAUCGUUUCCCUGGUAAAAAUCAUUCAACACCUUCAUAACAUCCGCCCUUUAGAAGAUACCAAUGAGAUUUAAAGAAACUCAAAUUGAACCCAAUAAGCUUUAGAAGAACACCCCACGUUUCCUCUUCUGAAAAAGGUUCCUUAAGAAUUCAAAUACUAUUACCACUUAACCUUGUAAAUAACACUCAAAGGUCAGCAAUCUCAAAAGCGCAAGACUCAUUAUAGGCUCGAGAAAAUUGAUUCCAAAUGACCUCUUUAACUUUAAUUGAAGGAAGUAGAACUCUAUUAUUGACUUGAAUACUUUUUAUCCGAUUCAAACUCCUCCUUCUAGAGGCAACCAAAUGAAAGAAAUAGGUAUUGUGAUUAUCCUCUAGGAGUCAUUUUACUCUCAAUUUUUACCACCACACCCUCUCCUAUUUUCUUAGCUCCCUCCAUAAAAGAUCGUGUUUACUCUUAAGCUACUCAAUGGCUAGUUCCCUACCAAGGCCCCAUGGGAUGCUUUUUUUUUUCCAAUUCACCUAUUUGUUCCUCCAACUUGUUGGUCGAUACCUACGAACUACGAUCCCUCUCUAAUAAUCAUUUCUUAAUAGCCCUUUUAAUAUCAAUAAGUCUUCUCUCGAUUCUUUUACCCAUAGUACUAUCAAUGGUCGUCCAACAAUAUCUCCAAAGCCUUCUUCCUCGAGCCAAAAAGAAAAACAUUUUGGUCCCCAGUUGGUAAUCAAUUCCGAUAGAAGGAUAGGGGCAUGGUCUAAUAUAGAUUUAGGCAAGGCCCUUUGUACCAAUUCCAUAAAAAUGAUAGCAAACAAAUGAGACAAUAAGAACUUGUCAAGUCUAUUAGUUCACUUCUAUUAUUCCCCCAAGUGAGCACCCCUGUAAAGUCAAAUCAACCAAUUCAACCAUCGAUGAAAUUCAUCAACAUUGAACCAUCCUAUUUCUCCUCGGGAUUAGUUACAUGAUUGAAAUCCCCCCAAUGCACAAUGGAGUGUUGAAUCUCAUAAUCUUCUCCUUCAAUUCUUAAAAGAAAGAGCCCCUCUCAGUCGUGGCAUUCGGAACAUAAAUGUUCACCAACACCAACUUCCUACCACAUGGUUUUAGAUUCCCUACCAUGAAGAUGGCCCUUUCCCGCUUUAUUGUAUAAUCCAAAUGGAAGCAAUCAAGAUCCCAAGCAAAAAAAAAGCCCACCUGAAGCAGCCAUACUUUCAAGUAUUUGGGAAAUCUUUUGAUUAAGAUUUCUAUUAGUUUAUAAAUUCUUUUUUAUGAUAGUGAAGUAAUCAUCAGGUGUUGAUUGAGUAAAUUCAUUGCGUUUGGAUGGUUUCAAUUUGAUAUCGGUGUUCCAAAUCUGAUUAUAUUUAUCUUAACAUUUAAUAGUUAUUUGUCGAGUAAAAUUGUUGCAUUUGAGUAAUUUCAAUUUGAUAUUGAUAUUUCCAAUCCGACAGUAAUAUUCAGUAUUAAAGUUACAGUGUAAGGUAUGACCCGAUGCACCAACAGUCUUUCCACAAGGAUAGGGUUUAAGAAUGUUGUGUUUUCAAAAGAGCACGCACCUCAUGUGAAGAUGCGGGGAGGGGGACCCAUUUUGACAAAGAGAGAUUCAAAUUACCAAUUUUAAUGACCCUCACCUGAAAUGUCGGCAUAAAUGUUAUCCGUGAUUUUUUUUUCUAAAAUUUACUUUUAAGUUUUAUAACUUCAAAAUUAUUUUAAUUUAAAUUCAAAUAUAUAUUUUUUUCGUAAUUAGGAUAUUAAUUGUCGGCAAUCAUGAUUAAUAUUUUUGUCAUGAAAAUUUUUCGAAGAGGUAAAUAUCUGACCAUGAAAUAUAAUUAGUUCCCAUAAGUAGAAAUCAAACCCCCCAUCAUAUAGUAUGAUUAAAGGAUAUGAUAAACAACCAUCACACCAUACCUUAUAAUGUAGUUUCAAUUUAAUUGUGCUUUAUUUGUAUUGAUUUUAGUUAUAAUUUUUUUGAAUAUGUAUUAUAUAGUGACAUAUACAUCAACAAAUUAACAUUAAAAAUAUAUAUUAAGGUUUUUUUAAAGACACUAAUUCAAUUAAAUAGUAAAUUUACUUUAUUACAUUUAAUUGUAUUAUAAAGAAAAUUAUAUAAAAAUAUUCUUAACAAAUAAAUAAUAACCAAAACUUAUAAGGUGGUGGAUUGUUAGAUUAAGUUUUAGAGAGCUAGUAAAAUUUUUAAAAAUAUGAGAAUGUUUUUUAAGAAAAAAUAGAAAUCUAAAAAAAUUUUGAGAUGGUUCAAAGCAGACGCAAAUAAAAAGGGUUAAAAUUGAUUCAAAGUUGGCGUGCUGCAGAUACUGUUCCUCAUGCAAGUUGGUGGUCCUUAUUAUGUUUUGGAUUAAUUAAUAAUAAAAUCCAAAAGGCAAAUCGUCAACAAUUCCUUCCUCUUGUAUGACUCUCUAAUUUCUACAGUUUCUUCUUCUUUUGGCCAACAUAUUUUCUCAUUUUAACUAUAUACAUUAGUGAAGUGUAAGUGUGUCCAAGAUAGUUGUAUAUCUAUUGAUCGCCUGCCAUUUUUUUAUUCUAACAAUGGAACAAUCAACAUAGUAAGACCCACCCAAAGCGUACAAUGAAAUGGUACUUGAGUUUACCCUUAGAACCUGUAUAUUUAUAGACAAAGAGAGAGAUGAAGAAAGUGGGGCUACUGAAACCAAACCGUGAGACAAAAGACAUAAUCAUUUUGAUUUUACCCAAACGAAACUAGGUAUGUUGUUUGAUUUCAUCUUCAUCAUCAUCAUCAGUAAAAGAGAAUGAAACAGGAAAAAAGCCAACAAAAUAUUCAAAUCAAGACUACAAUAUCUUCCAUUCAUCUCACACAACAACAUUACAUACUACUAUGAAACAUAAAGAAAACGCCAUGAGAGAAACAGCUCCAGAAUACCAGUUCAUCUGAUCCCAGAAAAAACAGCAGAUAAUAUAUAAAAUCAAACAAAGAAAGGACCCUAAAAGAAGUUAUUUUAAAAAAUUAUUUAUUUAGUUUUUCAAUUUUAUAAAAAAAUUAUUUUAGUUUUUUUUAUUUUUUUAACUUUUAAACUUAUAUGUUUUUUUGUCAAGCCAGAUAUACAUGUAGAUAUGACACAUCAACAUUUAAUUGAUUUUUUAAAAUUAUAAAAAAAUAUUUUUAAAAUGAAUUAAAUGUUGACUCACCAGAAAAGUUAAUAAAUAUUAUUUCUUUUAUGAUUGAUUUGAUAAAAAAACAGAAGGGCAAAUAGAGGAAUAUCAGGGCAAUGGUCAAAGAUGUUGGUAGCGGCGAAAGCAGCCACAGUUUAAGUUCCUCAAUGACCCAACGGCCGAAUUUGUAGAUCUAGGGCCUCGAAAGUUCUAAAGAUCAGGAACUUUUUCAAGAAAAGUAAUCGAAGGACUAGGAGGAUAACAUUAAUGAAACUGACACUUCUAAAACCAAACCAUGUUCAGGGAAGAAAUUAUCCAAGUCCCACAAUCGCUCUAAUUCUCAUUUCUUAUUUUGUUUGUCCCUAAAGAAAUAAUAUUAACUUGUUCACCUGUGCAAUAAUUGAAUUCAUUUAUAAAAUUGAGGAUUAAAUGAAGAGAGAGAUGAGAAGGGUUGUGAUGGACGACAUCCCAUCAAGCCAAACAACAGAAAGAAGCCAAGACACGGUUCUAAGACAACAUGAAAAAGCACCAUAACGAAAAUUACCUGAGAGACAACCUACUUGUUCGCAAACCACCACCAUCAGAUCAGAAGAGUAGCCGCCAUUAAUAAGGAAGGCCAAGGAACCACGGCCAUUAAUAAGGACAAUCUUUAAAUAUCAAAAAGAGAGUCGAUGAACCACGGCCAAGGAAGGCCGGAGCCAAGAUCCGGCAAGGCCGAUCCAACAAACUCACCGAACCCAAUGUAAAAACCAGCGGAAAAAAGAAAAAGGAACCUGUAUAGAUGGAUUGCGCUAAGACCGGCCGGCCGGCUACUGAGAGCGAGUCAAGGUGAGGGAGUUAGGGAUGAGCGGCGCGAUAAGUUGUUUGCUUGGUUUGUUCAUAAUAAUUUCUCAUCAUCAGAUCCACACAAUAACAGUAAAAGAGCAUGGAAACAACAAGCCACCAAAAAUCAUAAACUGCAAUUCCAGCAUAUAGUAUGUCCAGUGAUCACACACAAAAACAACAUUAGAAUAAAAUUCAUAGCACACUUGUUUAUUUCUACUAAGAAACACUAAAAAGAAGCCACGUGAUAAAUCCUUCCACAAUACCAGCUGAUCUAACCCCUCCAAGCACCCUGCAAAACAGAAAACAGUAAAUAAUAAUAUAUAGUCAAACGUAAAUGACAAAAAAAAAGGGAAAUAAAGGAAGGCAGAAACCAGUUAAUACCACCGCAAACAGGAAGAGAAGUGAUCAAUUGCCGUGGUUUUGAGCAAGGAAGGAAGAAACCAGUUCAUCGACUUGAGCAUCCAACGACUGAGCAGACAAGAUUAGUGGAUUAACUGCUUCCCUAAUUUGGAGGAAUGCAUUAUGACAAUUCUCAGCCAAGUUUAUCAGAUGGGUCAUCUCAUUUCUCAUUUCUUCUGUCGAGGCUUUCAUCUCUUUCAUUUUCUUCUCAGCUUUCUGUUUAGGUUCGGAUCAUCAUUACAACAAAACUAGUUGUACUGAUUAUAUAAUCAAAAGAAGAAAGUGGGAAUAGAUGGAAAGAAUGAAAGAGAAGAAGAAAAGAAGAGGUAAGGGCCUGACUUGGUUAGUGUACCUUGAUUCUUCUUCCCUUGAUAUUCAACUCCCUUCUGUCCAUGGUGAUGGGUCCCUUUUCCUUCCUAAUAUUAUUAUUUACCAGCCGAAAGCAUUCAGCAUAAAACAUAUAUAAUAUUAAAAAAUAUUCAAGAAGGAACUUUUCUUCUUUUUAAACAAGAAAGUUGGAAAAUUUAGAUAGACUUAGGGUUAAACUUAAAACUGAGAAUGGGUUUUGAUUGAAUGAAGAUAUUAAAACAUUGGGCAAAAACUGAAAAGUUAAAAAGGAAAAUUUUGAUUACCGAAUGUAAUGCUGCGAUGCGAAACGAUGAAGAAUGUAUAAGAAUACGGUGAGAGGAGUGAGGAGCUUAGUUCUUUUGAGCUGAGCCUCUAUUUUUAUCGGUUGGAAAAUAUAUAUACUUGAAAUUCUCCUCCCCCCUCCCCUCCUCCCUUCCUAGAAGUUGCCAAUGGUAACGUAUCGUUCGACAACCGACCCUUAGAGGACAAAGUCGUGCGAUCUCAACUAGGUAGGCUCCACCGUAGAAAAAGCCCCUUACGAGUUAUUAAGGAUGAAUUAUACAUCCCACGGUAGUGUGAAAACAAAGUUGUGAUUUUUGUUAUAACUUUGUAAUAAAUUUUAAUAGAUUGCUAUUGUUUUAAUAAUACUUGUAUAAUUUCUUAUUAAUUGUUUAUAUUUUAUAAUAUAUAUUUUGAAAUUUGUAUACAUAACAUUUUAUUAUUCUAUAACUUUAUAAUAUCUUUAUUAAAACUUAGGCUGAAAUGCUAAAAAAUUUCAAAACAAUUAGUAAUAAAUAAUCCAACACUUCAUCAUUUUUCUACAUCAACACCACAUCACCUAGGUUAAGACUUUUGACAAAACAUUAUAUAUUUCAGGUGUUUAAUUCGUUGAAUUGCAAAAUUAUUUUCACUUAUAAACUUAAUUAAUAUUUUUAAUUAUUUAAAUCUAAGAGAAUCUAUUUAUAUAACAAAUAAAAACAUUUUAAAUGAUACGUAAUUUGUUGAGCAUAAUAAAAUGAAGUCAAAAGUGUCCGAAGAGGUCUUGUAAAAAUGGCAACGUCCAACAUUUUGACGAUCAAAGAUAAAGGGCGACACCAGAUUGUUAUUUGUUAGAAUAAAGAAAAAUCUAUUAAGAGUUAGGACCACUUUUUCAUAAAUAAAUACUUUCUGUUACCUACCCUAUAAAUGUGAAAUGAUGUAGGUCAAGAAAUAUUGUGUGAUUAAGUGUAUAGCAUGAACAUGAAAAGGCAGAAUCUUUCCAGUGUCAGAUUGAAAAAAAAUAUUGUUUUUAUAGUUGGGGAAGCAUUCAAGUGGACGUGAAAUUAAUUAGAUUUUGAGGAGGUGUGUAGGGUAGAGUGAUGAUAAGGCAAUGGUCUAAUAUUCUAAAUAUUAAAACCCCAAAUUAGCUAAUUGUAUAAUUUGCUAAUAAUUAUUUUACAUUUUUAAAAAAAUAAAUUAUGAAAUUCUCAAAUGUAUUUCUUUAUCACUAAAUCAAUUUGUCAUCAACUGCCUAAUAACAAGGUUAUAUGAUCAAAACACCUUCAAACGACAAACAUGUUAUAAUAUCUCCUCUCUCUUUUUUUCUUUUCUAAAAAGAGGUAUCCAAUUCAAACAAGAAUGAGGACUCUUGAACCAACAACCCAAAUUUUGGUUAUCGCAACAUUUUGACAAGCAGUCCUUUUUUUUUCUUUACUCACAUUUUAAAAUAUUUAUAAUUUAAUUUAAAGUUAUUAGUUACAACUCUAUUUAAAAAAUAAUUUGAGAUAAAUUUGCCCAAAAAUGUUCGAAAAAUGAUAAUGGCACUCUUGUUGUUACUCAGAGAUCUACUUCUGCAAUUAGGGGUCGGGGAAAUAAUCAUGGUGGACUGGUAGCGAGGAGUAAUUAGAGAAGGGAAAUUGGUUCUGUAGUAUAGCAAUAUGAAGCUAGAGCUCCUAUACAAGCCUAUGUGGUCCAAACCAAAGAAGUGGGUGGUACUACCAAUGUUGUAGCAGAUAUAUUUCUUUUAUGUCCUGCACUCGUUUAUGCUUUAAUUGACCUUAGCUCUAUGCAUUCAUAUGUUAAUUCUAUUUUCUUGAAAUUGGGAAAAUUAAAAUUGAAGGUUGAUAACUCUAAAUUAUAUGGAUUUUUAGAGCAUCUUUUUACUUAAAAUUUAUGCAAGUCCCAAGUAUUUUGAUAGCUAAUUAUGUGUUUUUAGUACAUAUUGAGAAUCUUGGCACAAUUAAAGCAAGAUUAUAAUUUUUGAGUAAUCCAGUGCUAAAUUCACAUAAUUCUACUCUAUGUUGCUGCAUUUUGAAAUUUCGUAACUUGUGCUACAAUUGCUGCAGCUUGGCACACUAAUUUGUUCAAAGCUAGUAUGAGUGGCACAUGCACAUGAGUUGAUAUUCAUCAGCAUGGGACGACAAAGCUAAGGAAUUGGACUUAAAGAAUAUAGUUUAACCCAACUUGGAAGUAGGUUGCUAAAAAGAACAAAUCCCCCUUCACAUUAGAGCUCAAAACUGUCCAUUAAAGGGGAAACAAGCCCAAAUUCGACAAUGACUUGAUAAAGUAACCCAGUCAGCUUUGAAAUAAUUAUAUGAGGGUACUUACAUGUGUAAAAGAAACUUAUAAAUUAGCCCUAUUCAAACCCCAAUGUUGCCAUUCAACCCAUGCCACAAAUUAAGCAAGAAUCAAGCUUGAUAUCAUGAAAAAUAUCACCCCCUUUUCCACAAAAUGUGGCCAACCAAGCAUGAGAGGGACCCAAUGGAUGAUCAUGCUAUUUUUAGCCAACUCUCAAGCUCUCCCUCAUGUAUAAAUACACAUUCAUUUCUCACUCUUCAUCCCUCAUCACUCAACAUUCACUCACCUUUCUCUUCUUUCUUCCACGCUUAAGCCUUCCAUUCUCUUUAUUUUUCCAUCCUCUCUUUGAGAGUUCCCUUAGCAAGCAGUUCUUGAGAGAAAAGCCCCUCUUUCCUGCCACCUUGAGGAGUAAUUUGCAUCAGAGCAACAACAAAAAUCGAAGGAAUCCACCACAGAUAGUUCUCAGGAAAUCACCAAAUUCAUCUCAAAGUUUCUUCUUCCUUUCUCUUUUAAUUGUUCUUAAUUUAUAAACAUGAUUGCAAAUUAUUUGACUGCUUUUUCAUUAAUAAUAAUGAUUUAAAUUUGUUUUAGUUAGGAUGAUUGCAAUGCCUUGAUUUAAUUCGUUCAAUUCAUGUUUAUAUUAUUAUGUGCCUCAAUUGUUUAUGUUUCCAAUUAAAAUCAUUCAUGUUGUUCAUGCAUUAAGAUAUGUUUGAUUACAUUAGAAUUAAUCACUUAAUCCGAACUAGAUGUUGGUUAAUGGACAUAAUAAUUGAAAGAUGCAUGCUUAAUUCAUAUCUGAACAAUAAUGAAUUAAAAGUUUGUAAUAAUUCCAAAAGAACACUAUUACCUUGCAUAACUUUAGAUUUAUGUAAUUAAAUUGUUUCAAACUUAACCCGUCCCUGUUACCUUACACAAAUUCUAAGGAAUCCUUAGUUAAACGAUGACAUAGAAAUAUGCACGUUUGUCUAAGUGGCAAAUCUAAUAUAUCGAAAAAGCUUAUGAUUUAGAUUCCAAGUUCAUAAAUGAUCUAGUUGUCAUGGAAUUUUUCCAGAACAUUGUUAAACAUGAUAAAGAAUUAAUUGAAUUAAGAGUUGUAAUUGUUCUAGCUUAUUCAUGUUAUUGUUGUUAAAACUUAUGAAUUGCUGCUAAACAUUCAUUGCAUUUUAUUUUAUCUCAUUUACAUAUUAGUUAUUAAUUUAAUUUUAACAUCUAUCACUCUUAAUUAUUUUAUUUUUAUAACCAACUUGUUAAAUAUUAAUUUUACAAUUAUUGAUUAUCAACACAGUCCUUGUGGAGACAAUACUCUUUUUACUUAUUACUUGAUAACAACUAUGUAUACUUGCACAUUCCACCGUGAAUCAAGUUUUUGGCGCUGUUGUCGAGGACUGUUAAUUUAAUCAUUAUUUCUGAUAUUAUUCUUUGCAAUUUGGUUUUCUUUUAUUUUAUAUUUUACUUUAAUUUUUUUGUGAUUUUCUUUUCAGUUGUUUAUGAGCAUUGAUCGAAUCAUCGAUUUACUCUCUGUAGACCCUAAAAUCAAGUGGACAUUUAGACAAAGGAGAUGAGAAAGACUAGCCCAGAGAUAAGCCGCAAAAAUGGACCUUGAAAAUCGAAACGAAGUUCAAGGGAAUUGAGCCGCUUAUGCUUGUAAUUCAAUCCUUAUUAUUAAUGAUAGGGAUUGAACUAUAAGACAGUAUGUUGUACCUCUCUUUAAUGAGAUUAAUCCGAGAAUUAGGAGACCAAAGAUCGAGGCACCGCAGUUCAAAUUGAAGCCUGUGAUGUUCUAGAUGCUUCAGAUAGUGAGCCAAUUUAGUGGGAUACCCAUAGAAGAUCCGCACAUUCACCUUCGAUUAUUCAUGGAGGUGAGUGAUUCCUUUAAGGUAGUUAGUGUAAUCGAAGACGCAUUGAGGUUGAGGUUGUUUCCAUACUCUGAAUCCUGACCAAUAAGAGCAAUGAAGGAGACCGAAGUUUGAGAAACCAAAAGAGACUGAGCAACAGAGGCAACCGUGUCAGUAGAUUCUAGAGCAUGACUCUGUUGAUUCACUGAGCGAGAGCAAACUGUUGGAACAUAUGCGGUGGUACGAUCAGAGGUAGGAGACACAUAACUAUCACUAAUUGAUGUUACAAAAAAAAACCAGUUCUCAUCAAACACCACAUGUCGCGAAAUAAACAUCUGACUAUUAGUAGCAAGACAUUGAUAACUCUUAUAAUGUGGGUUAUAUCCAAGAAACAUGCAUGGCUGAGACUAGAACUUCAAUUUGUGAUGAUUGAAUGGUCGUAAGUGUGGAUAACAAAAACACCCAAAUACUCUGAGAUAAGUAUAAUCAUGAUGAGUGCCAUGAAGAACCAAGUAAGGCGACUGAUCUUCAAGUACCGGAGUGGGCAAUCAGUUGAUCAAAUGGACAACACAAGUGAAAGCAUACCCUGUAAUGGCCCAAUAUUGCCCGGCCCGAUAAUAAAAAAUGAUAAAAUAAAUAAAAGUCCAAUGUCCAGCUUUUACAAACCCAAAAUCAAUACGGCCCAAUUAGCCUAAACCCAAUUAGCUUUAACCCAAACUCUAGCCUAGCCCAAAACCCAACUUAGCCCAAGACUCUCCCCAAACACCGAAAACCCUAGCAGCAACAGGAGCCUCCUUCCAGCGCCGCAACCAUCAGCUGGCCUUCUCCACGCACACGCUGCCACGCACAUCUCCGUACGGCCACCUCUGCACCUCCAGGUUGGCCGAAUACUUGCAAAAAACUCACGAAAACAGCAGCAAAUAGAAAAACACAGCAUAUGGGUGAAUUUUUAAUUAUUUUUCAUUUUAUUUUCUGUAAAUCGGGCUAUAAGAAAGCCAUUCGAGUACUGUAACGAGAUUACGCAUUCAAUAUACAACAAAAGAAUCAAAGAGAGAAAAGUGAUUUUCUACGUUUUUAUUCCUUUCUAUCUUGCUGGUUACUUAAUUCUUUUCUUUUUUUUUCUUUUUCUAGUUCGUACAUUCAUCAAUCGUCAUUUAAAAGAGAAAUAGGAAAGAGAAAGAGAGGGAAAACGUACCUGAAGGCCAGAUUUUUGCCCUCUCCACAGCCAUCGGAGUUGAGGCGAAGAUCGGAGGUCUUCAGAGGCAAUGAAUCGUCAGAACGGUGCAGAGAACACUUAUUCUCUUUAGGUUUUUCUUAAAUGAAAAUGCUUAGGGUUUUAGUUUUUUAAAAGCGGGACUAAAACUUCGCUGUUUGUUGCUAACAUAACAGCUUCAAAACGGCGUCGUUUGACAAUCAGAUCCAUGCGGUGACCCGAUCCGGGGUAGGAUCCGCGUCAUUUCAUCAUUUGGUCUACUUUCCUAAUAGGUUCCUCGGUGUUUAACGGGAUUAUGAUUUGAUUUUAUUUAUUUAUUUGUAAUUUGUACCUUACAUUUUAUUCUAUUUACGUCUGGAUCCAAGAUCAUACGGUGCCAUUUUCGAUAAUUGAUUGAAAUGAUCUUAAUGUUUGCGCAUAAUUACUGAUUUGGUCUCUUGUUUUUUGAAAUAAAUUUUAAUUUAAUAUCAAUUUAGUUUUCUUUCUCAAAAUUCAACGUUAUUUUCUUUAUUUAUUAUAUUUAAUUCUAUUUUUGUAUACUAUAGUACUUAAUAUUCUUAUAAUAUUUAUUUCUGAUAAUGUUAAAAUUUAUUAUUAUAUUUUAAAGUGUAAAUAAAUCAUUAUUUUAGUUGUUAUUUUGUGUUUUAGAUUCUUUAUAUACUAAUAUUUUAAGUCUAUUAUAUUUUUUAUACUGUCAUUUUAACUUUGUUUGAGAUUUGAUUUCAAAUUUGUUGAUCAUGGUUCUUGAUUUCAAAAAUGUUUAUGUAUUUAAUUUUGCUUCCAAAUUCUUUUUAAAUAAAUCAAUUUUUAAUAAUUCACUAUUUUUAAUAUCUUUUAAUAUUGGCUAGUAUUAUCAUAAUUAUUGUUAUCAAUUUUAAAAUUAUUUUUCUCAUAUCUAAUGUUGUCUACAAAAGUUUUUUUAGAUAAAUUAAUUCAUAUCUUAACUCAUCAUUUUUAACCUUAUUUUAACAUUUAGCUUAUCCUUGUAUUUUAAAUUUGUUUUUAAAUCUUCAUAUUAAUUAUUAUUUUCAUUUUAUUUUAUUGUUUAAAUCAAGGCAUCCUUAAGAAAUUUGAUUAUUGAUUUAUCAGGUGUUUAAUUAUCAACAUGGAUGAAUUGUAUGUUUGGUUGCUCUUUAAUGUAAAUUUAGAUUACUAUUUAUCUUUUGCAUUAUAUAUUGCUAUUCAAUUAUAUUGUUUGUAAGAAUUGCAUUUCAUUAAAACAUUAUAAUCGUUUCACUUCAAAAUUCCUAAAAAAAAGCUCGGUGUUUAAUAGUUCUCGAGAGAAUUGUGCCCUAACUUACUGGGCUUCAAUUCUUCUCGAUGAAUUUAUAUCAUCAAGUAUCCAUUUUAUACAAUUUUAAAAUAGAAGUCUUUAGAUUUCAAAAUGUGGGAUCCUAACUUACUAGAUACGACAUUUUGUUAUCUCGAUUUUAAAAUAAAGGCAAUGUUUGAUGUUUAAGAAUUUCGAGAAAUUGAACCCUAACUUACUGGAUUCUGAUUUCUCGAUUGACUUAAAUAGUCAAAUAUCCUUCUUAAAACUUGUUUAAAUUUUUUUAAAAAAGGGACGAACCUAACUUCGAAGAUUGAACUGUUGCACUCUAACUCACUGAGUGUGGCGAUUUGUUUCUUUGAAAUGGGUCCGUCCACUUAACCAAUUCAAUUAUUUAAGCUUUCAUUUCAUGGGAUCGUAUUUAAAAAUCUUUUCAAGCUUCAAUACUAAGACAUUAAAUAACCAAUUCGGUACCAAUUUUGGGCGUUACGAGGGUGCUAACCCUUCCUCGUGCGUAACCGACUUCUGAACUUAUUUUCUCAAAAUUCGUAGACCAAAAAAAUUGUUUUCAAGGUGAUCCGAUCACACAUCAACAAAAAUCGGUGGCGACUCCCAUUUUUAUCUUAAAAUUGACCCUUUUUUAAAAAAAAUAUAAAAAAAUGGUUUCGACAUACCCCCAAUACUUCAUUGGCAAGUGAGCUUGAGCAAAUAGUGUGAAGCCAACUUCAAACACAUGAUGGUGCUUCUUUUCAACAAUACCAUUUUGUUCGGACAUGUGUGGACAAGUGACCCGAUGUGCAACGUCAUGCUAAGCAAUAUAAGAAGUGAAUGACCGAAAUUCACCAUUUUAGUCACUCUGAAAUUGUUUGAUAUCUCGAUUGAACUGCACUUUAACAAAUUUCUAAAAACUCAUAAAACAAUCAAUAGCUUGAGAUUUCUUUUGAAGAAGAUAGAACUAAGUAAAACGACUGUAAUAUAACAUAAUACCAAUUUGACCCGAAAUUAAUAGAAGCUGGUCCCCAUAAAUUGGAAACAAUAAGAUCAAACAGGUUGUGAUAGAUAGUAGUAGAAAUUGAAAAUAGGAGCUUAUGAGAUUUCCCUUGAUGACACGCAAAACAUACAUGCUACAUUUUAUUAUCACUAUUAGGAACAUUACAAAGCUUUAAGAUAGAACUUAGGACACAAGAAUAUGGGUGCCCAAGUCACCUACGCCACAAUUCAAAUGUACUACACUUAGUAGAAAUAUUAGAACUAGCUUCAAAUUCAGUACUGUUCAAGCACAAAUCUGAACCACCAACGAAAUCUAAAGUAGUAGAAGAAAACACCAGAGAAAAUCUAUACAAUCCAUCAUGUGUGUAGUAGUGAAGUAAGACUUCCUUGGUCUGAAUAUCCUUAACAAGAUAAUGAAAAGGGUGAAACUCGAAAAAAAAUUUUAUCUUGAGCAAAUUGAAAAAUCGAGAUCAAAUUCUUGCGAAUAUUAUGAACAUGCAACACAUUCGUCAAAUGCAAACAUUUGGUUGAAGUAGAUAUAGUGUUAUGUCCUAAAUGAGCAAUAUUAACACAUGUACCAUCUCCCAUAAGCAAGGGUGUCAUACCUAAAUAUUCGCUAGUGCCAUGCAACACAGGCGCAUGAUGACAAACAUGAUUUUUCACUCUAAAAUCAGGAUAUCAAGUUAUGGCUUCGGUGGAGACAGUGUCGGUCAAAAAUGGAACAUUAGUGCUGCACCUUAUUAAAGAAGAAUCUGGUUGGCAUAGGAUAUAAUAGGGAGACUACGUAAGUGAGUAGAAGUUGGACCAUAAGCAUUUGAAUUACACAAGCCCAUUUGACUUGUAGUUAGAUCAGGAAACCCAAUAGAAGAUCCAUGUGCUUGAUAUGAAACAUGAUUGGCCUGGAUAAUAGUCUUGGAUGAAACCAUUGACCCAGAUGUAUAAGUUUAUAGACCAAAAAGUAUAUGGAACGGGAGGAUAUAGACCAGAAGGAUAUGAACCAUUAUAAAAAAAGAACUUAUGUUAGGGUUGAAACUAAAAUUUAAACCCUUAUCGGCUGACGAAAACCCACCAAAUGACUGAUCAAAACUGUAAUAACAACUCUGGAAAACAUGCCCUAUCCGGCCACACAGCUAACAUUAUGGAUGACCACGACUCCGAUAAGAGCCAUGACUACCACGAGACGAGUAGCUAGAUUGAUGGAAACCAGAAGAGGCAUUCUUUUUGGUUGAAGAAUUCGCACUCAAAUCAGAGGGUUGUUGAACUAGAUUCGCCUGAACCGACACCUCAAUGGCAAACUAUUUUUGUCGAUUUUCAUAAUCAAUAAGCAUGCUGAUGUGGUAGUCUAACGAAAAAGUCUUAGAGACAUAUGAGGCAAACAUUAAAAUAGAAUCAAAAUCUACCGAAAGACUGACAAGAAUGAUACUUCCUUUGUCUUCAUCUGAAACAUCAUAGCCAGAAGCACUCAAAAGAUCAUAAGUGGACUUAAUCUUGGCUGGAUACUCCUUCACAGAGAGGUGACCUUUCUUCAAAGAAUGUAAAGAAUGUUUCAGACGAAAGAUUUUGGUGCUCGACACUACCGCAAACAAGAGACAUGCCUUACUCCAGAUGGCAUGGCCCGUGGGAGUACUUGUAAAAUAAGGUAAAACAUCGAUACUAAUAGUAGACAACAACCAAGAGGCAAGCAAUUUUUCUUGUCGUCGAUGGGUAACAAAAGUAGGAUUUGAAACCAACUUCCCUUCUUUAUUAAGUACGAUUGGAGGAUGUGUGACCACGGUGCCGGUAACAAAGUCAAUUAGAUCAUAACCAUCAAUAAUGAGCAGAAUAUGAUGCUGCUAUUAGACAAAUGUACUUUCUUAAAGCUUCGCUGUGUCAUGACAAGAAAACGAAUGAAUCAGAGCACCAUGAGAACCUACUCCAUCAAUGGAACUGUACUGUGUGGUUUCUUCCAUUAAACAACUAGAUAUUUCUAGAUCUUAAAACUUUAUUUCCCAAGAAUCAAUCUCUUAAUACCAUGAAUUGAAUAAUAGAAGUACCACUAAGCUUUAUUGCUCCGUGUAUGGUUUGAUUAUCUCGUGCACAAGUAUAAGUAGAUCUCGAAGUCCUGAGAAGUAACUCAACAACCAAUCCAUAGCCAUUGGCUCAGUAAUGUUUUUAUAAUCCCUUUACAUUUUGAUAUAUGGCAUGUAUAUAGGGUUUAGGGUCGGUUUUAUGUCGAAAUGGUCAUUUUUAAUUUUGAAUUGGUAUUAUGUUUUGAGUCAAUGUUUGUAAUUUAUCAAUUGUACAUAAAUGAAAAUGACACAAGUAGUUGAAAUGGUUUAAAUUGUAGAAAUUGUCAAAUGUAUUGAAGUUGAAAUGAUGAUUUGUGUAAUGUAUAUAUAUGCUAAAGGUUAGAAAUGAGCAUAUGAGAAUGAUAUGUUUAUUGAAAUGGUUGAUUUGGGAUAUUGGGUUUGUUUGUUUAGGUGUUAUAAAAUGGUACCAUUUGGACCUUUUGAAAAUAGACAGUGGCGUCGUGAUGUCAAGCUCUCAACAUCGUGACACCAAGCUCUCAAUGUCGUGGUGAGGACAAGUUAGUGAGUUGUGUUGUGACCUAAAACUGCCGAAGUUGCGAUGUCAACCUUAUAGUUUGAAAAUUUUACAAUUUGAUUCUUUUUCCGCUUUGAGUCAUAGAAUUUUCAUAAGGUCAUACAAAAUCAGAUAAUGUUUGUAUAAAUUUUUUUAAUAAAAUAAGUUAUGUUGUAACCAUGUUUUGAGCAUAGUAAUAUGUCUUAACGGUUAAAAAGAAUUGUAUUUGAUUGUAAUUCCUCCAACAACAAAUGUGAUUUUACAGUUUAAAAUUUAUACAAAUAAUAUACUUAAUAUAAUAAAUUUACAAAGAAAGAAAUAUCUUAAACCAUACGUAAUAGUAUUUAAGGGAGAAAAUCCCACCUUACUGGACUGGGUGUUUGAAAAUACCAGCAACUGUCGUCAAACUAGUGAUGAGGUGUUGAAAGAAAUUUCUGUUUUGGAAGGAUAGGUUUCUUUUUGGACACCCUCUACGUAAGAAUCUUUGUUUUUUUAGUUGAAAAAGAAGGUUAUGAACUUGUUACUUUGUUGAUCCGAAAGAGCACGCAAAGGCGGCAUCCACGUGAAAGUGGUCCCACAAAUCAUUAAAACAAAUGACCACCAAAAUAGGAAAACAAAUAAAUAACAAACCUCCUCAACCAUCAUUUUGAUUUAUAUCCAUAAAUUUCUAUUUUUAAUGAAUAGUUCCGAUAAGUUAAUAUGGAAUAUUUUCCCAACAUCUUAUGUUUGUAGUAAAAAAUUCCAUUCUUGAAAGUCGUAAUUAUCGUCCACGAUGCUAGGUUUAUGAUGAGUUCAUUGGAAAUCAAACUUACUGUUUUCUUUUAAAUUAUAUUACGGAAAGAAUUGUUUGGAUAUUAUUUUAUUAAAGUUCUUCAUCUUAUUUUAAUAUAGAAAAUAAUACAACUUUUGAUAGAACCAUAAACUUUUUUGAAAAAAAAUCAAUGUGCUGAUAAACAGUUUUAGUUUAUUUUAUUAAUCUUUUACAUGUAUGUAAAGUUUCAUAUAAAGUUUAAUAAUUUUAUAGCAGUAGUCCACAAUGUAUAAUUUUAUUCCAUUACCCUGUAUCCCCUUCGCUAAUAUAUCUAUUGAUUUGCUGAGGGGAAGAUGGAAACAGCAUAGUAAGACCUAUGGCAUGCAUUGCAUGCUACUGUAGUUUAUCAUUUGGGUAGGCUGUGGACCCUAAAACCUCUCUCUAUCUCUCUCUGUGUGUGUCUACCUUUGGGGAUUUGCAGACUAUUUAAUUUUGGAAAGAUAAGAAAUUAAAAGAAUAACAUAAAAUAUGCAAAUUUCAAAGUUGAGCAUUAUGCAUGGGAGGAUCAUUCGUGGAGGAGAACUAGAGCCAGGAUGAGAGGGAGUGGGACUUCUUCUAAAACCAUGCAUAGCAGGUUCAUGAGUUAAAAAGACAUUAUCAUAGUUACAUCAAAUCCCUUACUGUGUUCCAUGCAUAAAAAGCUAGGUAUCUUGUUCUAUUUCAUCACCAUCAUCACCAGAAAGGGAAUGAAACAAAAAACCAAGGCCAACAAAAUUAUUCAAAUUAAAACUGCAAUAAUUCCAUUUAUCUCACACAAUAAGUAAAUCCAUAACAUUACAUACUACUAUGAAACAGUACAAGAAACUUAAAAAAAAAAAAAAAGGGGGCCAUGGGAGAAGCUUAAAACACAGUAAAUGAAAUUCCACGCCUCCGGAAUAGCAGUUGAUCUAAUCCCUGGAGAAAAAACGGCAAAUAAUAUAUAUAAUCAAACAAAGAAAGGGAAUUAAUCAAUAUUUAUAUAUAUGACACGUACCCAUCGCCAGAGAGCAAGAAAGAGAUGUAUUAAUUGCCAUUGUUUUGAGCAAGCCAAGUCGAAAUGAGGUCAUUGACUUGCGCAUCCAAAGUCUUAACAGCCACGCCUAGUGGAUGAAGAACUUCCCUAAUUUGGACAAUUUCCUGGUGAACAUGUCGAACCCAGUUCAACCGUUGCCUCACCUCCUCUCUCGGUUCUGCUGUCCAGGCUUUCCACUUUUUCACUUUCUUCUCCUUUUUCUAUUUUUCAUCAAAGAAAGUAGAAAAUUGAGGAAAUAAUUAAAGAGAAAAUUAUCUAAUUUGAUUAAAACAUGAAAAGAAAAACGGAAGCACCUUAAUUCCUCUUUCACUGGUCUUCAUCUCUGAUCUUUUGGCCAUGGCGCCUCCUUCCAAGCUCCAACACUAAAGGGUAACCUGAAAAUGGGGUUUGAUUUCAGAACAUUAAAAUAAAACAUAAUUCAAGUUGGAAAAGGAUUUCAGAACAAGAAGAUGGAAUCGAAGUUAGAAAUUUAGCACUAAAGAGUAACCUGAAAAUUGGGGUUUGGUUGAAAUAUUUGCAGAAAAUGAACAAUGAAAAAGAAGAAAAUUGUAAACUAAGCUGAGAAAGGAGUAAGAAGAAAGAGAAAAAUGAUGAAGAGGGAGGAGAAGCGAAAAUCUUAAUUUAUAGUAGGAUUUUCAAGAGUCAAAUUAAAACUGGAAAAAUCGCGCGUACCAAAUCGUAAAACGCUCGAUCGCUUUCUAGUAGGAUUUUCAAGAGUUGAAUUAAAACUGGAAAAUUCGCGCAUACCAAAUCGUAAAGCGCUCGAUCGCUCGUUCGAUGCCAAUAUCCGGCAAAGCAAGCCUCUUGGGGAAGGCCACCCACCCAACAGAACAAGUUUUGGAAAACAAUGUUAACAUUUUGGAAGGGCAUCAAUUCCUUUAAUUAUUUUUUAAGGAGUUAAUAUUGCUCAAAAUUUUACUUUACAACCUUUAACAUAUAUUACAAUCCCUGAAAACUUAUAUUAAUAGUUUUUAAAAAAAAUAUAAUGAUAAUUCUUAUUAAUUAAAAAAUUAUAUUCAUGUCUUUAUUAUUUACACUAAACUUUAUUAAUAACAAAUCUUUGGAAUAUUUUAAUUGAUAAUUUUCAAAUUAUUAUUUUAAUUGGAAGUAGAACUAUUUUUCUAAAUAUAACCAUACAUCUAUAAAAUUUGUUUUGGAACAAAUAUUAAGAGAGAAUAAUAUAGAAAAUAAGUAUACUAUAUAGACAUGUCGAAAAUAAAAAAUAAGAAAUAAGAAAUUAUUUUCAAAAAAAUCAGUUGGAAUGAGUAACAAAAAAGAGGUCAUACCUUUUUUAUUUUUUAUUGCACUGGACCUAGUUUGAUGGUUUGGUUUACUUGGUUUAAAGUAACCAAAAUCCACAUGUCUCAUGUAUCGGAAGAAUGAAGCAACAAAAACAAAAUAAAAUAGAUUUUUCCACUUUUUAUAAUGAAAAUCACAUUAUCAUAUUUAUAAAAAUAUAAUUAAAUUCCAAAAAUAAUAAUAAUAAAUUGACGUACCAAAUAUUGAAAUAAAUUUCCAACUGAGAAAAACUAUCAUUUUUCAUCUUACCAAACCUUACUUAAAUAUCAAUUUGAACCAUUGACUUAAUACUAGGUUUUUUUUUUCUUUCACUAAACCAAUAAUUCAAAAUACAAUACAUGAUUAAAUUAGAGCCUAGCAACAUGGGAGAGAAACAUGCAGUCAAAAGAUUUUAUUUUAUUAGAUUUCACUUUUAUAUAUAAAUGGUACUCUUUUUAAAUUUCUUUUGAAGAUUAUUAUAUUUUAUUUUUAAAAUUUAUUUUUUAUUAUACUUAAACAAUGUAUGUCCAUAUUAUCAUUGGAAGUUUAAAUUUUUUUAAAAUAAAUUACAUAAAUAAUCAUUUAUGUAUGGUUUAAAUUAUUUUUUAAUUAUUAAACUUUAUUUUGUUAUAAAAUUAUUACUAACAUCAUCGAUUUGUAAUAUUUUGAACACUGAGCUGUUAACUGUCACCUUAAGUCAUCAUUUUAGAUAAAAAUUUUAAGUCAAAUUGCACAUCUAAUCCCUAUACCUUUUUCUUUUUGAAUAAUUUAAUUCUUUUUAUUUUAUUUUCUUUUAAUUAUUUUCUUUUAACUUUCAUUUUUUUCUACUCUUUUUCUUUACAAAAGAUUUAAAGUCAAAUGGAUAAACUUAGUUUAUUGAUUAAUAUUAUUUCAUUUUAAACCAUACAUAAUAAUAAAUUACUAAACUUAAUCAAUAUAAUUAAACCCACUUAUAAUUUCUAAAAAUUAAAACCCUAAACCAAAUUUAGUUUAUCUAAAAGUCCAUCAAGAACAUUUCCAUAAAGAUAGUUCUUGUUGACCAGUGAAAACUUGUUGUCAAGAGCUAGUAAAGUUGUUAGCUUUCCCCUUUCAAAACCUAUUUUUAUAGAUAUUUUAAGGACCUCCCUAUAAAACUUGUUGCCAUAAUAGUCAAAUACCAUCAAGUUCUUCAUGUUUCCCAUCUCUUUUGGUAAUGUCCAGUGCUGCCGAUUCGAGGAUAUAUCGAUUUCUUUCAAGAGAGGAAGAUCAAGUAUCCAUAAAGGUAACUCCCUUGUCAAAUUAUUGGAGUAAAACUGAAUCUAGUUAUGGUUUUUCAAUUUCAAAAUCGAGUUUGGGAUAUUCCCAGAUUUCUUGUUCUAGGACAAAUCCAAUAUUUUUAAGGCUUUUAGCUUAAAAACAGAUUCUAGAUUCUACCUAACCAGAUUGGAGUUAUGAAGAUAUCGGUCAUUCAAGUUCCAAAUAAGCUAUGAAAUAGUUUAGUUACCGUUGGAACUUAAAAUGUCAUUAAUUCUAUUUUGUUUUUAAUUCUAUUUUUAAGUGUAAUUACCUAAACAUUGCAUUUAGAGUAAUAGCAGCUUGGUCAAAACAGUGCACAUCUGUUUACGUUUUAGUUCUUUAGUAAAAUCGUCUGCUUUAGACAGCUAUUGGCUAACAGCAUGACAGGCUAUAUUGGCCAUUAUUUUUUCCUUUUUGUAUCGUUAAAGAAGGAUGGGUUGGUUAUGAAAAUACAGAAAUAGUUUCUCUUCUUCUUUCCUCUCUUUCGUUCUCUAAAUUUGAACUCUUCUUUUUCUUCAAUUCUUCUUCUUCUUUGAAUUUUGAAUCACCAUAAGGGUAUCAGAACUUCUAUAUUCCUCAUGGCUAGUGAAGGAGUCACUACUCAACUACAGAAAGACAUGGCUCAGUUGCAAAAAAAAAUGUUUUAGUUUAAAGUGGAUAUUGAUGUGAAAAUACAUACAAGAUUUAAGGAUUUUUAGGAGAGUUUUAAGACUAAUAUGCAAACUGAAUUUUAUUCUCUCUUAGAAUAAUUCUUGGGGUAGCCACGAACCACAAAUGUUGCUAGUUCAGGACAGAGCAAAGGUAAUGGCAUCCUAAGGGAACCUCCUCCUGGUUUCUCCCUUAAAGAGCCAAUUAUAUUGUCACGAUGUUAGAUUUGAGACCAUACUUUUGUAUGAACAGUAUAGAGACUAGUGCCAAACAUGUCAAGUUUGAUAUCCCCGCUUCGAUGGGAUGGAUUCCCGAGGAUGGUGGCCAAAGUUGGAGCAAUAUUUUGAAGCUAAAGGUAUAGGGGAUGAAGCUAAGGUGUGUAUGGUUAUGCUUCAUUUGGAAGGGAAUGCCUUUAAUUGACAUCAUUUUUGGGAAACUUAUGCUAAAGGGCUUAAUGAGAGGUUUGGGUCUGAGAUUUAUCAGGACCCUGUGGAGUAAUUGGUGUCCCUCAAGCAACGUGGAAUUGUGGAACAAUUUCAUGACCAAUUUGUGAGUUUACUAAGUCAACUUCAUCUCCCUGAAUCUUAUGCUUUGAGUAUAUUCAUUAGUAACUUACGAGCUGAGAUUGGUCAAUACCUUAGAAUGUUUAAACCUUAGAAUUUAAUUGAUGGUUAUUUGAUAGCUAAGUAAGUGGAAAAUAUAGUUGAGGGCAAUCCUAGGAAACACAUGAUUUCUAGUGGUGAGGCUGGAAUUUAUAAUACCUUGUUUUCAAGCUCACAAAGAGGUGAACACACCUGGUCCAUUGACUGGAUCCAUUGUCACAAGAGGGACCUCUAGUGCCAAUUUUAAUACUAAGUUACCUACUAGAUCCUUAUCCCAAGUAGAGAUGGAGGAUAGAAGGAAAAAGGAGUUUUAUUUUUUGUGUGCUUCCAAGUACACUCCAGGUCACAAGUGUACUAAAACACAGUUGUACCAGCUUGUGAUCGAGCCUUUUGUUGAUGUGGCUAAUACUGUGAUAAGUCCUACUGCUGAGGACUUCUAGGAUUGUCCUACUGCUGAGGACUUCUAGGAUUAUCCUAAGUAACUUGACCUUAAAGAUAGUGAUAAUGGGCAUUCCUCACCUGUGUUAUCUCUAUAUACACUAAAAGGGACACAAGGGCAUUAAACUAUGAGGUUAGCAACUCGAAUUGAACAAUUAUAGGUGAUUAUAUUGGUUGAUUCAAGGAAUAUGCACAAUUUUAUUAACUCUAAAUUGGCCAAAAAGCUACACUUAUUAGUGGAAACAGUUGAAAAGAUAAAGGUAAUGACUGCUAAUAGAGGAAGCAUGUUCACUCAAGGCAUUUGUAGGGUUGUUACUUGGGAAGCUCAGGGGUACCAGUUCACUAACAACUUUUUGGUACUUCUUGUUAAAUGAUGUGAUCUUCUCAUUGGCAUUCAAUGGCUAUUUUCUUUGGGGGCCAUAAUGUGGAAUUUUAGUUCCUUGACUAUGCAAUAUUAGUACAAGGGUUACCAAUGUAUCCUUAGAGGAGUUCUACCAAGAUCUCUUCAACUUGUCUCUAGUGACCAGUUCUCUAAAUAUUUCAAGUUGGUCAACAAUGGUAUUUGUCCUAUGUUGUUUUCUACAUGCACUCAAGUAGCCUUAUCUCUACCACAAGGUACCUUACCUUAAGAGUUGUAAGAUCUGUUGAACGAAUUUGAUGAUUCUAAGGGCCUCCCUCCUAACAAAUCACAUGACCGCAUGAUACCUUUGUAGGAUGAGAAACAAAUGGUGAGAGUCAGACCCUACAGGUACCCUGCUAUUAAGAAAACUGAGAUUGAGAAGCUGAUUCAGGAAAUGUUGCAAGUAAAAGUUAUAAAAAACAACAAUAGUCCUUUUGCAUCACCAAUUGUUAUGGUAAAAAAGAAAUAUGAGAGUUGGAGAAUGUGUGUUGAUUAUUGACAACUAAAUCAACUCACCAUCAAAUAUAAGUUUUCUAUCCCUGUGAUUGAGGAACUUUUGGAUGAGCUAGGAAAAGCCUCCUUCUUCACUAAGUUGGACCUCAGAUCAGGCUACCACCUAAUUAGGAUGGGGGAACCAGAUAUCUACAAAACUACCUUUUGAACACAUGAAGGACAUUAUGAGUUUAUGGCCAUGCCUUUUGGCUUGACCAAUGCUCCCUCCAAAUUCCAAUCCCUGAUGAACCAAGUGUUUAAGCCAUUAUUACAAAGAUCAAUCUUGGUCUUUUUUGAUGACAUUCUCAUCCAUUCCAGAGAUUGGCAAGACUACUUGAGCCACUUAAGAGAAGUUCUUACCUUGUUGAGGGAUAAUCAACUUUAUGCCAAAAGGUCUAAAUGUAGUUUUGGCACCACACAAGUGGAGUUUUUGGGUCAUACCAUUAUUGUUGGAACUGUUAGUAUGGACAUAACUAAACUAGAAAGAGUUUUAUUUUGGCCAACACCUCAAUCAAUGAAAGACUUGAGAGGUUUCUUAGGACUCUCGAGUUAUUACAAGAUAUUUAUUAAAGGUUAUGGGAUCUUAGCUGCUCCUCUUACUGGUCUUCUCAAGAAAGGGAUAUCUUGGAAGUGGGAUGAAACUGCUUAAUCUUCCUUUUAGCAACUUAAGGAAGCCAUUUGCAAGGCACUUAUGUUGGUAUUGCUUGAUUUUCAAGAAGAAUUUUGUGUAGAAACUGAUGCUAGUGGACAUGGUGUUGGGGCAGUGCUGCAACAGAAAAAGAGACCUAUAGCCUAUUUUAGCAAGGCUUUAGGUGUUAAACACCAAGCAUUGUUGAUUUAUGAUAAAUAUAUAAUGGUAUUAAUUAUGGCAGUGAGAAAAAGGGCACAUUUAAUUGGUGGGUCGACACUUCCAGAUCAAAACUGAUCAACAAAGUCUUAGAUUCUUAUCAGAUAACAGGCCAUUUCAUAUUAUCAGCAAAAAUGGGUGGCUAAAAUUAUUUGAUAUGAUUUUAUAAGAAGGGAACUCAAAAUACUAUAGUUGAUGCUCUGUCUUGAAGACCUCAUGUGCUGGAGGGACAAUUGUUUCAAUGCUCGGGCCAUGCCAAUCUCACUUGGUCAGACAUUUGGGCUCAAAUUCUGGAGUCAUACGUUCAGGAUCCACAAGUUAAGAAAUUGUUCCAAGAACUUCAGUCACAUCCACAAGAACAUUCUAAAUUCUCUUGGGAUGAGAUUCAUCUUCAAAGGAAAGGAAAUGUUGUGGUGGGUAGUGAUACAACACUCAGAAUGACCCUUUUUGACCUGUUUCAUGGAGGGGCUAUUGGUGGACAUUUUGGAACCCAAGCAACUAGGCACAGAUUGGCUAGUAUUGUGUAUUGGAAAGGGCUAUCUAAGGAUGUUCGAAGAUAGACUAGAGAAUGUGAAGCCUGCCAAACGUGUAAAGGAGAUACCUCAGCUUAUCCUGAACUACUGCAGCCUUUGCCCAUUCAUACAAAGGCUUGAUCAGACAUAAGUAUGACUUUGUGGAAGGAUAACCAGUCUUAGGAGGUAAGAGCACUAUCCUAGUAGUGGUAGAUCAAUUGACCAAAUAUGAUCAUUUCAUGGCAUUGCAUCACCCCUUCACUGCUGCAUCAGUGGCCUGUGAAUACCUUUAACAUAUUUACAAGCUCUAUGGUGCUCCUAAAUAUUUUUUUCUAAUAGGGAUAAGGUGUUUUUGAGUCAUUUUUGGCAAGAGCUGUUCAAACACCUAGGUACACAACUGCAUCUAUCCACUGCCUAUCACCCUCAAACAGAUGGACAAACUAAAGCUCUAAACAAAUGUUUUGAGAGUUAUCUGAGAUGUAUGUCUGGAGAGAAGCCCUCUGAAUGGGUUGUUUGGUUGCUUCUAGCUGAGUGGUAGUACAAUACCACUUAUUGUUAUACAAUUCACAUAACCCCAUAUGAUGCCCUAUAUGAACAAGAACCAUUAGUUCACUUACCAUAUUUAGCAGGGGUUUCUCGAAUGGCUGAGGUGGAUAGGAGUAUUUAACACAAUGAGGCUGUGAGAAGUCUGUUGCGAUUUUAUCUCAAAAGAUUACAAGAACGGAUGAAACAGAUAGCUGACAGGAAGAGAUCUGAUAGGGAAUUCGAGGUGGGAGAUCGAGUGUAUGUCAAAUUGCAACCAUAGAUACAACACUCCUUGAGGCAUUUUAGAAACCAAAAACUUGCUCCAAGAUACUUUGGCCCUUUUCCUGUGGAGGCUCGAGUUGGUAAGGUUGCCUACAAAUUGAACCUACCAACUACUGCUAAGAUACACCAUACUUUCCAUGUCUCAUAACUUAAUAAGCAUGUUGGUUCAGCUAUUGCUUUAUUUGUUCUACCAAUCACCAAUCUAGAUGGUUCCAUGAUCAAAGAACCGAAUCCUAGAUAGGAGAAUGGUUAAAAGAGGAAACUCAGCUGUAAAUGAAGAACUUGUGGAAUGGGCUGAUACAUUUCCAAAAGAUGCAACAUGGGAGAACUGGAGUGAUCUUCAUCAAUGAUAUCCGUAUUUCAAUCAUUGAGGACAAGGAUCUCGUUCAAGGGGAGGGUAUUGUUAUGAAAUAGUUUAGUUACCACUGGAACUUAAAAUGUCGUUAAUUCGAUUUUGUUUUUAAUUAUGUUUUUAAGUGUAAUUAGCUAAACGCUGCAUUUAGAGUAAUAGCAGCUAGGUCAAAAUGGUGCGCAUCUAUUUAUGUUUUAGUUCUUUAGUAAAAUUGUCCAUUUUGGACAGUUAUUGGCUAACAGCAUGACAAGUUGUAUUGGUCGUUACUUUUUCUUUUUUGUAUCGUUGGAGGAGGAUGGGUUGGUUAUGAAAAAUACAUAAACAGUUUCUCUUCUUCUCUCUUUUCUCUCGUUAUCUGAAUUUGAACUCUUCUUCUUCUUCUUUGAAUUUCGAAUACCACAGAAUACUUUCUGAAAUUUCACUCUCAUUGAAACCAUUGCCGCCUAAACCAAGAUAAACCAGUCCGGUUAAGUUUCCGAUCCAGCUUGGAAACCUACCCAAAAGUGAGUCAAACGCUAAUGCAAGAAUCUAAAAAAAUUAAUUCGUUUAAAUUUUUAAUUUGAGAUGAUUUUAGGGUUUUAAUUUUUCGAAAUUAUAAUUGGGUUUCAUUUUAUUAAUUGAGUUUAUUAAUUUAUUAUAAUUUAUGUAUAGUUUAAAAUAAAAUAAUAUUAAUCAACAAACUAAGUUUAUUCAUGAUUUUCUAAAUAUUUUGUAAAGAAAAAGAGUAGGAAAGUAAAUAAAAAGUUACAAUAAAAUAAAAGAAAAAAGAAUUAAAUUGAUCAAAAGGAAAAAGGUAUAGGGAUUAGAUGCGUAAUUUGACCUAAUUUUUUAUUUAAAAUGAUAACUUAACUUCGCAUUUCACAACUCAAAUAUUAGAAAUCGAUAACAUUAAAUACUAUUUUAUAACAAAUUGAAGUUUAGUAACUAAAACAUAAUUUAAACUAUACAUUAAUGGCUAGUUUUGUAAUUUACCUUUUGUUUUAUUGAUACUAUCUAACAUAUCAAAUAAAAAAACCUUUUAAAAAAUGAUUAAAUAAUUUGUUGAGUAUUGAUAAAUGUAUGGGUGAGCGUUCGGUCAGGUCGAAUGAAAAAUUUUGAGUUAAUCGAGUUGACGGAUCAUAUUUUAUCAUCCUAACUCGAUUUAAAAUUUUCUCGAAUCGAGUCGAGGGAGAUAGAAUUCAAAUCGAAUCGAAUCAAAUAUAUUUGUUCGAGUUAAAUUUUAAAAAAAUUUGGGUCUUUGUAAUCACUGCCACCCACCGUAAUCAAAUUUGUUAUUAACUUUCAUCACCUCAUAAUUUAUUUAUUAAUCUUUUAUAUACAGAUUAGCUUCUUUGCUUACUUAGUUGCUUCAAUUAUCUUCUGAUUCUUAUCACUAUGUAUUUUGAAAUUAAAAAAUAUAUAUUAAAUGUAAAAAUGUGUUUUUUAAUAAAAGUUAUUUUAAAAAUAAAAUGUGAAAUUGAUACCAACAUAAAAUUUUAACACAAAUAUUUUAUGGCAUCAUUAAUAAUUCAAUUUUAAUAUAAAUAUUCCAUUUGAUUAAACAAUUCAAUAAUAUAAAUAAUACAAAAUGUGAAAUUUAAUUUAAUAAUAUUAAUAGUAUAUAUAAAUAAAAUUAUUACUAUUUAGGUUUAGGUAUUUUUUUUGACUAAUUUUGAUUUUUUUAUUUGGGGGUAAAUGAUAAUAAGUAAAAGUUUAUAGGGAAAAUAAAAAAUUUGGAGAAGUAAAAUUUUGAGGGAAAGUAAAUAGAGGGAGUAAAAUAUUGGAGAGAAAAUAUUUAAAAAAUGGAGGGAGGAGAUGGGAGAGAAGUAAAAGUUUUGGGGGAAAAGUGGGAGGGAAUAAAAAUUUUGAGGGAAAAUAAAAAGUUUUAAUGGUUUUUUAGAGUAAAAUUUCAAGGGAAAGUAAAUGGGGGGAGUACAAUUUUGGAGGGAAAAUAUUUUAAAAAAAAAUUGGUGGGAAAUGAAUUUUGGGUAGAUGGGAGUUGGGAUCGAAGUGAAAUAAAAGUUUUGGGAGGAAAGUGGGAACGAGUAAAAAUUUUGAGGGAAAAAUAAAAAUGUUUAGGGUUUGAGGUAAAAAUAUAAAAUAUUAUAGUUUGAUAUUCAUUUAUUUAAAUUAUUUGAGUUAAUCGAAUUCGAAACCUCAACUCGAUUUGAUCUCGAAAUUCAAAAAAAAUCGAGUUGACUUGAAUAACUCAAUUCAUUUAACUCAAAAUUUGAUUUUUUUUUCAAUUUUUUCGAGUCGAAUAAAGUUUUGUUUACCCCUAAAUAAAUGAACCUGAAAGUAAUGAUAUGCUUUUAAGUAUGCGAAGAACUAUUUAUUAGCACUUAAAUUUCAAAAUUUUAAAUUUAUUAUUUAUAAAUUAUUUUUAAAAUUAUUUAUCUGAAACGUAAGUAUUUAAGCUUUAAGAUUUUGAAUUAAUUUAAAUUUAUUAUCUAAAAAUAUAUUCUUUUAAAAAUAUUAUACAUACAUAUAAAAUUAUUUGACUUGAACACUUUAAAAGUGUUGGGUCAAAAUUGAUAUUUGAAUGCAAAAAUAAGUAGUGCCAGAAGUAAUGUCAAGACUCAUUCCAACUGCUUCAGGCACAAGAAAUAUAAAGUGCAGAAAAGUGAACAAGAUAAAAGAUGUUUACGCAGUUAGAUUUUCUUACCUCUACAGGAACUUGCCUAGAUAGAAUAUUCACUAUUUUAUCACCGUGUAGAACAAGUGUAUUCAAGCUCUAACACUCACCAAUUUAGACUUCUCACUUUUGUACCUAGGAUCUAAACAUCUCCCAUUGAAAAAUUAUGACACUUAACCAAACAACACAAUUAUUAUAAAAGUAAUGCACUUUACAAAUACGUUUCUAAUUGAACAAAAUAAGUGAUUUCAACUCAGUAUGUCACAUAUACAACUUUGCACACUAUAUAAGUGUAUGAACUUGAUAACACACUAAAUCUUAUACGAUCAAUUAUCCUUAGAAAUAAGGAAGAUAAAUAUUACAAAAUUCUUUAAGAUAAGUCUUCCUUCAACUAAUGAUACCUUCUGUUCAAUAGGCUUGAUUCAAUCUUCUCUUUAAAUUAAAGGAUAGUGAUUGUUUUGAUCCAAUCCCAUUUACUCUUCAAGAGUCUUGCUAUGGGUAGAUUGGAUAUCAAGCAUGGGCUGGCAAUAAUCUCAAUCUUCCAAUGAAAUCUUAGUCCAAGCAUAUUUGUUACCAAAAUUUAUCAAUCCAAACAUGACAGUUUUUCAGAGCAACCAAUGCUAGAGGCAAUUGGCACUGAACAAUACACUGAUUAAUAUGAAUAUAUAAUUGUCAAAAUUCCUAAAAAGUUUCUCAAAUAGUUUGAUGUGAGAUGUCUCCAGUUGGCACUGGACAAUACACUGGACUUGGUAUUAUGUAAAAUUUGCCCUCAUAGAUGAUAUUUGUUGUCCCCAUAUAUAUGGGACGACCCAUCCCAAAUUUGCAUCACAUAUACGCAACUAUACCUGUUCAUGGGUCGGGCUAUCCAUCCAAAUUUGAAGGCUCGCCCGAAAUUCGAGGGAGUUUAGACAAAAAUAUUAGGUUCGAAAAAUAGGUUUUGGUAAAAAAUUAGGCCUAUUUAAAAUAUGGGUCAGACUCGGGCUUGAACAUUUAAAGAUUGAGCCCGACCUGGCCCGACCCGUUUUAAGUUUAUAAUAUUUUAUAUUAUGUAAUUUAAAACACAUUAAAAAAACCUAUAUUAAAUAUAUAAUACUACUUUAAUGUAAACAUUAAAAAAUGUUAAGAUGACUAUAUAAAAAUUUUCAAUAAAUAAAAAAUGUAUAAAAUUAUUAAAUUUUAAAAUAAAAAAUAUAAAUAUUUUUAAAAUUUAAAAAAUAAUAUAGGCGAGCCUAAAAUGGACUUGGGUUAGUCUUUUGCAAAUAUGGGUGGGUUUAAACAAAAUUUUAGACCUAAAUUUCGAGUUAAGCCGAAUUUAAAUAAGCAUAAAAUAUGUUAAUAUCAUGCUUAAGCCCAACUCGACUUACAUACACAUCUAUAAGCAAUCAUAGGCCAAAAAUAAAUGAUUUAAUAUACUGUAAACAACUGAGGCAUACACAAUAACCAUGUAAUGUCGUUAUAAUAAAAUUCUUUAGUAGUUACUUUUUAACUUUGCGAUGUAUAUUUUUCUUGUAGAACUCUUAAAUUAACACGGCUUAUAGUCAUACAUCCUCUCCAAAAGAUGAUUGACAUUUGUAAGAAAUUGUCAUCAUCUCAACUUAACUUUCCAUAGCACAUGCAUUAAAAAACCAUUUCCAACUUAAUCUAGCUUCCAACCUUCAAGGAAAAAGAAAUCACCUAACUUCUUAAAUUAAUCAUUAAAUGAUACUGCAUUAAUUUCCAUUACAAUCCGUCAACCACAAAAAAAGUAAAAUGCAAAUGAUCAUUCAUUACAUCCAAGCUUUAUGCGCGAGACACCGGUAACAUAACAUAACUAUUAAAACUCAUAAGAAGUUUUUCAAAGGCUUUCAUGUGAGAGGUCUCUAAACGAGUUGCCAGUGACAAACUCCCAUCGUUGACUGGACUUGGUAGUAUGUAAAUUUUGCCUUCUUGGACGACAUUCCCUGGCCCCAUAUAUAUGGGACGACCCCAUCCGAAAUCUGCCUCAUCCAUAGGCAACCAGUUCCAUGGAACAACAACAAGGUUUGGGCACUGAAAAGUAUGCGGUCCUCUAACCAAGGUGUUUAAAUCAGACACUUUUUCAAUGUAAUCAAUAGCUGAUCUUAAAUAUUCAUCAUUUAUCUGAUUUAACCGUUCAUAGAUCCUCUUUAUGGUGUCAGUAAACGAUUCGGUUUCGAGAUCACUAGCUUGAGCAAUUAGUGCAGACGUAAAGAUUACAUUGCCGAAGUAGCCUGUGGGAGCGGAGGAUCCAAUCUAUAUCGACCGUCAACUGGAAAAUACAGCUUAGUAUCUUGAUCAGCUUACACAACGCCAUAUAUGUGCAGCCAAGAUGUUGAAGCUGCUAUAUUUUAUACCACCGUUUGCAUUUGCAACAUUUGCUUUGGCUUUCAGGGUGUUCAAUUGAUCCGCUGUGAGCUUAAAGGUGGAGACAAUGGAUGGCUUAUGAUCAUUUGAUUGAGAUUUUGAUGCAGAUCUUCAAUACCGGAGAAGGGUCAUGUUCAACACGGUGGAACUUAGGCGUUGUUGGGUCCUGAGCACAAAUAAGAGUUCGAUCAAUGAAUGGUGCAAUGGCAGGAGACAAGCCCCGUGAGGAAUCAGCCCAACUAUUGAUGAAAUGAAGAGCCGCGGCGCCAUCUCCUAAAGUAUGUUGAAACCCUACUCCAAGAUGAAAGAAACUAGGUAAAAUAGAGAAGAAUGAAGAACAAAUCUGUUUUCAAUUUAAUUCUUUCUGUUUACUUAGCUCAAAUACACAACCAAAUGACUAUAUUUAUAGGAAUAGAAUAACUCCCUUGCUUAACUACUUAGCUAACAACUCAGCUAACCUUAACUGCCUCUCUAACAGAUACUAUCACUAACAUGCAUCCAUCUUCUCCACGGGAACAACCCGAAAAAAAGAUCUAAACCGAGAAAAAUACGAAACAGACAGUGGUUUAGUUAAAACAUCAGCAACUUGAUCAGACGCAGGAACUUCCCCAACCAAAACAGAACCAUCGGCAACCUUCUCACGAACAAAGAAUAAGUCUAACUCCACAUGUUUAAACUUAGAGUGUAGCACAGGAUUAGCAGCAACAGCUACGGCACUGGAACUAUCACACCAAAUAUUGGGCUGAGUAGGUAACUCAAUAUGUAACUCUUGAAGUAACGAACGUAUCCACAACAUAUCACUAGUGACGGCAGCCAAACUUCGGUAUUUCGCUUCGGCCGUAGACCGAGACACCACUUGCUGUUUCUUAGAGGACCAUGACACAGGAUUGGACCCAAAAAAUACACAAUAUCCCGAAGUAGACCGACGGUCAUCAAAAUCCAACCCCCAGUUUGCAUCCGAAAACCCAACUAAGGACAAAGAAUUAGAUUGACGAAAAACAAUUCCAAAAUCAAGAGUACCAGAUAGAUAUCGCAAUAUCCUCUUAAGAGCAGCCAUAUGUACUGUGGUCGGACUAUGCAUGAAUUGACAAAUCCUGUUCACUGCAUAUGCAAUAUCAGGCCUAGUCAUGACAACAUACUGUAACGCACCAGCCAAACUUCUGUACUCCGUUGGAUCAGAUAAAGGAUCACUGUCACUCUUAGAAAUAUGUGACGAACUAAUCAUGGGCAUAUGAACACUUUUAGCAUUAGACAAACCACUCCGAUUCAACAAAUCUCGGAUGUACUUUCUCUGACACAAAUGAAGACACUUGGAAGAGGACCGAGUAACCUCAAUUCCCAAAAAAUAAUGCAAAUCACCCCAUAUCUUUCAACGAGAAUUCAGCAUUUAACAGCGUCACAAACCAGUCAAUAGAUGACGGUACAUCCCCAGUUAUGAUUAUGUCAUCAACAUAUACAAGAACAUAGAUAGUGCAGUCAGUCUGAACUCGCACAAACAAAGACGCAUCUGAUUUUGCACCAGCAAACCCAACCAUCAGGAGAAAUGCUUUCAACUUCUCAAACCAAGCUCUCGGAGCCUGACGCAGACCAUACAAAGCCUUCUUUAACCGACAAACCAAAGGUCUCCCAUCAACCCCAAGCUUAACAUAACCAGGAGGUUGUUGCAUGAACACUUUACCAUCAACAUCCCCAUUCAAGAAGGCAUUAUUAACAUCAACUUGUCGAAGUAACCAUCCUUUAGUAACUACAACUGACAAUAUAACCCUUAUAGUAGCGGGUUUUACUACUGGACUAAAUGUUUCUUGAAAAUCACAACCUGGAACUUGAGAGCAACCUUUCGCAACCAGACGUGCUUUAUACCGUUCUACCGUACCAUCUGGGUUUUUCUUAACUUUAAACAGCCAUUUGCAACCAAUAACUUUAUGACCCGAUGGUAAAGAGACCAGUUCCCAGGUACCAUUGUGAAUCAGGGCAUCAUACUCAGCUUGAGCAGCAGACUGCCACUCAGGGCUCGCAAAAGCCUCCUCAAUCGUUGACGGCUCUAUAACUUCAACAGCAAGCACUCUAGGUUUAAAAACACCAGCCUUUGACCUAGUAGUCAUGGGAUGGACAUUCACAUCAGUUAUAGAAAUCUCUGGUCCUGUAGGAACGGAUGGAAUUGAAACAACUGGUGUGGGAGACUGAUCACCAGAACAUGACGAGCUACUAUGAGAGGAAUUACUAGGAGAAUUAGCAUUUGUUGGAACCACAUCUACACCACUCUGAGGAAUCAAAGUCUCAUUCAAAGGCGGUUCAUUAGGGAAAUUAGCAUUUGUUGGAACCACAUCUACACCACUCUGAGGAAUCAAAGUCUCAUUCAAAGUACUUGGGCACACAGAACGAAUACCGGAGUUUUGACGACAAGACAAAUUAUUUUUGAGCACAGAAAAACAGGAAGAAAUAGUACUCACCUUCGUAGUAGACCGUAGAGUCGUCGGAGAGAGAAAUCGUGACUCAUCAAACUCAACAUGACGAGAUACAAUGAUUCGACCAUCAGGUAAAAGGCAUUGGUAACCCUUAUGGCAAGAACUAUACCCUAAAAACGUGCACGGUUGAGAUCGAAAAUCUAGCUUGUGGCGCUGAAACGGGCGCAAAUACGGGUAGCAACAACAUCCAAAAACACGUAAAUGAUCAUAGGUAGGGUCACGCCCAUACAAGGCUUUAUAUAGAGUCUUACCAUCCAGCACUGGUGUGGGAAGACGAUUUAUUAAAUGAACUGCACAAGCAAAGGCAUAUGACCAGAAUUCCAUUGAAAGUCCCGCCUGAGCUAAAAGAGUGAGCCCCAUUUCUACUAUAUGUCGAUGCUUACGCUCCGCAACUCCAUUUUGUUCAGACGUAUGAGGACAGGUGACUCGAUGAAUAAUACCGUGAGACGCCAAAACCGAAGCAAACGCUCGAUAUUCCCCACCCCAGUCGCUCUGAAAUUGUUUGAUGGUCCUUCCAAAUUGAUUCUGAACUAAUUUCUGAAACUGAAUGAAGCAAGUCACCGCUUGAGACUUCUGCCGUAUUAAGUAUACCCAAGUGAACCUAGAACACAUAUCAACAAACGAUACAUAAUACCAAUUUGAACCAGAAGCAACUGAGGCAGGUCCCCAUACAUCCGAAACAACCAACGAAAAUGGAUCAGCAUAAUCAGUAGUAGAAUCCGAAAAUGGCAAUUUAUGAAACUUUCCCUUUUUACAAGCAGUACAAACAUCACUCAUAGCAACUUUAUUCAUAGCAAUUUUAUUGAAUUUGAAUUGACAUUGAUCAAGAACAUUCUUAACAACAUUUAACGAUGGAUAACCAAGACGUUUAUGCCAUAACGAACACAACUCACUGUCAGCAGUCGUAGUUGGAAUUUCAACUUGAGCAGUAGAUGAAUGAAACGUAACAGGAACAGACGCAUCUGAUAUGGAAAACUAAUAUAGCCCAUUAUGUAUACGGCCCGUCAGCAAAAUCUUCUGUGUCACGCUGUCCUUUAUCACACAAUAGGUGGGGUGAAACUCAAAGAAAACAUCAUUAUCAGUUGCAAAUUAUGAUACGGACAAUAAAUUCUUCCUAAUAGCCGGAACACAUAAAACAUUAGACAACUGAAGUACUCUAGAUUGUGUAGACAAAACACCUUGACCAAUAGACGAUAUCAUAGCAGGUGUACCAUCACCCAUUAAAAGAGACGACGUACCUGAAUAUGGAACAGCAUCACGGAGUGCCGAAUCAUCUUGACACACAUGAUUACUAGCACCCGAAUCAGGAUACCAUGACGUUGUGCGAGCUUGUCCAGGAAUUGGAGAGUCAGAAUCAUCCCCACUAACCCCACACUGUACAGAGUUAAUAUGCGAACCUGAGAUAGAGGGAUCAGAAUAAUCAGAAGCAUGGAAAUCUCCCAAUCUAGGAAGUCCAAAACACGGAUUCGACGCGGAGAAAACACGAGCUCGUGGUUUAGUCCGCCACGAAACACCAAGACCAUCAACCAGUUUAGACGAACCAAGCUGCACAUUAUUCGAAACAGGGUUAGCAUCCAAUAACGAGUCAUUUAGCCCAGUAUUACCAUUCGGACGAACCCCAUUACGCGGCCCAAAAUUUCCAGUAGCGGCACCAUGAGUUUCUCCACCAUUCGGGCCAAUAGUAUGUGGCCUAAACUCAUGAUUUUCAACAACAGGCCUAAGCCAACCACCAUUCGGGCCAAUAGUAUGUGGCCUAUACUCAUGAUUUUCAACAAUAGGCCUGGGCCCACCACCUAUUUGUCCUGCAUAAGGCGCACUAAAAUUAUAUCCAUCAGCAAAACAAUUUUGACCAAUUUCAAAACUAUUUUGACCAUAACCAUAGUAAUUUUGACCAGACGCCAUAUUAUUUUGACUAGGGCCACCAGGUUAACCAAAGUUUGAGACUCUUGGCCUUGUAUUCGGUGAGUAAGACCAGCCAUGAUCCCCAGACGCACCAAAAUUUUGCAUCGAAGACUGAACCGGAGAAGCAUCGUCACGGCGGUAUCGAUAGUAACAGCGCUGGGCCACGUGACCGAACCGGGAGCAGAUCUGACACUGGAGACGCGGCCUGAAAUUCCUACCACGGCCACGGGCAUUCGAACGACCCCCACGCGCAGAACCAUCUGAGGCCGGCAAAGACGAUUCUUCCACCAUAUUUGCACUGUACAAAGCUUCCUGAUCCAGCGGAAUAUGACGAGUUUCACACUCAAUGAGAGCGUCCACCAGACGCUGAAACGGUAGGGGAGUCGGUGACAACGAAGCGGAGGACACCACGCCUUCAAACUCGAACGGAAGACCCGCAAGCAUGACCGCCGUCCGCUCUGCCACAGAUACAGAUGUUCCAGACGCUUCUAGAUGCGCACACAGACUCUUUAGCUUGGCAACAUACUCCCGGAUCGACAAACUCCCUUUCUUGAGGGAGUGAAGUUCAUGACGCAACCUUUCUUGCCGUAGAUCCGUAUCAGCGGUGAACAUCGCCAACGCCGUAGUCCACACCUCGGAUGCCGAUUGCACAUCCAUAAAAGAGGAUAUAAUGGUCGACCUUAUCGUAGAAAGAAGCCACGAAGUAAUAAGAUUGUCCUGCUGAGUAAAGACAGAGGCCGCCGGAUUAAGUACAAGAGCACCGUCCGAUGCUUGUACAAAUCUCGGCGGCGCAGACACAGACCCAUCCAGAAAACCAAACAGAUUAUAUCCAUUCACAAUAAAUCUAACCUGUUGUUUCCACUGAAGAAACGUCCCUUCGUCAAGCUUCACGACCUCAUGCCGUGGAAACGAGUUCACCACCCGAUCAGCAGUGAAGACUGAGCCAUUCAAUUCAACGGAGUCGGAGGCAGCAGAAUUUGUCGUGGCCAUUACUAAGAACGCCUAGCGACUGAUACCAUGAAAGAAACUAGGUAAAAUAGAGAAGAAUGAAGAACAAAUCUGUUUUCAAUUUAAUUCUUUCUGUUUACUUAGCUCAAAUACACAGCCAAAUGACUAUAUUUAUAGGAAUAGAAUAACUCCCUUGCUUAACUACUUAGCUAACAACUCAGCUAACCUUAACUGCCUCUCUAACAGAUACUAUCACUAACACAAGACAAACUCCACCGCAUUUGAACUUAGUUACCUGGUAAAAUAUACACAAAAUAAAUCAACUAUUAUUAUAUAACUUUUUAUAUUUCAUAUCGUUUUUCCGAUGAAAUGCUUGCAUAUUACCUGCAAUACAAGAAGUGGAUAAGAAUAUAUUCCUCCAACAUAGUCGACUUUAGGGACUAAACGAAAAACUUGAGAGUUCUCAGUAAAAUCACCAAUCAAAUGUUCCAUAACUGAAGUAGUUUCAGCUUCAACGAAUAAAACUCCUUCAGCGUUGCAUAUUAUCUCAAGUCUUCCAUUUUCAUCAUACCCCAACCUUCCAGCAAUAGGGUAAAACGGGACAAGAAUCUUGCUCAAAGCCUCUUUAAGCCUGCAAGUAUCAAAGAAAUCAGAAGAACCAUUUGGCUUAUAAUAGUAUAUAGUAGGGAGGUGGUAUCUUGUCAUCACUAUAUCUAAAUUGGAGUUCCAUAGACUUCUUUUAGGAGUGUCUUCAGCUGGACGAACAAUAGUAGACUCCUUUAUAGUAAUCUCCAUCUAUAAAUUAGAUAACAAACUCCUUUGUCAGUCACAUCAUCAAAUGAAUGGGAUGAAAAGGAAGGUUUUGAUAUGAAUGAAAAUGAGGUAAGAACAUGUAUAAACUUCUACUUCUACUGAAUGGUGAAAAUAGUGAUUUUUCUAAUUAAAAAAAUGGAAUGAAAUUAUGAUAGAUGAAAAAGAAAGAUUAGAAUAUUCAUACCAUGAAAUAGUGUAAACAAGUGUUAGAAGAACAACGGUGUGAAGGGGGCGAAGGGAGACUUGAGCAGUCCCUGGUGAAGCCUUCGCGCUUAAUGAAGUAGAUCAAAAUCACAGUGUCUUGGUACGCAUCUAAGUGCCAGCUGGUCUCCAUAAAAAAACAAAAGAACUUUUAUAUUUGACCCUUCUAUUUUUCUAGAAUUUUAUAAAUACAAAAUUAUCACUUUUAUUUAUGUAAAGUUUAUAAAUUUGAUAACAUUAUUAACUAUAUAUAAUUUUUUGAGAAAAGAUUGUAUAAAACAUAAUCAUCAUAUCAUCUUAUAUUUCUUAUCAAUUAUUUAAUAUUAUUUCAACAUCAUUUUUUACUGUACGAUAAUUUUGUCAAUACUUUUGUUUAAUGCUCAUAAUAAGAAAAAUAAAAACUAUUGCAAUAUUUAAUACAAAUCUUAAAUUACUGCUGUACAUAAUCACAUCCCCAUCCACUCGUUAAUCUCCCCUAAAGGAUUUAGUCAUUUAUGCUAUUCAUAAUCUCAAUUCCAAUUAAAUAAAUCAUCUGAAAAAUACGAUUGAUUCAAAAGAGAAAAGAAAUUUGAAUAAUCAUUGAUUUGAUAUCGAAUGAGGAACGGAGUAGCAAAUUGAUUGAUUAGAAUAAAUAAUUAAAUCAAAUGCAAAAGAAAAUAAAUUGAAAUACUUUAAUAAUAUAAAUUAGGUCUUCAACACGUCCUAGGUCUUCGUAUAAGUUAGAUUGCGUGGACGAAAAUAACCCGACAUACUUGGGUAGGAAGUUGACGACCUAUGUCGUGCCACACCAUGUUUAUGGCGCUACACGGCACACAAUUUCUGCCUUGUGUCGCUCGUUUUGUGCUUUGACAUACUGGGAAGCUUGUGCAUUACUCGUCCUUUGUUUCCAUGUCAAUUGGGCCCAUAAAUCUUCAUCCUACACACUUAAUUAAACAUAUUAGCAGUACCUAAGGCUUGUGUCAGUCUAGUGAGUCACAACACUUAUAAAAUGUGUUAAAAACAUUUAUUUUACUAAUAUUUAAUCCUAAGGUUUAAAUACUGAAAACGUAAUAUAAAUUACUAAAUUGCAUAGAAACAAGAUCCUUAAAUGCAUAAUUGACCCGAAUUAACUACUACAUUUGACGACAAGUCAAUUAUCAUAUUAAAUUUGUUCUAUUUUCUAAAAUGAAUGUAGCAAUAUAAAUCAAUUAACUUGAAAUAUAUAUAAUCAAUAUGAUUUUUCAAUUUACAAAAUCGGAGCAUACGCAAUAACCUUGUAACCUUGUAGUACUCUUAGUUCUUAAAUUAACACGGCUUAGUCAUACAUCCUCCCCAAAAGAUGAUUAACAUUUGUAAGAAAUUGUUAUCAUUUCAACUUUCCAUAGCAAAUGCAUUAAAAACUCAUUUCCAUUAUUUACCCAAAAAAGUAAUUUCCAUUAAGAAAUGCAACUUAAUCUAGCAUCCAACAUUCAAAGAAAAAGGAAAUCACCAAACUUCCUAACGCAAUCAUUAAAUGAUCCAUCCUCUAGAUCAACUGCUGCAAUAACUUCCAUUAUAAUCCGUUAACCACAAAAAAAAAAAAAAUGCGCGACACACCGGUAACAUAACUAUUAAAACUCAUAAAUAAGUUUUUCAAAAACUUUCAUGUGAGGGAUCUCUAAACGAGCUGCCAGUGUCAAACUCCCAUCGUUAGUUGGACUUGGUAGUAUGUAAAUUUUGCCUUCUUGGACGACAUUCCCUGGCCCCAUAUAUAUGGGACAACCCCAUCCGAAAUCUGCCUCAUAUAUAGGCAACCAGUUCCAUGGAACAACAACAAGGUUUGGGCAUCGAAAAGUAUGCGGUCCUCUAACCAAGGUGUUUAAAUCAGGCACUUUUUCAAUGUAUCAUUUAUCUGAUUUAAUCGUUCAUGGAUCCUCUUUAUGGUGUCAGUAAAUGAUUCGGUUUCGAGAUCACCAGCUUGAGCAAUUAGUGCAGUCGUAAAGAUUACAUUGCCGAAGUAGCCUGGUGGGAGCGGAGGAUCCAAUCUAUAUCGACCGUCAACUGGAAAAUACAGCUUGGUAUCUUGAUCAGCUGGAAGACCCCUUGCUUUACUUACACAGCGCCAUAUAUGUGCAGCCAAGAUGUUGAAGCUGCUAUAUUUUACACCACCGUUUGCAUUUGCAACUUUUGCUUUGGCUUUCAGGGUGUUCAAUUGAUCCGCUGUGAGCUCUAAGGUGGAGACAAUGGAUGGCUUAUGAUCAUCUGAUUGAGAUUUUGAUGCAGACAUCAAUGCCGGUGAAGGGUCAUAUUCAACAUGGUGGAGCUUAGGCGUUGGUGGGUCCCGAGCACGAAGAAGAGUUCGAUCAAUGAAUGGUGCAAUGGCAGGCGUCAAGCCCC